UUUCAGGAAAUUGACUGAAGUUUGAGUCUGACCGAAAAGGACUAAACGUCUAAACCGAACGUCAUCUAAUUUCUAAACCUAAUCGUCUAAUCUUCAAUCUACUCUUCACAGUUCACUCCACUACUCCAGUCUUCGGCUCUUCGCCUCCUUGCCAUCUUCAGUCUUCCUGGAGUUCCUGCUCGGCUGCCGCCGCUGCUUUUGCCGACUGCUCGGCUUCUCAGUCAACUACUCCAGUCUUUGGCGUCUUCAGUCUUCCUGCUUGGCUGCUCUUGCAGACUUGCCGAUUUGCCGUCGGUGCUCAGCACGAAGUUCUAUCUUAACAAGUAAACUUGAUCCCUUCGGCCCUCUGUUUAUAUGUAUCAUCAAUUUCUUUUUCGGCCCUCUGUAUAUAUGUCUCAUCAAUUUCUUUUUUUUUUUAAAUUUUGUUAGUAUAUUUCUGAUCUUGCUGUACUUAUUUUUUUGGGUUUUUUGAAAUUUUUAAAUACUACCCAAAAAAUAAGUUGCCAGAUUAUCUUGACGGGAAAAUGUUGGAAUUUAUGGAGGAAAAUAGCGGUGGAAUUUUUAUUAGUUGGGUAGUUUUGUUCUCUGUUUCAGUUUACUAGAAUAAUCUCGAGACUAGCUAUUCAGUUUUGUUCUUUGUUCUCUGUUUCAGUUUCUUUGUUCUCUGGAGCCUGGAGUACAAAGGUUAUGUCAUUGGAUCAUUGGAUGAUUGCACGCAUGAUUACUUAUUUGUUGACCAUGAUCAGGGUUUAUCUUGCUUGAUCAUGAGGAUGUGACAAACUUUAUUCAAAUAAGAAGUCGAUCUUGAUGGGGCCUAAUAAGGUUGCUGAUUUAGUGAUCUUGUUGAGCUAAGUUAAUCAUCUAAAGCAAAUGAUUAGGUACAUAACAUUCUACAAAAAUAAGACUUGAUACCACCAAAGAUUAAUCUAGCCAUAAAUUACUUAGGCACUGUAUCGUGGAUAUGAUUAAUGUGCAUGAACCCCCAUUUAAUUGGCUGCCAUCUACUGCUGAUAAUAUGCUUAAGACCUGGGAAUUUCCUUCGUAUACAUAUGUUUGUACGAGAGAAAUUAGUGGGAUAUCUUACAUCUUGUCAUGUAAUGGUGGAAUUUUAUAUCAGAAUGCAGAUCUGGAAUUUUAUUCCUCAGAAUUGGUCUGAGCUUACAUUUCAAAGAAUGAAGGGAUAGAAACACUUUUCGGAUCAUUUGUCAUCUUCUCGGAUUGUCAAUUAACAAAUAUAAGAGAAAGGAAUUUGUUUCCCCUCUAUUAAAACUGCAAUUUGGUGUUAUCAUCAAUGGCUUGCUAAUGAUAAGACUUCGCGUUGAGCUUUGCUGCAAUUUAUGUGUUAUAGUCCUAUAAAAACAUAAUAACAAGGCCAGUUAAUAUCUUAAUGAGCUUUACUCUUCUGAUAUGGCUGGAAUGUUAAUAAACUCAAGAAUCUGGUGCAUCAUAAAUUCCUGGACAGUACAUCUUAUACUCGUGCUAAAAGUUUUGCAUUCUGCUGUUUAGAUUUUUUGCAUUCACUGGAUUUUGAAUGCAACAUUCUAAGGAAUUUGUCUUGUACCAUGUUUAUCUAAUAAAUUAUGUUAUUCACUAAUUGCAGGAUGUCAUCUUUGCCGAGUAAUCCAACAGGACCAAGUAGCACAGCUGAUGAGAAUGAGGUUGCCAUUUUGGAUUCGGAAGAGGAGGAGGUGAAGGAAGAUGAUUCGUGUAAGAAACCUAGGGAAAAGAAAUUAACAUCUAAGGUAUGGUUUGAUAUGGAUAGAGUUAAGACUGCUACUGGUAUUGUUGCCGUAUGUAAGCAUUGUAAAAAAAAAUGGCCGGGAUAGCUCAUGCGGGACAAGCCAUUUGAAAAAACACAUAGAUAAUUGCAUUGCUAGAAGACAUAGGAGUGGGGGGCAGCAAGUACUUCAGUUGGCUAAAAAUGCUUUGGAUGAUAAAGUUAAAGCUCAAACUUUCAAGUUUGAUCAAGAGAGAAGUAGAAUGGAUUUGGCUAGAGCUAUAAUAAAACACAACUAUCCUUUUAACAUAGUUGAGCAUGAGUACUUUGAGAUUUUUCUGAAUAAUUUGGAGCCAAAUUUUAAGCUGAUUUCUCGAAAUACAGCCAGGGCAGAUGUGAUUAGUGUUUAUAAAGAAGAAAAGGCAAAAUUGUAUAAGUAUUUGGAUGAUUUUGAUGGUAAGAUAAGUCUAACUACUGAUCUUUGGACAUCAGAUCACCAAAAUUUUGCCUAUGCCUGUUUGACAGCUCAUUAUGUCAAUGAACAUUGGGAAUUGAAGAAGAAAAUUAUUGCUUUUAAAUCUGUUCCAUAUCCUCAUGAUGGUGAAACAUUAUUUAGAUUUAUUUCUGAUAUCAUCUUGGAAUGGAACAUUGAUAAGAAGCUGAUCUCUGUUGUUGUUGAUAAUGCAUCUUCAAAUGAUUCAAUGGUUAAAUGUUUGAAAUCAUGGCUGUUGGAUAAGUCAUUGCUCAAUUUAGGAGGUGAUCUUUUUCAUGUUCGAUGUAGUGCACAUAUUCUUAAUUUGAUUGUGCAAGAUGGGUUAGCUAUUGUUGGAAAAUUGCUUCAUAAGAUUCGAGAGACCUUAAAGUACUUGAAAAGGUCUACUUCUUCUUAUCAAAAGUUUGAGAAUGCAAUUAAUCAAUGCAUGCUGAAAAAUAAAAAAAAAGUGGGUAUGGAUGUUCAAAAUAGAUGGAAUUCUACAUUCUUGAUGCUUGAGACUGCUUUGCCUUUGAAGGAAGCUUUUUGUCGUUUAGAACAAAUGGACAGAAAUUACAAGCUCAAUCCUUCAGAAAAUGAUUGGAAAGUGGCUAGUGUUGUUCAUGGUUGUUUGAAAAAAUUUUAUGAAGCCACAUGUCAUUUUAGUGGUUCUAAUUUUCCCACAGCAAAUGUUUUCUUUCCUGAUAUAUGUAAUAUUCGUAUUAAGAUGAGGCGAUGGGAAGUUAGUGAGCAUGAUUUUAUUCGAGAAAUGGCUAUUCCAAUGAAAGCAAAAUUUGAGAAAUAUUGGGAAGAAUGUUCUUUGGUGCUAGCUAUUGCUGUGGUGCUUGAUCCUAGAUUUAAGUUGGCUUUAGUAGAGUAUUAUUACAAUGAACUUUAUGGAGAAUGUGGUGAAAGAUAUGUGGAUAGAGUUCGUAAUGCUAUUGCUGACUUGUUUGUUGAAUAUGGAGGUGACCUUGCUCCUUUUUUGAGUUAUGUUGGAGAUAAUAUAGGAGAAGAGACUUCUAGUUGUGGUAACAAAAAUAUAGACGUAGAAGAUGAUGAUGAUGAGUUGUCUGAUUUUGACAAAUGGUAUCAGCAAUCAUGUUCUUCUACUAUUCUUGCUAGCCAAAAAUCUGAAUUGCAAUCAUACUUGGACGAGCCUGUAUUUCCAAGAAAAGAUGAUUUUGACAUACUAGGCUGGUGGAAGGCAAACAGUCCAAAAUUUCCUAUUCUUAGCAAGAUGGCUCGUGAUAUUCUUGCAAUUCCAGCUACUACUGUGGCAUCGGAAUCAGCAUUUAGCGUUGGCGGAAGGGUAAUUGAUGAGACCCGUGCUGCUUUGCUUCCUGAUGUGGUCGAAGCUUUGAUAACAACUGAGAUUGGUUACCUUUGAAAAAGAAAAGAAGUAAGUCCUUCAUGUUUAUGUUUCUUUUGUUGUUUUUUCUUUUUAAAUCCAUAUUACAAGUUUGUUUGGUUGAGUUACUCUAGAAAGACUAAUCUACUUUCUUUCUUUUUGUUUUCUUAGAAGUAUUUGGAGAAGAUUUGGGUGAUUCUUCUAAAGUUCCCAAGUUAGGGUGAUGUAUUUGAGUAAGGCCAAUUUGAUUUCUUUCUUACCUAAUUUUUUUUUUGUAUUAGUUAGUAAUUUGUUUACAAAUAUGUUGUAUCCUUGUUUUUGUUGCAGAAAAUUGUGAAACAUGAGAGCCAUGAAGACUAUUGUAAUCUACAGGACUUCAUUAGUUGGUUGAUGUAUUUGAUAUUUAUGUUUGAUUGGACUUUUUAGAAAUUGUAAUUUGUUGGAUGUCAUAUUGGCUUUGUUGCUAAUAUUGGUUUGUUGAAAUUGUAAUUUGUUGGAUGUUGGACUUUUUAAAUCCUUGUGUUUGUUGGAUUAGAUUAUAUGAAAUAGUUUGCUACAUGCUGUUUUCUUCUUGUUGGCUGAAAUCUGUUAAGUGUUCAACUCUUGAGCUGUGGUGAGGAGUUACUUGAACAGGUUUUAACGGGUCUGAUUGCCGGGUAGACCCGGCCCGAAUUCGGGACCCGUCGGGUACGGGUCCGGUGACAGAUUAGAAGACCCGUCGGAUAUUCGGACCGAAUCCGGAACUAAUCUGGUAUAACGGGUCCGGGUCCGGAUAUAUGCAUUCCGGCCCGGACCCGGCCCGUUGACAGGCCUACCGUCACCUUCGACUAUUCCUGCAAAAACUCGACCUUGGUUAGAAAAGAAGCCAUCAGUUUUUACUUUGAUGGCUUCUCAAAUUCAAGCCAACAAUCUCUAUCAUCGUCGCCAUUUUCUUGUUACUUUGUCAAAUGCUGAUUACCCUUUCGUUACUUGCACUAGCUUAUCAAUUUCAGCUGCAAAGCCAAGAACCAAACCAAAACUGAAACCUCAGAAGCUCAGUAUUUGUAGUUCCCUUCUAUCAUCGUCAUCUUCAGUUUCUGAUAAAAACCCACCUGAUGCUUGUGAAGAAACUAAUGAGGCAGAUGCCAGAACUUCAGAUUCACAGUCAAUUCAGAAGGAGAAAAGGAUGAAGAAGAAGAGGGUUUUUUUCUUGGAUGUGAAUGCUCUUUGUUACCAAGGGAACACUCGCAGUUUACACUCUUUUGCUCAUUGGAUUUUCCUUUUCUCUCCCAAGUCAGCCUCUCUGAUCCUGUCAUUGCUGUAAUUUCUAUCUCCUUCUCCGUUUCUCUCUGUUUCUUGAUGAAGAUUAAUUCCAUAUGCAUGAAUUAAUGAAUAAAUUUGAGUAGGAUAAUGGAACUUAUUUGUGUGUAAAUGAGUUCUUUUCAUCAUUUAGGUUAAAGUAAUGCAGUUUAUCGAGUCAUGGAAAAUGGUGGAAAUGAAGGAAUUUGGAGCCGUGGGAAUGUCCCGUUGAAAUCAAAAUACUACCCGUUAAUGUUGCUUCGAUGAACUGAAUGCCUUAAUUGAGAAUUUAAUUAGAGCUCAUUUGAUGAUUUCCAUAAUUUUGGUUUUCGGAUUUCGUGUUGAUUGUAAGGUGAGGGGAAUUGUCUACUGAGAGUACGAGGUUAAAUGGUGCUUCAGACUGGUCUACGUUCUAUUCAGCCUUCUCUUCCUUGCACUAUAUUUGGAACUUUUGGAGAGAGGAAAAGAGAACUUCUAUGAGGCUGGUGAAAAUCAGAAAACGAAAUAAGAAACUAAAAAAGUUAAUGGUUUUUAGGAUUCGGGAAAUUGGAGGAGCUGACUUUACCAUAAUACAAAUAUUUGGGAAGGAAAGAACCGCUGCCUGAUUUUACAUGUUAAACCUAUUUUUGGUUCAAAAUAAUUGUUUCUAUAAGGGGAACUCCUCUAUUAUAUAUGUGUCAUUAAGUAGCAUUUCUCUUAAAAAACAAAAGUAGCAUUUAUCUUUUGUUUUGUUUUCACCCUACAUGUGCAGAGAAUAAAAAAUUGAGCCCUGUAGUUGAAGAUGUUCCAUUUGUUUUCUUUCUCUUGCUUGAUGCAGAACUCCGGAAUAAGCAAUUUGCAUGCUAAUCCCUAACAAACUGCUCAUUCACCUGCUGAUGAGAAAGAAAUGGAGUUCCUACCAAUAAACUUCUGACCACAUAAUUUAGUGGUGUUACCUCUCUCUCUCUCUCUCUCUCUCUCUCUCUCGGUUUAAUGUUUUUCAGAACUUACUCAUGUAGAAGCUCCAGGGACAUAUUUCUUAAAGUUAACUUUUCAAAAGUGGGACUGUUUAAUGCUGUUGAAUGAUUUUAGUUUUAAUUUGGUAUUCAUUUUGUUAACUCCAUUGAUUGAAAUUUUUAACAGUUUAGAUAUCAUGAAGUGUAUUUAUUAGGUUCGUUUCAGCUUCACAUGAUAGAGUACUCUGUCUGGUUGUUUGCCUGGGAAGUUAUCUCUGAGGGACAAUGGUUGGAAUUUUUGCAUAAAAGCAAUCAGUUUUUCUUGGAAAGCAAUUUGUUAGGAAUUACAACAGACAAAAUUUAGGCUUUGUGUGGAAAGCAGGAGGCUGUUUGAGGAAUGUUGUGUGGAAGGGACAGAGAGCUGGCACUUUGCCAUUCGAUUUUCUUUCACCUGUUUUCAGUGACCUAGUAUUCAGUAUUAUCUUUGUUGUUUGUUACAAAAGUAGAAAAAAUGAAACAGAUGGGUUUUUUCUGAGGUCAAUCAAGAAUUGCAGUUACUUUUCCUUAUUUUGUAAAUAAUGCCUUGCUUUGUCGUGUUGACAUACUCAACUGGUGAAAUUGUGGGGGUUUCACCAACCAUGAUGACAUAAACAUGGGAAUCAUGGUCAUUCAGCUUACUCUACUUUCUGUUAAUGUGGAAAUACUGAUUUAGUUGCCAUGGCAUGUAACAUGACAAUAUUCAUGCUUAAGAAUUGUAAUAGUUUUAGCUUUUAAUACAGAUGUUAAAUUUAGGACAUGAUUUAUUUCAAAGGGACAGCACUCAGGGUUAUAGUCUGUGUUGCAUUGAACAUUUUUUCAUCUCUCAAGGGUGGAAAGGAUGGAGUGGUUGGUGAAGGAGGGUGGAGGUGGCAGUUGAGAUUCUCUGUAAAUUUUCAUAUGAUUUACCUCCUGAAAUUGUGAUUCUAGCUUUUGAGAAAAAAAAGUUGCUGUGAACAUUGACUCGUCUCUGGUCCUUGAAUGAAUUUCUUUGCAGGUUGUGGAUGGAGAAAGAGGAAAUGAGUACCGUAAACAGAUCUUGCCUUCGUAUAAGGCAAAUAGAAGGAUAUUUUCACAGCAUUUUUCUUCAUUAGGAAGAUUUCCAAGGAAUAGAAUUGGGAGAUCACAUAAGCUCGUCUUGAAUGUUCUUCACGGUUGCAAUGUGCCUGUCAGUUGAUCUUCUGAUUCUUUCGGACUCCUUGAAUUUAAAUAUCUGAAUUUUUAGUCACUUCAGAAAGAGGAUAUUUGUUUUCAGCAUUUGAGGAGUGUGCAUUGUUGAACAAUUUACUCUUCUAAAACUUAAAGCGGUUAUACAAGACAGUAUUUAUCAUAUCAUUAACCUAACAUAAAGGUUUUGUACCUAAAUUUGAAUGUCUAUUCACCUUGUUAAUAUUCCUUUUGAUACUCAAAUUCAGUAAUCGAUCCAAAAUACUAUAGAUUUAUUUAAGAAAAGUAUGAUCCUUGUGAUUUCAGGGAAACAGAACCUUAACUUACUGAUGAAAAACUUGAAAAUUAAAAGAUUUUUCCUGAAAGAAAUGAUCAUCCAAGCUCCUUGCUUGGCGAAUAAAAUGGAAGAAUGGAGAAUAAUACUUCCACCCUGGGAUUCCAUAUCAGCAUUCUGCUCUUCAGUCUGAUGCUUUUCCACGUGCUUUCUCCAGGUCAAAGAAUGGAAAAGAAUUAGAUGCCUUCCUGAGCUCUUGGCUCAUAGAUUGUAGAUAACAUUAGAAAUUAUGUUCUUCCAUGUUACCAUGUCUCACUCCACUCCACUUUUGCUGAUUAAAUAUCUUUAGAUACACACAUGUAUGCAUAUCCAGGACCAUGAUCAUUUGUAUUUUUGAUGAUCUGAAGAUUUUAUAUUCACAAUCUAACCACCAGCUGUGCCAUCCCAUCCAUCUUGCUACUAUAUUGAUUGACAGCAAGAUGGAACUAUAGAGUUGGUUAACUGAUGCUUUGGUCACCUGCCCGUAUUUAUGCUUUUGCUUGUCUGGGUUUCAUAUUUCCACUCCACACCUAUUUUGAUCAGAUGAUUUUGCAGAAUAUGGUGUGCCUUAAAAAUAAGUCCUUCCAACUUAUGAACUUCUGAGACCUAUCCGUUCAGCCACAUUGACAGCCAAAUAUCAUGAGUUCUGCAAUAUUGUUUUGUUGCCUAUUAUUAGAUCUUUAACACCUCCAGGCAGUGAUAAUUCCUUUAUUUAUAGAAUCUUGACAAGGCUCAGAUCAGUUAAAUUGCUGCGUCUGCGCUGAGUACUUAGGUUCGUUUAGACAUGAUAUGCAGGUUGUGAAAAUUGAGGCUCAUGAAGCUGAUGAUGUUAUAGCCACCCUAGUAGAACAAGUUAUAUCAAGAGGAUACCAAGCUGUUGUUGCCUCUCCUGACAAAGAUUUCAGGCAACUGUUAUCACAAGAUGUACAAAUUGUACUGCCCAUGCCAAAGUGCAAUAGAUGGUCAUUUUAUACCCUAAACCACUACAUAGCCCAGUACACUUGUGAUCCGCAAUCUGAUUUAAGUCUGAGUAAGUUUUUAAUUUUUUUUUGGUUCUCUUGCAAAUGCUACUCUUCCAUAGGUUCUGUAUUGCUGGAGCUUAGGUACUGUCUCUUGCAGUUUGAUUCUCGCAUCAUGUCUUACUCUGGAACAAAAGCAGGUUGUAUCUUUCAAACAGUGGCAAAUCAAAGCUAUACCUCUCUUUUUUUUUUUUUUUUUUGUGCAGUAAGCUUCUGUACUUUAACGCAAUUCAGAAUGAAAUAUAUGCACCGCAAGAGUCUCAUUUUUACCUUCAACUUGGUAAAUGUAACUAAUUCAGAACCCAUUUUCUUAUUCAAUCAGUAAUAUAUACACUGAAAUCAUUCCCAAAGCACUUUCUUUUUUCCCAAAUGCAGGAUGUGAGUUUUUUAAUGUAUCCUAUAAUUGAUAGUUUUUACACUAUUUUUUCAUGAUUAAUGUGCUUUUUGUUCUGAAUCUAGUGCUAACUCUGUAUGCUGGAGUUUUACAUCCCCUGUUGUAAUUUUUUCGAUUCCCUUUCUGAUGCUUCUUUAGUGACAAAUCUGUCUGUAAUGCUUAUUGGAAAGCAUGUUGAAACAUUGGUUAACUAAACAUGGAGAUAAUAAUACUGAUCCAGAUGUAACAAAUGAUGAUUUUGAGGCUUAUGAAGGAAACAGUCUAAUUUUGUUGGCGUACUCCUUUCCACAGAGGAGCUUGCUGGUUCUAAUUAACCAAAUACUUUCACCUUUUGUCUUUUCCUGUUUUGGGAAGUUUGCAUGUCAUAAUCGACUCUUUAACUGAUUGAUUUCAACAAAAAAAAACUUGGAAAGGCAUCAAACUUGUAAUUACUAUUCAAGUAAAAUUAUAAAAGGAAGCAUAUAUGUUUUAUUUGACUGUAUCAUGACAACUUUUUACUUCUGUUUUCCAAACUUAUCUCAGUCAUAUGACCACCCAUAUUCUGGUCAUUAUUCAUAAGUACCUAAUGGAUAAACAAAAAGUUAUUUUAUGUUGAGAAAUGAACAGAUAUUAUUAGAGUUGAGCCUCUUCCACAAACAGUAUUUCAGUGAUCCAGGAUAUGCAGAACAUUACUUGAUCAUGAAAAUACUAUUUCUGGAAGAGAUUCAACUAUUUUUCGUUUUAUUUCUCAGCCCAAAGCAUGAAGAUUUGUUCCUUGACAUGUAAUGCUUCAUCAUUUCUUUUUAGUUUUCAUUAUUUAUUUAUUUUUAAUUGUAACUUCCUGAAGCUACUGUUACACAGGAUGCUUCUUGGGUGAUGAAGUUGAUGGUGUUCCUGGAAUUCAACAUUUUGUUCCAGGUUUUGGUCGAAAGACUGCUUUAAAGCUCUUGAAAAAGCAUGGGUCUCUUGAAAAUCUACUAAGUGCUGCAGCUGUAAGAACUGUAGGCAGAGCAUAUGCCCAAGAUGCCCUUAUGAAGUAUGCUGAUCAUUUAAGAAAAAACUAUCAAGUCCUUUCCCUGAAGAGGUUGCUUGUUUUACUUUUUUGUUUUCAAUUAUACUCCUUUAGGAAUGACUAAGCCCUCUCCCUUCUCCAAUCCUGAUGUCCUUUCAGUUUAUUAUUGUUGUCAACUUUAAAACAUGGUGCACCUGAAUUGUUUUAUUUCAGGGAUGUUGAUGUACAAAUCGAGGACAAGUGGCUUUCUGGGAGAAAUUGUUGUAAUGAUUUGGUUGUAUUAUCCAACUUUAUCAACUUAUUGAGGGAUACUGAGAAUCAUGAUGGGCAAAGUAAAUAUGAUCCAAAUGGUUAAGCUUUGAAGUGACUCUUCUGAAGUCUUUAAAAGGUUGGACCAUUCCCCUCCUACUACUUGUUUGAGAUUCUUCUGUACCCUAAAUUAAUUUAAAUCUUCCAUUGCAAAGUUUAAAUUUUCCUAGCUCUUAUAAGGUAAAAUUUUGUCAUCCUUCCAGUUUUAUUUAGUAAAUGCUGAUGCUUCUGCUGCUCAUAGUUAAGAUUAUGGUUGUUGUGUAUUCUUAAUAGUCAGCUAUACUAAUUAUCUAGUGAGAGUUUUUUGCAGGUGUCAUUUGAAGAAUCUAAUGAUAGAUUAAACUGAUAUACUUCUCUAAAUGGAUCUGUAUAUGGUUUUGGAUCUGCAAGUGUACAUAUCAUUUUAAAUCAAUUAUAUUUUUUCUGAACCAAAGAACAUCAGUAUACAUCUGAACCUUCAUUUCCAUUGUUCUCUGUAGGAUCAAAGAGGUGGAAUAGAAAGACCGUUAUCUAUAUGCAUAGAGGCAUGAAAGAGAAAUAUGCAGUUUAUUUGAAGGCAAUUGAUUUAGAAAUCGUAUUGUUCUGUUAUCAGAAAGAGGAGAUUUUUUGGGGGGGGGCGGGGAGGGAGGGAGGUGGUUGGGGAUGGGGAGCAUAGGGUGAUAUAGCCAGCUUUUGCAAUGAAUUAACCUAGCUUUAAAGCAGAAUAGGUCUUUAAGUAUGAAUAAAGAGACUGUUGUGCUGUGGUAAGAACAUUUCCUAUUAAGAUUACAAAAUAAAAUCAUGGAACUCUAGCAGCAAUCUUUUGAUUUAUAGAUCUUCAAUAGUUUGGGAAACUUAUGAGGGGAAUUAAGAAUGAAAUAUAUCGGCCAUAAGCAAUUGUAAGCUUUUGAUUUGAAUAUUAUAUUUUCAUUAACAAUUACAUAAUAAUUAUACUAGCUAGCUUCUCCAAUUGUUAAUUAUGACAAAUCUGCUCAGCCUUUUUGGUUCUCUACGGACAUCUUUUGACUUGUAGCCUCUGCUAAUUAUCUCACGUUACAUUUUUUCUUAUGCUUAUAUUGCAGAUGUAAAUUUUGUUUCUUCAUUUUGUAGAAUACCUUUUUUUUUUGUUUAUCUUCUUGUAAAACAAAGACGUCACAAUCAAAAGAGCUGUCAGUAGCAGAUGCGUAAAGUAUUAGUGUAAUGUGAGGCUCAAUUUUAUUCAUUGAUGUUGCUGGUGGUGACAUUUUAAGGUAUGCCGUCAGCUCUCAGCAGGGUAAUCUCAAGAAAUGGUAUCAUGUCCUGACCCAAGGACAGUAGUUGAUUUCAGCAGCAUUUGCACCUCAAGGUGAACUUGAUCUAUGUAGCACACUGUAAGUUCUCAUCUCCAAUCUUGCUCUCCUGGGGUUAUGACUCUGUUUAGUUGUGUAAAAUGGUAAUUUCAUGUCUUUUUCCCCCUUUUUCAGGAAGGAUGUAUUUCUAGUACUUUAGGCCUACUAGAAGAUAAUGGAGAUUAGAUAAAUAAACUGCUUGGUGGCUGUUAAUGAAACAGUCAUUUCAUAAACUGUUGCAGUAAUCUAUGAAGAUUUGCUGUUUGCAUACCAGUACUUUUUUUUUUUUUUUUGGAUAAGUGGGAGGUCUUGAAUCUAGAACCAUCUACUUACAAUCCCUUCACCCUUACCAUCCAACCCAACCCUCCUCACCUUGCACACCAAUAUUGUUUAAUCCUUGGGCUGAUAAAUUAUGUGGAACAUAGUUGUCGAAAUCGCGAUCCGGAUCGUACGAUCGUACGAUCCGGAUAAUCAAAAUCGAUCCGGAUCGUAUUCAGAGUCGCAAAUCAUAUUAAUCUAUGCAGGAUCGCGUAGGAUCGUAGUAGGAUUGGUAGGAUCGUAUAGGAUCGUACGAUCCUACAAUUUUUUGUAAAUUUGUGAACUACGAGGCUCCAUUUUGCAAGUAAAUGAAAAUAUUUGUGGUAUAUUUGUAAUUUAUCAAAGAAUUGCAACCUUUAAUUGCAAUUAAGAGCUUUUGGUAGGAUCUUACGAUCCUACGAUCCGAUUCCGUGAAACUAAAAUCGAUCCUACGUAGGAUCCUGAUUUUACAAACCUUGAUGUGGAAUACUGGAAUAGGGUGGUAAACAAAUUUUGGAGAUCCCCAUGAAGCUAUUUCUGUUUCGUGUGGUGUUUUGGUCAAUUUUGUAUUCUAAAACUGCAGCUUCUUCAGUGUCUACAACAGGCAGUAUGUACGAGUUACUCGACUUAUUAUCAUGUGUUCACUCUAUUCUGACAUUCUUUUAAGUAUCAGCAGUUGUUCAAAUUCCUGAACCAUGUUGACUACGGAAUAUUUAUAAGGAAAUUUUCGUCAUGGUGAUAAAGAAACAAAUGAAGUAUUCAAUGCAACUGACAGUCCACGAUGCUGUAAUGGUGAAUACCUUUAGGACGACCUUAUCUGAGACAACGUGCUAUUGAACUGGUAGCUUAGUUGUUGGAUGCUUACUUCAUUAUAGGUGGUAACAAGUUCCAUAUCUAAAUAUCUUUCCCCAAUAUAUUGAACCAAAAAAAGAAAGGGAAAUUUGCCAAAUUGGUCAUUUACACUUUCAAAAAAAAAAUUUUUAAUCCCUCACAUUUAAAAUCAAUCAUAAUAGUCCAUCGAAUAUAAAAAAAUCCACCCAAUUGAUCACAAAUCUCAUUUUCGCUUACUUCUCUCGUCAAAAAGCGCACAUCUCUUUCACGUGCCCAUAAUUUUAAAGGCAAAAAUGAAAAUAUAUUUCAUUUUCUCUUUUUUUAUAUAAGAAGGAAAUGUAAGCCACCAAACCUUUUUUUCCCCUUCCCUCCAUUUCUUCAACUACCAAAAAGCUAAUUGUAAGUUACAACCCUCUAAUCAAAGAAGCAAAUGUCAAUAUGGUCACCUACGAGUAGUAGAAGAAGAGCAAGAAAAGACAUUUAAGAAAAUACACUGAAAAUAAUCAAUGAUCAAUGUUAUUGUGACAAAGAGCUCAUGAUUAUGACUUCUUGGAAACCUACAAAUUUAGGAAGGAGAUUCUAUGGGUGUCGAAACUAUGAAGUAAGCCUAAGCACAUUUCAUUUUGGUUGUCUUGAAAAAAAUUGGUUUUUAAUAUGAGGUGAAAAUUGAUUCUUAAUACCUGAUGUUCUUGCAAUUUAGGUGAAUUGUGCUUAUCAUUAUUUCAAGUGGCAUGAUUCCUCAAUGUGCAGUAGAUCAAUAUCAAUAAUACCUACCUUGUUAAAGACUAUCAAUCGGCUGGAAACUGAGCAAAAAAAAGAAUUUGAAAAGAAAAUUUAUUUUGGGCUACUUUGCUUGUUUCUUGGAUGUGCAUUUUACUGAUUAUGUUGAACAAGAGUUUAACUGUAGUCUAAAGAGGAAAUGAAGCAUAUAAGGUAAAAGUAAUAUGAUCUUUGCACUUUCGUCGCUUACACAGUUGUUUGUGUGAUAUUGAAGAAUGAAGAAGUUAAAAUUUUCCUUAUUUAAUUGAGGUUUAUAUUUAGGAUUUUGAUAGUUGAUGUGUUUCUUAUAAGAAAAUGAAAUAUGUUUUCAUUCUUAAAAGGAAACAAUGUAUUUUUUACAAGCACAUGAGAGAGGUGUGCACUUUUUAGAUAGAAAAGUGAGCAACAAUGAGUUUGGGACCAAUUAAGAGGACAUUUCUAUAUUUGAGGAACUAUUGUAAUUGAUUUUAAAUGUGAGGGACCAAAAAUUUUUUUAUUUAAAUGUGAGGGAUCAAUUUGGUAAAUUUCACAAAAAAAUUUAUUAACAAAAUUUGGUGAUCAGAUGCCUCAUUUCUUCCACUUUUGACGACAUUUAAGGUACUAAUGUUUGAACAUAACAAAGAAAAGUUGAUCAUAGUACAAGUAUAUAUGAUAAAUUCUAGUUAUAGUUCACUAUUUGAUUAUAACAACAUCUCUUCGUAGAGAAGUCUAUAUUCCCUCAGUUCCAAUUUGUUUUUCGUGUUUCGAGAAUCCAACAUUUUAAUAAUAGUGCUUUAAUUGUGAUUUUUGUACUUCUCUUUCUAAUCUUAUCCUUACAAAUUUAAAUUUUGAAUUUGAAUGAUGACAUGUAUAUGAUUAAAUGAAGAGACUAAAUUAGAAGAAAAAACCUACAAGGUAAUUUGAAUUUUUUUUGUCAUCAUAAAUAUUUUAGAAAAUCUUAAAGUGGAAAGUAUGACACCUUUAAUGGAAUGAAGGGAGUAAUACGUAUGAAUAAAAAUCUAUGGCCCAUUAUACUGAAUACUUUCAACCGUUUUGUUUUUUUUUUUUGUUUUUUGGGUACAAAUAAUAAUAAUAUUAAAAAUCUAUUAGUAAGAGUUUAUAUACAGAGCCAGCUAAAGGCCCCCAAAAUCCAUAGAUAGUGAAAAAUGGGUUUACAUGGAAAAGACAAAAAUCUUUAUUAGUUUCAACAUCUAUUUUUGCAAAAAAGUCAGCGCGUUGGUUUGCUUCCUGGUAGAUGUGUCUAUUAGAGUGCCUUUGUGUCACGGGUUGCUUUUCCUAUAAGCCAACACGCCGUGCGGUACUAGCGAUCGUUCAACAUUUAAACUAUGAACAGUUAGUUAGGUUAGCCUAAACACUAAGUGCGCAGAAAUGUGCAGAAACUAGAGUCGUGAGCAAAGAAAAAAAGUAUCGGAGGCAAAGGAAAGUUUGUAUUACACUUGUGAACACUUACACAAGAUUGAUUACAAAUGAGGGACUUGACCCUAUUUAUAGGCAAGUUAAGAAACUAUACAACUCUCUAGAGAAUUCUAGAGACUUGCACAAAGAGUAGUACUUUUUUUGUGUAGGCCCUCGAUCUAGUACCUAUACUCUGUGCAAGUCUGUAAAAUUCUCUAGAGAGUUGUAUAGGUUCUUGACUUGUUUAUAAAUAGGGUCAAACCCCUCAUUUGUAACCAACCAUAUGUAAGUGUUCACAAGUGUAAUACAAACUUUCCUUUGCCUCCGAUACUUUCUUUCUUUACUCACGACUCUAGUUUUCGCACAUUUUCACGCACUUAGUGUUUAGGUUGAAUUAGCUAAUUGUUCAUAAUUUAAAUUUUGAAUGAUCGCUAGUAUAUCGUACGUUGUGUUGACUUGUAGGAAAAUAAACAACCGUGACACUUGGAAGCUGUCCAAGAGGGCCUGCAAUCAAAAAUUACAGCGGAAAGGUUGUGAUUUUGAGAAGUGAUGAUUAAUGAUCAAAUCCACAAUUACUUCGGCAUCCAACUCAAUAUGCAGGUGGGUGACAGUUGAGUGAUUUACUAAAUAGCCCAUCUCUUUCAAUCAUUUUAUACGUGACUUGUUUUGCAAAUGACUUUCUUGGCCUGAUUUGCUAAAUUAAGCCCACCUCUUUCAAUCAUUUUGUACGUUACUUGUUUUGCAAAUGAUUUUCUUGGCCUGAUUUAUUCCAGGUCUACCAUUGGGAUUUGAUUGUUUCUUUUUUUUGGUUAUGAAUAAUUUUGAAUGCCAAAAAAGGUCCGACUUUUAGGGUCCGUUUGGUUGGACUGAAAAUAUUUUCCCUAGGAAAAUAUUUUCAGUCGAAGUCAUUUUCCUGGAAAAUCACUUCCUUCCCCAUAAUUUUCCAGUGUUUGGUUAUUAAGUGAAAAUAUUUUCCAAAUUCCUUUUUUCAUAAUUUUCCGGCGUUUGGUUUGUCACUGAAAAUAUUUUCUGAUAUAUUUGUUGAUAUGUUGCAAAUAUUUUUUUUACUCUCAAAACAUUUAUUUCGUUACAAGUUAAUUUUAGUUUCUAUCCAUUGUAAUCAAAUUAUCAUUUCUAUAAAAUAUCUAUUCAUAUUAUACCAUGAAUUCUUAAAUGGAAUUAUUAAUGGAAUCUUGGAUUUAUUCAUAAUUUGUUAAUUCUUGCUGCCGACCAAUGGAGCUUUCGAUUAGCAAAGUCCAAGGUCAAUUACCAAUAAACCACCUUAAUAUGUACAGCAGCUCAGUACAGAGACAGAGACUGCUGGUGCUAGGCCAAAAAUUUAGCUUCAUGCAGCCUUGUGCAAAUGUCAAUCUACAAAGAGGAGUUCUAGCAGAAUAGCACUUUCGCCCUCAUUUUCCUCUGUUACACGGAUUCUAUGCUUUCUAUCAUGGAAAUCCCGGCACAUAUACACUUGUUCUUGAAAUCUGCAACAGAAAAUGUGAAAAUAGGUCCUACGAACAAUAGAAGUUCAAAACGAAUCGAAUUGAGCCAGGAAGAAUCGAAGCGAAUGGGCAUUACCAGUAGAUACUCCACAGCCAAGCAGGCAUGCUCUACUGGCUGGAAGUGCAGGAUCUACUUUUUGUAACGUGAGUGAUGUCCACCACAGUGUACUCACUGAAACCUGAUGUGUAGCCAAAGUGGUAAAUUGUCUCUCCUUUGGUAUCAGAAAAUCGGCUAGUCCCAUCUCUAAUAUAAGGAGACAAUUCGAAUCUCAAUUUGGAGCAUUGGUUGCUUUUGAUGAUGUGCAAUCAGGACAUUCUCCGCAGUAAGCCAAGAAUGAUGGAAUGACAGUGUCUCCCACCUUUACAUCCUCGAUUCCCUCUCCAACGCUCUCCACAACCCUAAAUUAAACAGAAUCAAACAUGAUCAGAAAUUGACUAAAAUGCUUUGAGCAAAGUCAUGACCUUGUUAGUACUUGUAGCAUGAAUGAAAAUACUCACCCAACAGUUUCAUGACCAAAAAUUCUUGGAUAAUAUCCAUGCGGUUCCUUCAAACAGAACAAACGAGUUUGUCAGAAUUUGAUCAAAGUACAGAUUCAUGUGCAAAGUUAUGCUGAUCUGCGUGUGAUUAGAGGACAUGAGAUUCAUACUUUGAGCCUCCAGAAAUGGAUGUCACUGAAGCAGAGGGCGGAGCACAAGACUCGAACGCGAAGCUCACGGGCUUUUGGAGGGGCAACUAUUAUUUCCUCUAUCACUAAUGGCUCCCCUGCUUUCCUGGCAACGGCAGCUGCAUCCAACAAUCAAAGUAAUUACACAUCUUCUGGCAGAUUUCAAGAACAAGUGUAUAUGUGCCGGGAUUUCCAUGAUAGAAAGCAUAGAAUCCGUGUAACAGAGGAAAAUCCGUGCCGGGAUUUUUGCCUAUAACUUUUGUCUAUUGUCUCUUUACAGCAGGAGUAAUGACUCUUCUGCAGAUCCAACCGUCCUAAGGACAUUGGUAGAAAAGCUACAACUAACUGGAAUAUCAGACCUUACUCAAGAGUCACUGACUUGGGAAGAUGCCCUGCUUGUGUUUCAUUUCGUUUGAGGAAAGAUUUCAGUAUAUUAAGACAUAAGUAUUUCCACGGUUAUAUUCCCUUUUCAAUCAAGCAGCUGCAGUAAGAAUCAGCCCGUGGCUUCACAAACUCAAUGAAUUCACUAAAACUUUUACAAAUGGUCUAAAACCCCGAAAAAUCAGCAGCCAAAUUAAUUCAUUAGCAUCAAUCAAAUCAGAUUUAACCCUAAUCAGGUAAGAACAAACUAAAACAAAAGCAACCCACAAAAAUUCAUUCAAAUGGAACUUCAAGAAUCUACACCAGUAAUUCUAGACAAUUUUUCAAAGGAAAAGGGAGGAAAAAACAACUAACAAGAGAUCAUACCUCUGGAAAUACUUGAGGAAUCUUCACCCUUGUUGGAAAUGCUAUUGUAGGAACGGGAAUCAGAUUGUGCUUAUGCCGUCAAACAAGCUUCUGAGGCUGCAUAAGCAAACGCAUCCACAAUGGCGGGCACAGCUCACAAACAAAAAGCUGACUGAAGAGAGAGAGAGAGAGAGAUGGUUACCGGCCGCAAUGGCAAAGUCUAGUUCCGAUGACUAGAGAAAUGGACCACACAAACUCACACUCACACAAACGCAUCCACACAUGACCGUCGAUAUUGGCAGCUUUUAAAGGAAAAAAAAUGAGAGAGAGAGAGAGAGAGAGAGGAGAUGACCUGUUACCUCCGAAAUUGGGUCUUUGUCGGAGUUGGAGAUGCCGCCUGCGAAGAAGGAGGGAUUUGUUUGCUGAUGAGAUGUCGCCGGCGGCUUUUGGUUGGACUGAAAGCUUUUAUUUGCCGGAGAUGAGGAGAUGUCGCUGCGAAAAAGAAGACUGCAUUUUAGGAAGGAAAAUAACUUCACAAAGACAGAUGAGGAAGUUAUUUUCCUCCUCUGGAUGUAAUUUAUUUUCCAUCGGAAAUUAUUUUCCCAAAAUAAUUGACAACCAAACAAAAGAAAAUAUGGAAAAUGUUUUCCGGAAAACCUUUUCCUUCCAAACAAACAGACCCUUAGUUCUGUCUUUUUCAUGGACAUGAUUAUUGCACUUUUACUCUCAAACAUCUAGUAAGUCAACUUUGUUCCAACUAGUUAACUACGUUGUGUAUCACUCCUUGAUUAAAACAAAAUACGUGGAAUCCCAAAAUUGCAAAGAUAUUAUACAAUUUCAGCAAGGGUUAUUGUAGUAAGCCCCUAAACAUAAUCAUUUAAGCACUUUACCUUUCAAAUUUACCGCAAAAAGUAACUGCUUGAUAAAUGGCGAAGUAUUCUAAAGUUAGCAAUUGCAUUCUAUUAGUACUCUUUGUAAUAAGCUCCCAAGGAACUUUUAUAGUGAAUUUAUCUCUGAAUUCAUUUUAAAAAUUUUGUUUUUCUUUUUUCCUUCUCUCUCUCUCUCUCUCUCUCUCUCUCUCUCUCUCUCUCGUAAUAUCCUUAUUGUUCUCCAUUCUCUCUUACCAUUAAUAAAAAUUAUAUUAUUGUUUUUAAAUGAGUAAUCACAAAUUUUAUUGUUAUGCAUUUGUUUAAAUAAUAUAAUUUCUAAAUGAAAGAUGCUUUGUAAGACAAGUAAGAUAUAAUUUAUUAUAUUGUAAAGUUUAGUUUCCUUAACUUUCUUUGGCUUAAUCUUUAAUUUUGUGGGAUGUUGAUUAUUUGUUAAUUUUCAUCAUGAAAUAAUUUAUCGCAAACUCCAACACUAAUUUGUUGUAGGAUGCAGUUGGUUUGUUGCUUGCAUUACAAAGUAUACAUAAUCUAGAAAUAAAAAAUGUUUCUAUAUGAACAUAAAACUUGGAGCUUGUGAUUAGUCAAUUAUUAAUAGUGAUACAAAAGAAAUAAAAGAGAAAAAUGAGAGGAACAAAGAAAAAUAAAAUAGUUAAAACACUGGGGUAAAUUACCUAUAAAAUUCUUUAAUGGGCACUGUGUAACUAAGUUCCUAGUUUUGGUGGUAAAUUGCAAACUAAAGUUUUGGGUUAUCACAUCUCUCUAAAGUUGCUUGCCUUCUUUUUAUUUUCUUCUCACCUCACGAUAUGAUGGAAUAGAAAUUUUUUCCUAGCAAGAUUACGACAAUUCUGAUCGAGAAUUGCCAGACGGAUUUGAGAACGAAGAUUUUGACUCCCACUGGAUGUCGUUUAAAAGCCCUUCCAGCAAGGUAUAGUUGGAAACAAAAUGAUUUGUUUUUUUGUUAUUCCACUGAAAAAUUGACUAUUCUUCUCCAUAUUCAUUGUUCCUUUUUGUUUUUGUUUUGAUUUUAUCGUAGUUUUAGAUGACAAUGAAGGAGAGGAUUUUGCUGGUGAAUUGAAAAUUGUACCCUUCGUAUUUUGUGCAACAUCUGUUCCUUCUUAUUUAAGUUUUAUACAUCUUCUGGCAAAAUUUUCCUGUUUAGUCCACACUUUUCCUCUCUCCUAGGUGAUUGAUCGAUUUUGGAUGCUAGCAUAUGCAGACCCAACAAAUUGGUUGAGAUUUUAUUAGGGUUGCGGUGGUGGUAUCCUGCAAGAGAGUAGAUGAAAAAUAGCAGCCAAGAGGUUAGACCAUCAUGUUUCUUGAAAAUUGCCUGAUUAUAUUGCUUUAAUUUAUUUAUCUUUCAUUUGAUUUGAUUGUCAAUAUUUUGUUGAAAAAUAUGUGGGAAAUGACUUAGACCCUAUAUGUGAAACAUAGUAGUAUGUCGGCAUUUAUGUGAAAAGUAGUUAAUUUAGGAAUGCAUAUAAGGUGUUUGGUGAAAUGUCAAAAAGAAAUUUGCAUGAUAUGAUUGAUGCUUGUACGGGGUUAGAAAACACCAAACAACUUGAUUAAAACCACAGUUGACGAAUUUCAGUUAUCAAUUUUUUAAAUUAAUUUUUAUUAUAUCUCCUCAUUCCUAUGUUUUAGAUACUUCCAACACCGGAUUCAUAGACAUUUACGAUGCAAAUUUUUAAAGAUUCUAAGCAAUGCAAAGUAAAGAUUUUAGUACGUUGGUCUCAAAGUUAUCGUUGUGUUCAUGGUACUAUUAGAAUCCUUUGUUUUUUUUUUAAUGUUUGAAUACAUGAAUUUGAUUCUAGCAAUUCCCACCGCCAUGCAAAGAAUUAGCUUUGAUACGUCUAUUUGCUCAAAAUACAUCGUUGAGAUCGAUAAGAUUUAAUACAAAAAGGAUUCGGCAUGAUAUAUAUUCUAACACUGGAAAGCAUUAUUGUUUCUUUAAAAGUAGCAGUAAAAUCACCCUUGCUUUGGGCGCCUGAUGAAUCAUGAAUUGGUCGGAGCCUACCUGAAUCUAAUUGUACCUACAUAUCACUGAUCAAUGACAAAAAACAAUCUUGAACUAUAUUUGUGAACUUUGAAAUUUCCCUGGUUUGAAAAACCAGCCAAACAAUGUAUUUCAAUUGAGAAUGUAAAUUCAAACCUGAUAGGAUCAUCCUAUCUGGCCUAUUGCAAUCAGAUUCACCGCAUGGAUGCAAUAAGGAGUUAAUGGAUAGUAAUUGGUUUCAGAUCAUUCCUCCUGGUCAGGUAAUGUAUAGCUUGCUUUUAUUUUUGUGUGAAGACAUGAAAUAUAAUUGUGCUGUAUUUGCAUUUGUAUAGGCAUUAAUGUGGGCAUGCAAUCCUUCAUUAAUCCAAAGUCAUGUACGAAACACUUGCUUGUUAGGAGACGAAAAUAUUCAGGUACAUUUUUCCUUCUUCACGCCUAAGUUUUAUGUCACUUAUUUGCUAUGAUUAUGUGUUGCUGUGGCCUUUUUUUUAAUACAAAUCUUGUGAUGGUUUUGUAGUGAAUGAACCAAAUUUCAGCCAAGACCAUUAAGGAAUUUUAUUCUUGAGAGGGUACAAAUUUUUUUGUUCGUCUUUGCUAAAAAAUUUUAGGAUGAUUUAAGUUUCUUCGAAGGUAGUUUAAUGUGUUUUGAUUGUAAAUCUGAACAUAAUCUCCUUAGUUUGCAAUUUCUGGUGUUUACUUGUUUUAUGUGAAUAAUUUCAGCUUUCUUGGAAAAAAGUUUGGUGAAUGAUGGCGUUUAAUUUCAAGAAUUGGCAUUUCAGAACAUUCAAUUUUUCUAAGUUUCAAUUGGAAGUUAACCCUUGUUUGUGGCAGUCUCGAGAAGUUAAACCUUGUACAAAAGGUUUAAGAUCCAGUAAUCCUGUGUACUUGAAGAUCUUUAUGGUUUAUAACAUAUCAGAUUUUUCAAGAACCACAUCACCAUUAGAAAACAUAUGCUAGGAAAGUCAAUCAUGUCAGAGGUAAGCUCAAAUCAGCAUUGUUGAUGGGAGUUCUGCUCAUAAUUGUUGAAGUAUGUUAUUUUCUUUUCAAAACUGUUAUGCUUGCUUACUAAAUAACACAAUUAUGAGCACUUGCUGUUUAUGAUUAAAAGGCAUUUUGAUGUAUUGCACGAAAAAAGUGAUGUAUUGCACGGAAAUGAUAUCAAGAUGCAGAGAAAAACUUAAAAUGAAGUAAAUUCCUUGAUCAAAUUCUGAUACUUCCAUAUUUUCCAUCAUUUUACUCACUUCAGAUAUUGUUAGCAUCCAAGUGCUCUUGGUUUGUAAAACAGAAAUUUCAAUUCAAACUGAAGCUUUUGAUAGUGAUAUCAGAGCCCUUUUGUCAUGCAACAUCAGCAGAAUGUGCGCAAUCAAAUUUAUCCUCAGCCUCUUUACACAUUCAAAAGGGGAUGCCCCAAUUGUAUCCAAAAGCCAUCUUCUAUCGUUAGACAUGAAAUUCUAUGACAUUUAUCGACAUUCCACUCAGAACCAAGUUUCACUUUAUUAAAGCUGUUAACAAUCCCUCUCCAAGUGUCCUAAAAUCAGAAUUAUUUACCCAAAAAAAUAAAGGCAGAGAGAGAGUCACCCUUGUCUAUAUCCCCUUUUAGGUUCAAGUAUUUAUUUACUUCCCCAUUUAAAGUGCUGCUAAUAAAGUGGAUGUGAUACAUUUCAUAACAACAUCAACAAAAGGUAGAAGGAAAACCAAAGUGGAUCAAACGAACGGUGCUUAAGCCAAAACCAAUUGAAGUUAAACUUAUCAUAAGCCUUUUGUAAAUUAAUCUUCAUAUGUUCAUUUUCUAAUACUCCUAUGCAAAAGUUCCUGAGUAACGCAAUGCUAUCGUUGGUUUCUCUUUUAGGAAGAAAGCUACUUUGGACAGGUCCAAUAGUGGAAGAGAGCAGAGGCUUAAUCCUAUUAAUAAUAACUGCAGAGGCCCCGUCCCAGGCCUAGACACGUGGCAGCCCAGAUAUGGCCGAGCAGGGCCUCGACCUCAGGCCCCUAGCAACUGUCCUGGGCCGUAUCGUCACUAGGGCUCCAGAAGGGCCAGGGGACCAUCCCACAGAGGUCGGAGGAGAUCCCCCUCGGCGCGGGAUAAGGGCUAUCCCGGGCAAGUCCCGAAACGUACGGAGGUCGGACUCCCGAACAAGUAUAAAUGGUAAUGGCCAUCACCUACACAAGGUACGCAUACUAUUGGCACAUUACUCUCGGCUGCUUAAUUCCCGAAAACCUCAUCCACCGGAGAACUAACUUGACCGUCGGAGUGCCCUCGGGGACAACCUCGGGGCCCCCUGUUAGAUCACCCUAUUGUCUGUCUUGCAGGCUUGGGAUUACCUCUACCCAUCAGCACACUGAGCUCAUCAGUUCAGCUCGAUCCGGGGAAGCUCAGCGCUUCUUCAGUUGGCGCCGUCUGUGGGAACUCUAAGGUAAUCAAGACUGUGUUGAUGGCGAGAACGCGAUCCAGGCGAACGAUAGAGAACACCGACCCUGGAGCCGGCGAAGGAUCCCAGCGAAUGGAGGCCGAGGCGGCAAGGGGAGCCGGGGGCUCAGCCCUCUCAGGGGAGCGGAGGCAGCAGAUUUUCCAGUUCGUGACGGAGAACCUCCCCAUGCUAGAAGACAUUAUCCGGCAGGCGAAGGAGGGAGAGGGGGCUGGAGGCGCGCAGACCUCCAAGGCGAAGGCGAAGAAGAAGGAAUCACCUCCCGACCCCUCGGAGGAUGAGUCGCGGACUAGCCCCCUAGAAGGAAGCGGCCGCGGACUCCCCCUCGUCCACGGGCCUCGGUGGUCGGAAACAGUGAGAGUAUAGUUGUCAAAAUCGCGAUCCGGAUCGUAGGAUCGUACGAUCCUACGAUCCGGAUAACCAAAAUCGAUCCGGAUCGUAUGCAGAGUCGCAAAUCAUAUUAAUUUUUGCAGGAUCGCAUAGAAUCGUAGCAGGAUCGUGUAGGAUCGUGUAGGAUCGUAGGAUCGGUAGGAUCGUACGAUCCUACAAUUUUUUUUGUAAAUUUGUGAAAUACGAAGCUCCAUUUUGCAAAUAAAUGAAAAUAUUUGUGGUAUAUUUGUAAUUUAUCAAAGAAUUGCAACCUUUAAUUGCAAUUAAGAGCUUUUGGUAGGAUCUUACGAUUCUACGAUCCGAUCCUAUGAUCCGAUCCUGUGAAACUAAAAUCGAUCCUACGUAGGAUCCCGAUUUUACAAACCUUGAGUGAGAGAUACUCCCGUGACCGGUCCGCGGGAGUCGUCCAAGAGACCCCUCCCCCCGAAAACCCACGCGGAACGGGCAUGAGCGUUCUCCUGCUCGGUCUGUUAAGAGCCGACCUCGCGACCCUCCUCAGUGGAAACCUGCCCGGAACGAACUCGAACAGAUCCUGCGGCCACAAUUGUACGAGGACAACUACACGACAUCGCCCUUCCCCCGGGAGAUAGAGGAUUACCCCCUACCCCGGAGGUUCAAGAUCCCGAGCAUUGAGAUGUAUGACGCUUCAACCGACCCGGAAGACCACCUCUCGAUCUUCCUGACGCACAUGCGUCUGCAAACAGCCGCGGAUGAGAUCCGCUGCAAAACCUUCCCCAUGUUCUUAAAGGGGAAGGCCCGGCUCUGGUUCCAAGGUCUGGCACCAGGGUCUAUCCGGAAUUUCCAUGAACUGGCCAGACAAUUCGUAGCCCAGUUCGUUUCCUUGAAAACUUACUCAAAGAAUGCGACUCACCUAAUGGCUAUCAGGCAGAGGCCCGACGAGUCCCUGAGGAAUUUCAUGACCCGUUUCAACGCGGAGAGUUUACAAGUCAGGGACAAAGACGAAAAGGUGGUCAUGGCCGCCUUCAUGAAUGGGCUCAGGGUAGAGGAGCUCUUCUACAAGCUGGCCGAGAAGUCUCCUGGAAAUCUGGAGGAGCUCCUGACCAGGGCGCACGGGGUCGCUAAUGCGGAGGAGGCAGGCCGCCUGAAAAAAGAGUCAGAUCGGGAGUUCGGAAAUCGGAGAGGGCGGGGAAACCCCCCCGAGAACAAGAAUGGUCCGGCCAAGAAAAACGUCUUUGACCGGCUCUCGAGGGAGAAAGCCCCUGUUCCGCCGCCACUCCCGGAGAAAAAGAUACACCCCCUUGACUCGGUCUAGGGCCCAGAUCUUGGAUGUUAUGGAAGCGGAAUGCCUGGGAGGUCGUCCGCCCAAGAUGGGAACACCCCGGAACAAAAGGAACCAGGACCGGUACUGCGCUUUUCAUCGCGACGUUGGGCACGACACGGAGGGGUGCUGGGCCCUGCAGAAGGAGAUCGAAGAUCUGAUCCAGCGAGGCUUCUUGGGGUGAUUCGUGCGGCAAGGUCGCCCCGGCCAGGAGUCCGGGCACGCCUACUAUGGUGAUCGGGGACGGGGGCCAGCGGCGCGACCGCCCUGAGCGACGUGACGCCCUCCGGGGCCACUCCCCCGACUAGGACACACAGAACCUGACUGGAGUGAUAAACACCAUCGCCGGGGCCCCACAGGGGGAGACAGUCACACAGCUCGGAAGAACAGGCGACCUCCCCCUGAGGGGGAUGACUCUCUGAAACGGCUGCGCAUGGAUGAGAAGAUCACUUUUGGACCAAGGGAUGCAGUCCCCCUAGCAUCUGGGAACCACGAAGCCAUCGUGAUAGACAUUGUUACCAACAACUACCGGGUGAAAAAGGUAUAUGUCGACCAGGAAAGUGCGGUCGACAUCAUGUUCUAUCGGGUGUUCAAGGAGUUCGGCUUGGAGGACAGACAGCUGACCCCUGUUCGGACACCUCUGGUGGGUUUCACCGGAUCCCUUAUCAACCCGGAGGGAAUGAUCACCCUGAUGAUCACGGUAGAACAGACUCCCAAAUGCCGGACCGUCCUUGUCAACUUCGUGGUAGUCAAGCAACAAUCCCUGUACAACGUGUUCCGGGGUCGGCCUGCCUUGAACGCUCUCCGAGCUAUCCCCUCAACGCUCCACCUCAGCGUCAAGCUCCCCACUCCGGGAGGGAUAGCCGAGGUACGCGGUGAUCCAGAGGUGGUCAGAGCUUGCUACUUGGCCAUGCUUCAAGGACGGGAGAAGGUGGUCGCCCAGACGACCUGCCUGGAGCCCUACAUUCCAGGGGGGAAGCCCGACAGCUGGACACCCAGGACGAGAUCGAGGAGUUCCCCUUGAGGGAGGACCGACCCGACCAGGUGGUCCGCAUCGGCUCGCUGCUACCCCUUGAGGAAAAGGAGGGUUUAAAGGCCCUGUUAAGGGAAUACUCCCAGAUCUUCGCAUGGACGGUUGAGGACAUGCCUGGGAUUUCGACCAACCUGGCCGUCCACCACCUCAACGUGGAUCCUCGCUUCAAACCGGUGAAGCAAAAGAAGAGGAGUUUCGCCUCAGAAAGGAAUGAGGUGAUCAAGAAAGAGGUCGGAAAACUGCUGGAGUCUAAGAUCAUCCUGGAGGUCUACUACCCGACCUGAUUGGCCAAGUCGGUAUUGGUUAAGAAGGAGGACCAGACCUGGAGGAUGUGCGUGGAUUUCACGGAUCUCAACAAAGCUUGCCCAAAGGACUGCUUUCCUCUGCCGAGAAUCGACCGGUUAGUAGAUUCUACUGUGGGUUUUGAUGUCUUGUGUUUUCUGGAUGCCUUCAAGGGGUACCACCAGAUAGAGAUGGCUGAGGAGAACCGGGAAAAGACCUCCUUCAUCACCGAGGAAGGAACCUACUGCUACCGAACUAUGCCGUUUGGCCUGAAGAACGCGGGAGCCACCUACCAGCGUCUGGUCAACAAACUAUUCCAGAAUCAGAUCGACAGGAGCAUGGAAGUCUACGUAGAUGACAUGAUCGUCAAGAGCUGAACUGAUCAGCAGCUCAUCCCCGACUUGAGGGAGAUCCUGGGCAUCCUGCGGAAGAGCCGGAUGCGACUGAACCCGAAGAAGUGUACCUUUGGGGUUAAGUCGGGGAGGUUCUUGGGAUUCUUGGUGUCUCGAGAAGGGAUCCGGGCCAACCCGGAUAAGCUCCAGGCUAUCAUAGACAUGGCCCCCCCGAGGAGCGUAAAAGAGGUCCAACGGCUCACAGGAAGGAUGGCCGCCCUGAACAGAUUCCUCUCGCGUUCCACGGUCCGGGGGCUGCCCUUCUUCCGAAUCUUGAAAGCUCCCAAGGACUUUCAAUGGACUGCAGAGUGCCAGAAAACCUUCGCCAACUUGAAGGCCUACCUGGCUGAGUUGCCCACUCUGACCGCCCCGGAGUAGGGGGAGACCUUGUUCCUAUACCUGUCCGGUUGCAACGAGGCCGUCAGCGUAGUUUUGGUGCGGGAGGACGGGGAGACUCAGAGCCGGUAUACUACGUCAGCCGUACUUUGCAAGGGCCGGAAACACGGUACACGCCGGCAGAGAAACUGGUCCUCGCCUUGGUGCAUGUGGCCCGUAAGCUCCGACCUUACUUCCAGGCCCACAGCAUCAUCAUCAUGAUGGAUCAGCCCCUACGGCAGAUACUUACCAAGCCGAGGUCUCGGGCAGAAUGACCAAGUGGGCGUUGAAUUGGCCGAUCACGACAUCGGCUAUCAGCCUCGCACUGCUAUCAAGGCUCAGGUCUUGGCGGACUUCCUUGCUGAGGGGGCUAGCCCUGGCCAUCACCGGGCAGAGCUCUCCGCCCAGUGGGGGCGGUCGGGAGAGCCUUGGAUCCUGUUCGUGGAUGGGGUCUCGAGUAAGGAAGGAAGCGGAGCUGGCCUGCUGCUCAUCUCGCCUACCAGGAGGAGCUGACCUACGCCCUCCGAUUUGACUUCCGCCGCAUCCAACAAUGAAUCCGAGUACGAGGCCCUGCUUAUAGGAUUGUGAAUAGCCCAUCAUAUGGGUAUACCGCGAUCAAAGUUCGGAGCGACUCCCAACUCGCCGUCUCCAAGUUCGCGGGGAAUUACGAAACCAAGGAGGGUGUCAUGAAGAAAUACCUGGCCAAGGUACGGGAGGCAGUAGCCAUGUUCGAUACUUUGAAAUCGAGCGGGUGUCGAAAUCCCAGAACAACGUGCGCGGACGCCCUGUCAAAGUUGGCGUCCUCCUCAUUUGCCCAUCUGAGCAAGAAAGUCUUGGUAGAGGUGGUCAAGCAAAAAGAGCAUUGAUCAGAUCCAGGUCUUGGCCAUAGACAGCUCGCCCACCUGGAUGACCCCCUGAUGAACUUCCUCAGCUCGGGUGUCCUGCCGAAGACAAAACGGAAGCUCGCCGACUCCAGCUCAAGGCUGCUAAGUACGCCUACGCUGGGGGACCCUCUACCGGAGGUCGUAUCUGUCCCCCUGCGCUAAAGAGCGUGACUCCAGAGGAGGGCAAUUACGUCCUUCGUGAAGUUUACGAGGGCUUAUGUGCGGCCCAUGUGGGGUCCCGAGUAUUGCGCCAAAAAGUGCCUUCUCCUGGGCUACUAUUGGCCCUCGGUGUUCCAGGAUGCCGCGGCCCUAGUUCAGAAGUGCCGAGCUUGCCAGGUGCACGCCCCACUGCACCAUCAGCCAGCCCGAGAAAUGGUCCCCAUCCAUAGCCUCUGGCCCUUCGCCCAGUGGUGCGAUAGAUCUCGUGGGUCCUUUCCCUCGAGCCCCGGGAGAUAUGAGCACCUCGUAGUGGCCGUCGACUAUUUCACGAAGUGGAUGGAAGCGGAGCCUCUGGCCACUAUCUCUGGGAGGGCAAUUCAAAAGUUCUUCUGAAAAAACAUAGUCUGCCGAUUCGGGAUUCCGCAUGUCUUGAUAUCCGACAACGCUGUGCGCCAGUUCGCCGAAAACCUUCAAGAGUUGGUGCGCGAGCUCGGGAUCAACUAGCACUUCACAUCGGUCGGCCACCCCCAGGCCAACGGCCAGGUGGAAAAUGCUAACCGAACCAUUUUGCAGAGACAAAAUCAGGUUGGAACUAGCCCAGUCUAACUGACUCGAGGAAAUUCCUAGUGUCCUCUGGGCUUACCGCACUACGCCUAUGACGGCCACCCAUGAGACCCCAUUCUCCUUGACUUAUGGGGUAGAGGCGGUGGUGCCUGCAGAGGUUGUACUCCCCUCGCCUCGAACAUAGAAUUUCGUCGCGUCGGCCAAUGAAGAGGAGCUACGGUGCAGCUUAGACAUGUUGGAGGUUAAGCGUGAGGAGGCGGCGAUACGAAUGGCUAAGUACAAAAGCCAGCUCGCUCCGCUAUACAACGCAAAAGUAAGGAACAUGCAGUAUCGGCCGGGAGAUCUUGUCUUGAGAAAGAACUCGGUCAGCAGGGCUCAUGCUCCAACAAACUCGACCAAAAUUGGGAAGGACCAUACAAGGUCCUAGAAACAAGCCGAGCUGGUUACUGCAAGCUCGCGAAAAUGAUGGGUCCGAGGUACCCCGUACUUGGCUCUUCUCGAAUCUGCGACUGUUCGUGGGGUAGGUUAGGUCGGGGUGUUUGGCUGUUUGUUCUUUGGAAUCCGAAUUUCAAUUUUAUCAUUCAAUAAAUGUUCGACUCUCAAGUUUCAAAUUCAUUGUGAUUGUUUGCUUUUUAAGUUCGAAUCCUACACUAGCACACUCAGCGCUCCCACACUAAAUGUCCUAAUGGGGGGCUGGGGGCAUGAAUGGGUAAUGGAUUGAACGCCUUAAAUAGUUUUUGAGUGCUCGGCCCCUAGAGGUCGGCACGGGUGAAUGCCUUCAAAAGUGUGAGAGUGCUCGACCCCAAGAGGUCGGCGCGACUGAGAACUUUGAAAUUUGAAAGUUCAGCGCUCGACCCAAGAGGCGGCGUGAAUGCCUUUGAAGUAUGGUGCUCGGCCCAAGAGGUCGGCACGACUUUGAGACCUUAGAACAGGAAAGUCCGAUGAUGCUUGCCCCCAAGAGGUCGGCGCGACUGAGAACUUUGAAAUUUGAAAGUUCAGUGCUCGGCCCAAGAGGUCGGCGUGAAUGCCUUUGAAGUAUGGUGCUCGGCCCCAAGAGGUCGGCACGACUUUGAGACCUUAGAACAGGAAAGUCCGAUGAUUCUCGCCCCCAAGAGGUCGGUACGACUUGAGGCUUUAAAACCUGCAAGCCCGACGCUCGGCCCCAAGAGGUCGGCGCGCGGGCGAACUACUUUGGGUUUGUUAGAAUUCGGGGGUUCGACGCUCGACAAAGGAGGUCGGCAUGAACGCCUUUAAGCUCGGACGUUGGACCCGAGAGGUCGGCAGGAAUAUCCUUAAAGUUUGGUGCUCAGUCCCAGGAGGCUGGCACGUCACCUGGAUGGGCCUAUUCGGUGCGCGACCCGGGAGGUCGGCACAUAAUUCCGGUAGCCUGAUUGCCUUUGACGAUUUGGCUGUUAGAUUAAAAAGGGGAUAUAUUUGGUGCUCGACUCGGGAGGUCGGCACAUGGCUUUGGUUGUUAAAGUUAUGCGCGGGCAAGAAUUGCAAGGUAGUUCCCUUCGAGUUUUACAUAUGCAUUCAAAACCUAUCUAUUACAAAGUUUCCAAAUCAGUAGUUUCCUUCGAGUUUUAUACAUGCAUUCAAAGUCUAUCUAUUACAAAGUUUCUAAAUCGGUAGUUUCCUGCGAGUUUUACAUAUGUAUCCGAAACCUAUCUAUUACAAGGCCUACCGAGCUAUAAAAGAAGGACAGCUCGGCCCCCUAUUCUUCUUGCUGGGGACCUGCUUGGGGCGGGGGUUGAAGGUACACCUUAAACAUGUUGAGAGCGCGUAUGGCGAGGGCUAUUCCAGGUAGCCGCCCUGGGGCAGGGGACCUAUCCAUCUCGGCGAUGGACUUCCAAUAGCAUUUUCAACUGGAGUAUGGUCACAUCCUUAUAAGAAAAUGGAAAAGGUUUCUGGAGUGGUCGCCACCCAAGGCUACCGGCUCCUUCCCGGGAGCUAUGCCGGAAGCUUCAUCCUCCUCCAGGGGAACCUCCGCCAGGUCGGCUCCCACAUCACUCCUGCUCGUUAGCUCCUUCAGGGCAUGCCCCUUGCAAUACCCGUCAAAGAGCCAGUCUACCUUCUCCUCGACUUUAGGGUUGUACUCCUUGAAAGCGGCCAAGUCGAAGCCAGGCAGGCCGAACUCUUUGACCUUAUCCAGGGCUCGCGUGAAGCCGAUCUGGAGGAUGGGCUCGUUGAGGAGGGCGACGUCCUCGGUAAACUGUUCGGAGGAGAUGAACCCCGAACAGCCUUCUUCCGCUCCCGGCUGACGGUGCCGGAGAGCUCGAUGGCAUGGUCUUUCCUUCAGCUUGGCCACGCCGGCCUUCUCUUGGUCGAGCUCCGACCUAGCGGAGGCGAGUUGGACCUGGGCCGUUUCCAGCCCUUUCUCGGCCUUGUCCAACUUGGCCUUAAGGGAGUCCACCUCCUUAAGGGCCUGGGUAAGCCUCUGCUCUGUCUCCCGAUUCUUCUUUUGUAAUUUCUCCAAAUCGCGGAGACAGCUCGGAGAGGCGGGUCGCCAGGGCAACACCGGCGGCGUUGGCCUGAGGAGGAAAGAAAGCAGGUCAGCGCGUCACGCUAUCCAGCCAAAACGCAGAGGCACAACUGGCCCAAGGGCUAGAAAACUUACUUGACCUUGGCGAUGUAAUACGCGUCCUGGAGCUCGGAGGGGAUUGCAAGCUCCAUCCACCUCCUGUCGCGUGGGAGGACAGAGCCAGCAAGCAGCUCGCGGGCCACUCGGGAAACUGGAUCCGGUCGUUGAUAGAGAGCUCCCAGGACGGGCAGAAGUGGCGAGGGUCGUGCAUAAUGGGGCCUGACCCGGUUUCAAGGGGGCUAUGUGGCGGAAGUGCCACAAGCUCGGGGGAGGCGACUCCCGAGCUUGCUCCUCAGCGGAGCCAACGCCCAGGUGGACUGGACCCCCUGAUGUCAGUGCGGGGAGGGGUUGUGCUGGAACCAGCGCGAGCUUCUUUCCGAGCUGGGAGAGCUCGUCCCCUCGUCUACCCAGCCGCUUUCUUCUUGUUAUUGGCGGCCUUCUUGGAGGGGGAGGAGGUGUUCUGCGCUUCCUUCUGUGGGACUUGGCCGCCUCCCGGGGUCGGAUCCGCCCCAGGGGCCUCCUUGGCCGCUUCUGGCUGAGGAGUGGAGGUAGCUUCCUCUGUGGAUGCGCCAGCAGCUUGGAAAGCCUUCUCACUGGGAAGAACAUCGCCAGGUCAGCCAAAACAGGUCAGUAGGAAAAAACAUAUUACAUAUAUGCAAAUGCAACGAGCUACAGGGACAGAGUCAGCGUUACAGGCGUCGAGGUCAAUAGGGGAGGCCACCAUCUCGCCUUGGGACCCGGACAACGUCCCCAUCAGCUCGGCUGCAGAGAUCUGCUUGGUGGAGAACUUGGUGGCAUGGAGUUUCACCUUAGAGCUCACCAGCUGGAUGAGGGUCUCUGAGUCCAGGUCCUCCGGGUAGGGAUCGGUUUUGACCUCCCCGACCUUCCACACAGUGGCGUCAAAGCCGAUGGAUUUAACAAAGAAGAAAUCCCCUUUCCAACUCUUGAUGGAAGAGGGGAACGCGUAGAACAGGUCUUGGGUGCCCUUAUCUCCCCGACCUUGGUUUCCGGUCCGACGGGAGAAGUAGUACCACCCAACAAGGGAGGUCUUGAGAAUGUAGGUAGCUCGGAAACGGGAGAGAGAGUAAGGGAUGGAGCAGAUCUGACAGUAGAUCAGCAAUCCUAUGAUGAUCCUGAUCGAGUUAGGGUGAACCUGGGUGAUCCUGAACCCCCAAUAACUCAAGAUCUCAGCCAGGGCUGAAGGGAUGGGUAGUCGGAGACCCCCGAUCAGCUGCUCCUUGUAGAUGGCUACAAAGCCAGAGGGAGGCCGGCUGGCACUGUCGUUGGGCCCGGCAGCCCUUGGCUCGAAGGCUGGAGGGAUGGAGAAAGACCUGACCAGUUCGGCCACCGCUCGGGCGAGAUGGUGACCUCUUUGUGGUCGGGUGACCGAAGUUGAGCUCGGCAUUAUCCUCCUGCUCGGGGGCAGGAGUCCCCUCGGAAGAGUCCCUAUCCUCCCCAGCUCCCCCCUGGGCUCCAUCGGGGGAAUCGUGCGGGGACUUGGGGAGGAACGGACGUGGCCUGUUGCUCGAUGAAGGCGUCAAGCUCGACCGCCUCCUCCAGGGCUCGAGCAGAAGGGGAGUGAGUGGAAGGAGAGCUCAUGAUGGCUAUGGGCUCGAGAGAGGUCGGGAUUGGAAGUGGAAGAAGAAGAAAGAGGAGGACGUGAAGAUGAAGAUGAGGAUGCAGAUGGGGAGGCGGACGAAAAAAUGACAAUCUGGGAGGUUCUACGCCGGAAAGGGAUCUGAGAUGCGGUGGAAGUGACGCCGGAAUGAUCCGACAUAAAAAGCAGAGAGGGCCUAAGGAAGAGGAAAAGUGAAGGAGGAAAGGGAAAGACUUACUGAUGACCGAAGUAGGAAGGAUGAAGGAGUCGCCGAAAUCUGGGCGUAAGAGAGCCGGAAGUCUUGUUGCUGGAAACUAAAAAUACGCGAAGACAGGAGAAAAUGGCAAAUAGAGUCGGGUGAAGUCUGCUGACUCCCAUUUAUAGAGGGUGAAAUUAGGGGAAAACGGUUGCUUGAAUUUGAACCGUCCCAUGUGAACGCAUUUAAUGAUGGAACGGAGACCGAAAGGACGCGACAACUGAAAGGACGUGGGCGCGGCUUUUCUAUGGCAGCACUGUACUGGAGGUGAUCUUGGCAGAGUAGUGUGCGGCGCUGGCCUCCCACAUGGCAGGGGUAGAUUAGGUCUGCCUGACAGCCCUAUCUAAACUAGGGGCUAGUGUAGAGGCCCCGUCCCGAGCCUAGACACGUGGCAGCCCAGGUAUGGCCGAGCAGGGCCUCGACCUCAGGCCCCUGGCAACUGUCCUGGGCCGUAUCGUCACUAGGGCUCCAGAAGGGCUAGGGGACCAUCCCGCAGAGGUCGGAAGAGAUCCCCCUCGCGCGCGGGAUAAGGCUAUCCCGGGCAAGUCCCGAAACGUACGGAGGUCGGACUCCCGAACAAGUAUAAAUGGUAAUGGCCAUCACCUACACAAGGUACGCAUACUAUUGGCACAUUACUCUCGGCUGCUUAAUUCCCGAAACCUCAUCCACCGGAGAACUAACUUGACCGUCGGAGUGCCCUCGGGACAACCUCGGGGCCCCCUGUUAGAUCACCCUAUUGUCUGUCUUGCAGGCUUGGGAUCAACUCUACCCAUCAGCAUACCGAGCUCAUCAGUUCAGCUCGGUCCGGGGAAACUCAGCGCUUCUUCAAUAACUUUAAUGGUUAGUCUAUAAAGCACGUUACAUCAGGCAUUGGUCUACAUUGGGUGACAUUUUCAGAGGACUUCAACUUCAGGAACUAAGAGAAGCAAAGUUAAUUCAAAAGGCUCAUGCAUGGUUCUCCUUCAGAUUUAACCUCAUUAACAAGCGCAUAAUUGAAGCUAAUUAUUUUUCUUAUGAACAAGGAUGAAUUCAAACAAAAAGCUCAAAAGAGACGUACAGUUACAAAAUGGAAAAAAAAUGCUGAAUAAUAAAAAAAAUGAUAACACCAAUUGUAUUUAUGAUAAAAAAAAUGAUAAACUCCAAUUGUAUUUAUGAUAAACUCCAAAUAAAAAAAAUGAUAACCUCAUUAGUAUUUAUGAAAUUGUAUUUUACAUUUGUAGAAAAAUAAUAUGCAUUUUAUAUCUACUAACGGAUAAAUUACCGAUGUUUUGAACAAAUCAAACCUAAACUCAUGGUGUGUAUAUGUAUAUAGUUAUUUAUACUUAUGCCAUCAUCCUUUCUUCCCAUUUGCUUUUUAAUAGUGCAAAUUUCUUUUGAUUAUAUUUAUGAGUGGCAAUUUCCGACACCACUUAAAAACAUGACAUGAAUGUAAUACGAAAUUAAUGGGUUCGGAUUGAAGUUUCGCAGGUUCGGGUCAAAAUCGGGUCGAGUCCAAUGAACCCGAAAAGAAAACGAGUCGAAUUCGAGUGAAUCCGUGGGUGACCCGAUACCCUGAUACAACCCGAUAACCUGUUUACGAAUUAAAAAUUAUUUUAUCUAUCUAACUAAGUUAUUCUUUUUUUCCAAAGGCAUUAAUCACUUAAUCCUAAAUGAAUUUAUUUAACUUGUGUGAAGUUGAAAUUAUUAUAUUUGGACAAAUAAUGUAUUGUAUUAUUUUUUACUUUUAUACUGUUUUAAUUUAUUUUACAUUUGGUUUAGGAUAAAACACUUUUACAGUGUUUUUAUUUAUUUUAGAUUUGGUUUGGGAUUAUUUAUUUAAAUUUUAUUACUUGAUUAUGUAAUUAGUCUUGUGCGAAAUUGAUUUUAUUAGAAAUUACAGUGAUAAAUUAGUAAAUUGAAAUUAAGUUUCGGGUCAUUCGGGUCAUCCCGUCAACCGACAACCUGAAAUUUUCAGAUUCGGGUCAGAUAUCUUGACCCGUCUCGGGUUGGCAGAUCAGCAGAUUUUCUGUUAUAUUCGGGUCUCAACCCGACCCGCCAAUCUAAUUUAUACCCGAUUGCCACCCCUAAUUAUAUUGGUAAAAAAAUAACAUAUUUUACAAAUUAUUCCGAUUUAUUUAGAAAAUGUUACUAAUUUCAUUAGAAAUUAUGAAAUGUAAUCAUGGUUUAUUAAUUUUUUACUAAAUAUAAAUACUGCAUACAAAAGGAAAAGAUAUUUGACUUUGUUUUACUUUGAUUAGAAAAACUUGUGGUAGUAAUAAUGAAUAGUAACAGGGGUGCAAAUUUCAAAUCAACAACCAACGUACACUUAAUUACGGUAAUUUUUUAGUUGAUCAGACUAAUAUAUGCCAUAAAGUAGUAAGAUUUGAUCAUUUAUAAAUUGACAAUUUUAGCAGUUUAUAUACCAUUCACCUAUAAAAAUUAUUAUUAUUAUAAAAUGACAUUUUGUAAUAAUUUACAUACUAUUUGCCAAUUAAAAGCAAUUUCGAUAAAAAAUGUGCAUAUAAAUCCAUAUUGUAAAUGAUACAAAAUAUAUUUGAAACUCACGAAAUUUAAUAUAUGGGUAAAUUUACUAUAAUUUUCAAAGAUUAUGCCACAUUAGUACAAUUUUAACUUUUAUACUUGUGACCUAGAAAAUAAAUUUAUUAAAACACAUAACAUUUAUAAAUGAUACAUACAUUUAUUAAAAUGCCUAAACACAUAAUAUUUAUGAAUGAUACAUACAAUCAUAUAUUAUACAUUUACGUUACCAACAAUUACUAACUAUAAUAUUAAGUUUCAAUCAUUAAUAAAAAAAUCUUAGCAUUAUUUUAAAUGAACUUUCUAAUACUUGUUUCAUAAAAGUUUCUUUAAAUAAAAGAGUAAAUUUAUGCCACAAACUAGAAAGUUUUGACGAUUAACCAAAUUUACUAUUCUAUCAACAAGAUUUACUAUUAAUCUAUAAAAACUUAUUAUUACUUGAACUAAACUUACUCUCCAAAAAGUAAGUUUCGAAUAUAGAGUAGUAAUUUAUUUUUUAAAAAAAGUAACUUUCAUUUUUAUUUUGAUUCACUUUUUGAGACAUAAAAGUUACUAAUUUAUGAGGAUAACUUACUAUUUUUAAUGCGAAACUUACUACCCAAAUUUUUAGGUAUUAUCUUGUUUAGGUGACCUGUCUAACAACUAAUCAAAUAGUCAUUAAAAGUGUUUUUACCUGUUAUAUUGGAUAAAAAUAGUUUCGUUAUCGUAACUAUCGUUACUUCUUCAGACUUUUCCUCUAGUAAGAUCUACAUAUCCCCCAAUCUUCAUGUUUGUUCUUCUUCUAAAUUUAUUUAGCUUUGUUCUCUAAUUAUGUGUGUUGGGUUUUCUUUAAAAUUUAUUAUUUUUUUUUAAGAAAAAAGUUUUAUGAGCUUCACUUUACAGACUACAGAUAUCUUUAUAACGAUUUGGAGGUGGGGGAAAUUUUCGUUCAAUUUAGUGGAGAGAAUGAGGUUUUGAGGCUUGAAAGGAGGAAGAAAAGGGUCAUGCAAAUCAUUGUGGAUCCCUCUUGGCAGAUAUCCUCCUCUGGCAGGCACUGCCGCUACUUCCUCAAUAGCAAGGGGUACGUACUAGGCGGUGAUGGUGGUGAAGGAGGAAAGCAAAGGAGGUAAGGUAGCAAUUGCUGUUAAGGGUUUAAUCUAAUAGAGUGGUGGAAGGAUAUCAUAAACUGCAAAAUGGAGUCUUAAUGGGUCCAGGUGUUGGCGGCGGAGGCCGUAUCAAUGGAACACGUGGUGGUGGUAGCAGGCUGAAAGGGUUGAUUUAGGGUUAGCGUCGUGUGAGUUAGGAAGAACGAAGAGAAGAGAUGAUUAUUUGCUGAGAAUUCUGGUUUCUCAAUGUUUAGCACAAAUUCUCCAUCAAUCGGUCUAGCUGUGGGGUCACAGACCGGGUCUAUCCAAGUUUUUGCUGUAAAACGAGCACACGAGGGGUUGGUCAAGAUAAACUAACUUAUCUGGAAAAGACAAACUAAACUUAUCUGAAAGUGGAGUCUCUGAAGAAAAGAAAAAGAAAAACAUGAUCCUAAAACCACCCCAGCACUUCCACUGUUGAAUCUUGAUGCUUUCAAGAUUGAUUUGUGUAUAACACCGCUGCUAAGAUAGAUAGACAGACACGUCGGGAAGAAGAGAGAAUGCUGACGAUGGUUCAAUCUACCAUCUCCUCACCCUUGCAGCAUUUACCACCAAUUCUAACCGCAACCCACAAAUGUAACAGUAAUUUUCAGCUCUCAGCUUCAGUUCCUCAGUGGCCAAGUACAAGUACAACUCUCAAUGUCAGAUUGAAGCCUCCAAAGGAGCUCCUCUCUUUUCAGGUUAUUAAACACUCCUUUAUUUGGAUCUUAGGUUUGUAUAUACUUUUUUUUUUUUUUUAUUUACUUCGGGCUGAUUUUGUAUAUGUAGCCUUGAAUUUGUUGGUAAUGAUUUUCCUAUUUUCUAUAGUUUCAUUAAUAAGAUUAAUGCUUUCUUCUGGAUAGUGGGUUGUUUUACUUUUCUAUUUGAGUGCCAAAUUCAUGCAAUUUCUGAAUUUUAUGGUGAUUUUUUAUUUUUUGACACAGAAGUUACACUUGGUGGAGUUAUCUUAGAUAUUAAAUUUUUUGCAUGCAUCAAUUCCUGCUCCAUUGGUUUCAAGAAUUUAGUAAUUAAUUACUAGAGCAUUGGAUUUUGGCUCUUAGUCUUAGGUAGAAUGCGCCAGAACCUUUAUCUUCUUGUAUAUUCUGAAUGGGAGAUUGAGACCAAAUGUAUCCGAUUUUUAGUAAUCUUCAUAUAUGGUGUAAUUAGCUAUUGUUAGAAAUGGCGAGACCAAGUAUUAAAAGUAGGUUUUUCAAGUCAGUUAAUUGGUGUGCGAUGCUUGCUAUUAAGAGCCUAUAUUUGUACUUGUAUGUCUGAAGUGAUGAAAGCCACACAAUUAGUUUUGGUUGGCAAAAGAUCAAGUUAUACAAAAUGGAACACGCUUUUGCAGUUCUGUUCAUUUUUAUCAUUUUGAGUUGGAAGUUCUAUGGUGUAUAGUUUAUGUACUUGACUGUGAUAUAUUCAGCAGUCCAAGCAAAUUGCAUGCUGCCUAAUUGAUUACAAACAGAGCUCAAAAAAUUUCUGACUUAUGCCGUGGGAGACAGAUCUCGUAUGAAUAAUGUUCCUUGUAAAUUUAAUUUGUGCCAAAUGUGAAAACCCCCCGCCUCCCCUUCCUUACUAGUUUUUUUUUUGGGGGGGGGGAUGGGGGUGUGGAGGGAGGGAGGGGUGUGGGUGUGUGCUUGCUCUGCAGGAACUAAUGGUUCACAGUGUAGUCAUGCCUGUUUGUAAAACAGCUUCUGAGUUUCUCUAUCAUUUUGAUGGCCACAGAUACUCGGAAGGGAAGUGAGAAGCUUUUCAUUCUUGCCAUUACAAAGACUAGAUGGUAGCUCCUUUUUUCCUAUCUCAUAACUUAUUUCAGAGUAUAUCUGUUAUUAUGACACACUUUCCAAUCAUAAAGCAAAAUAUGCAAGGGGCAUUGUGUGUGCAUUGGCAGAAUGAUAAGAAACUUCCAACCAUAUUUUGGUUCAGAUCCGCUUGUCAACCUAUGCACUUGACAGUGCCAUUCUGCAAUUAACUGGAGCUUAAAUUACUUUUGGAGCCUUCCUCUGAACAUUUUACUAUUGAAUAUCUGUGUUAAUGCAAUCAUGGACUAGAUGUUUGGGUUAGAAUUUUUAAACAUAAAUUCACUUUCCAGUUAUGUUAUAUGGUUAGUACCAAACAGGCUUUAAUUUUGGCAAGAAGACUCUAAGGAAUAAGACCUUUUCUUGUUGCUCCGCAAAUUGCUGCAAUUUUUCCAAUAUAAGAGUCAUUGCAGACAGUUUGUCUGACACGUAAAGUUUUCUGGACCUGAAGAUGCUAACUCAUAUUGCCAGCACCAAGUCAUCUAGUCGAACCUGGCUGAAGUUUUAGGUUACUGGCAUUACGCUUAUUAAGAAAUAAGAGAAGCGAAGAGUACUUUAGAGGAUUAUUGAGGGUAGCAGAUACAUAGGAGAAAAGUGUUAAUGUUUACUUUGUUAUCUAACCCAUUGAAGAGUGCAUAAAACAUCUGUAUUGCAAUAAACCUAGUUAUAGUAAAUGUCAAAAGCAAACAGACUAGUUUUGUGUUCUUUAUUCUUCUUCAUCUACGUUUGGUUCUUAUUAAAUGGAUUAAUUAACUAAUUUUAAAACAAAUAUAAUGCUCGUCAAACUUGAGAUCAAGAUUUCCUUGAAACACAGUAUCAUAAGCAUUGAUAGUCUGAUAUUUUUUGAAAGAUUGAUGAUUUGUUCCAUAAAUUGAAGCUUGAUUUCUUCCAUAAAUGGAAGCUCUACUGUUAUCUUUCAUUUUUUCAAUGUAACAUAAUUUAAAGUACUCACCUCUCAGUAUUCAGUGAAAAUCCACAUGUCAUUCGGCACUGAAAACAAAAGUAAUAAUGCUGUGGACAAAAGGAGCUCUGGAUUUCCUUGAAACACGGCGAGCAUAAGCAUCAAUAUCAUGAGAUUUUCUCCUUUGAAAGAUUGAUAAUUUAUUACAUAAAUUGAAGCUUACUAUAUUAUCUUCCAGUGGUUUUAUCUCAAUAUAAGGUAAGUUAAAGUUCUCACCUCUCAGUAUCCAAUGGAAAUGCUCAUGUCAGUCACCAUUGGAAAAAACUAAUAAUAUGAGAAAAAGGUGCUCUAGAAUAUAUCGUGAUGCUCAAGAUGAAUGUCUAAAGAAUGAUGAGCAGACAUGCCAGUGUAAGGUGGAGAAUAUUGUGGACAUUUGCUCUGAAUUAUGAAAAUAAGUGACAUCAAACAUGACCUUUUCCAUUUUUAACUGGCUCAUACUUUUUGAGUUUAAACAACUCCAAGGUUUUAUUCCCUUUUGGUAUCUGUUUAAACAUUAACAGUUAUUGAUCUAUGCUUUGAACUAAUAAAUUGCACACUUGAGUUGGAAUUCCCUCUAUAGAGAAUUGAAGCCUAUUUACCUCUCUUUGGAUUGUAAUUUCCAUGGAAAUGUCAACUUUAAUUGUCAGUCCAACUGUUGGCACAGAAAUCAAUAAUUGAACUGAAGCAUAGUUAAAAGGGAAUAGCUAAUGGUAAAUUUCCAAUAUACAGUUGAUGUCUUGUCAUUGUUUUAGGUCAUUCCCUUUGGACUUGACUACAAUUUACUCUGGAUUAGAGUAGACUCUAAUCACCAUCGAUUUGUCAGGGUAUCAGUUGUAGGAAACAGGCUUAUAAUUCAGUUCUUGUACUUUAGUAAGCAGUUAAUAUUUAAGCAAGGAUUCUAAGACAAUAAGCAAUUACUCUUUGCAAGGAUUAGUUUGUGUUUAUUAGUUUGAGAGGCUACAGGUAGGUAGGUAUACAAGUUAGUGUAACACAUAUUUGUAAGGAGAAUCUUAUACAUGGAGAAGAGUAAGAUUCAUGCUCUUGGAAUCUGGAAAUCAGAAGCACGUCCUUGGUAGAUGAACUGAGUUAUAAACCUUGAAACUUCAAAUCAUCUUUCUUAGUAAAAGCUUUUACAGAUUUAAUAUGUGGCUGAAGAAUGAAUAAAAACAUCAUGGUCGUUUUUCAAGAAAAUUCAACAAUGGCAACUUUAACUAGCAGUAGAAGAAGCCUUACCAGGCUAUUGCAAAAAUUGAGACUAUUUUUUUCUAAUAAUCACCAUGCAUCUCCAUUUGGAUAUUUUCCUUGAGGCUUCUUGAAGUAAGUUUACAAUAGUUGCUAGUAGACAAUGACGUUUGAUGCUCUAUUGGUAAAAAAUUGUACUAAAAAAAAAAUUUUCUUUUUACUUCUAUGUUUUCUGUUUCCCUAUUGAUGUAUUGAGUCAGUUGUCUAGUAAAGAAGUUAUCUAUCUGCCACGUUUAUCUUGCUGCAGAAUUCUCAAGUUACCUACCACAUAGUGAAGAUUUAACUAUUGUGGAUAGACAAUCAAUUUACACAGCGGAGCUCUCUUAUGGAGCAAUAUCAUGGUUCGUGUCUGAACAAGCUGCAUUGGCAAGUGAAAAUGUCAGAAUGAAUGCAGUUUUUGAGAUUGGGGAAUUGUUUGAAUUAGGAAUUCAGCUCACCUACUUGCUUCUGCUACUGGUGUUGAUUGGGGUUGGAAGCUUUUUCGUAAUCCGUCAAGUACUUGUCCGAAGAGAGCUUGAUCUUUCUGCAAAAGAAUUGCAAGUAAGCAGUUUUAAUAGAUCUUUUUAAGCUUGUUAUCUCAAACUUUAGUAUGCAAGAUGUCUUGGAGGAAUAACUUCAGAGAAAUUUGUCAAACAUGUAGCAGUCAUUAUCCAACAAGGAAAUCCCCUCCAAUUAUAUCUUCUAUAUAACUAUGAGUGAUGGGUAAACACCAUUUCAUAAAGUCUGUUUCCAUAGGAUUCAAGGUUUGUUGUUAAUUAAACUGUGUAAGAGGCCUUUGAACUCUAUCCCUAUCUAAUACUAAAGAAUUCUGCAUUUGUCAAAACUAAAGAAAUUAAGUAAACCUCCAUCUAAUGAAUGCUUGAUUUAGUAAAGUAGAUAAGAGUAAGCUAGUUAACCAGAUGAUGGUAUAUCGGAUCCAAUAAGUAUCUGAAGACUAUAUGAUACAUUGAUUUCAGCAUAGAGUGUUCAUGUCAAGAAGUUUCAAUCUGAGUUCAAUUGCAAUACUAAAAGGGAAAUGAUAAGUGAUCCUAAUUUUGCAUAGACAAAAUAGAAUAACAUUGAAAAAUGGAAUAAAACUAUGAGAUAUCCCAGAGACUAAAGGUAGUUGUGUUGUGCUAUACGGCUUGAACAAAUAUCUCUGCAGAAAAAAGUUAAAUAUGUGAAUACUGUGAAAUAUGUUUAUCGAAAUUUUUUUAGUUGAAUUAAAUUAAUGCUUCAAUCCUAAAGAAAAAGAUAAAUGCCACUUCAAUCCCUGUCAACCAGUAAAGAUGGUUUUUGUGGAAAGUGAUACAUGCUGGACAAAGUCAGUAGGCUCCUUCGCCAUGGAUUGAACCUUUUCUUCAAUUGCUGACUUGUGCAGUGUUCUACAGCAGCUAGUUUCUAUUUCACUCAAUAUACUACACUUUUUUUUAAUCCAUAUACAGCUGGUUUCUAAUGCUAGAAUGCUUAUUACUCUGACAAAUCUUUUUAAUCCAUUGACUGUUAGCCCUAUGGUGUCCAUUGGUGUUGAAUUACCAGUUAACCUAAAAGCUUAAAAUGUUAGGAAGGUGUGUAAUUUCCAGGACCAAAUGCUUAAAUCAUAUAGUCUAGGUUACCAGCUAGGUUCUUGUCAAUGAACCAAUUAUUUGGAAUAGGUGGUUCUGCGAACUACCUAAAAACUUUGCAUACUUUGACAACAUCUUGAGGUGUCACGAAAUCUAAAAGCUCAAGCUAAUAGAGGGGAGACUAAAUCAUAAUCGCAUCUAACACUUCACAAUCCAUUUGUUGAUAAUGUCUUUUCUCAACUGGCGUAUCUUGUUAUUUUGAACUCACUGCACUGAUUUCUUGGUUAUUUUCCCUAACCUGUCAACUAAGAAAUACUUAAAUACUUAAUUCAAUCUUACUCUGCAUAACUUAAAAAUUUUUCUUGAUAUAGUUUAAAUUCACUUUGAUAUAGUCUAAAUACAAUUUGCAAUUCACUAAUUGUGCCGUCCAGUGGUACACUAUGGAUAAUUAUAGGAACUCUUCCCCUUUUUACCUCUCUCUCUCUCUCUCAUGCUAGUUUAUAAAUUUCAGGAACAGGUUAGAAGUGGAGAUGCUAGUGCAACGGAGUUUUUUGAACUCGGAGCAGUGAUGCUGAGAAGAAAAUUUUAUCCAGCAGCUACUAAGUACCUGCUUCAGGCAAUUGAGAGAUGGGAUGGUGACGAUCAGGAUCUUGCUCAAGUAAGAUAAGUUCUUUUAGUUUCCAGUUUUCCAAGAAUACAUAACUGCUUUUCCAACAUUUCCAUAACCAACUGGUUGAAACUUUUUGGUCCCUCAUCUUAAGAGAUCAGUGUUACUAUUUCUGUGUUAAUUCCAUCUUAAAAUUCCACUGUUUGUUGCACAAUAAGCAAUGAGUGAUAGUCAGAUAAUGUUCCCCAUCGUCCCCAAGAAAAGUUUCCAGAAUGAAGAGAUUAACAAAAAGAGGUUGAAUCUACAGAUAAACAAUUCAAAAGGGUCACCCAAAAAAAAAAUUUAUGGCUGAGACAGCUAGUUUAAUGUGAAAGACCCUAGUUUGACUAAUUUAAUUACUUCGUUCAUGUCUGAAACAGCUAAACUAAUAAUUUAGGACUGGCUUCAGAAAGUGAAAAGUGCUGUAAACUUUUGUGGAAUCGAAGUAGCUGAUAAAUAGAUGAGACUAUUACCAGCACAUUCUAGUACCUCAUAUCACUGGUCUUGGAUACAUUUCAAUAGAUUUUGUAUUAGAAUUUUGUAACUGGUCAUUUGGCAAGAAUAUGAAAUGAUCCUAAUUGGUGGAGGUCGCUGACUAAUUUAAGAUGGACAAUUGUUGAGGCAUUACAGGAUUUUAAUUCCAUUUCUCCUUAUUAUCAUUGUUAAAAUUUAGUUUCUUGUGACUUGGUUUUUCAUAGCUUACCUCUGUUUGUCGAGAUUUUAGAAAAUCCUUCAGGAUCUUUCCUUAAUCUUUUCAUCUGAGGUUGACAUUUAGUCAUCCUAAAUUGCUUGUGCUGUAACUAUAAGGGCAUUAUCCUCCAUGUGAAAGUAAAUGUGGAAAUGCCUUGAUUUGAUAAAAUUGACUGAUUAAACUAAAAUUACAAAAUGAAAUCAAAUUCAUGUUCUGUUCAUGACUUCUCAUGAACAUUCUCUCGCAUGCUUUCAUAAUUAUUCUUUUUUCCCCCAACUUUAACAGGUUUAUAACGCCCUUGGUGUUAGUUACAUCCGUGAUGAAAAAUUAGAGAAGGGAAUAGCCCAGUUUGAAAAUGCUGUAAAACUUCAACCAGGCUAUGUCACUGCCUGGAACAACCUUGGUGAUGCCUAUGAGAAGAAGAAAGACUUCAAGUCUCCCUUAAAGCAUAUGAAGAAGUUCUCCUUUUUGAUCCUAACAACAAAAUUGCACGUCCUAAGCGAGAUGCCUUGAAGGAAAAAGUGAAAGUGUACAAAGGAGUUCCUGUGAAAUCCAAGAAGAGUUGAUUAUUAUUAUGUUCAUCCUUAGGAACUUUGUCGUUAUUUGUCUGAACUUUACCGGUUUAAUAGUUGCUCCAGCCAAAAUUUUGAAACAUUAAUAGCUGGAUUUUCAAAACAGAUCCUAUGCCGUGGUAUCAACUAUCAAUGAACCAUGAUGAGUUUAAUUGUCCUUGAGGUAUGAUCUUGAAUGAGCCAUCUUGCUCUACUGAGGGUUUACGGAAAAGAUGAGUACAUUGUUCGUCUUAUCACAGAUUGACAUGUGUGCAAUUCAUUGGCAAUUGAUCAGCUAUUAAUCGAGCUACAGCACAUUAUCCUACGAAAAGAAGUAAGAUUAUCAUAUCAGGCUUACAAGUUUACAAAAAUUGUUAAAAUUGGGUUUAGCAUAGGGCCUACCAAGUAAAACUCUGAAAUUUAUUUUCCCCUCUUCUCUACUGCAUUUUAGAGUUGUUCAACUCAAGGCGGAGGUUGAACCCUUGUAUAUUCUCAUCGGUAAAUCUUUGCUUAAUACCUGCAAACUUUUUUAUCUGUUUCAUAAUCUUUGUUAGGUGUCAAAACUGAAAGCCUAGGCAUUGAAUAUGCUCUUGAAGUGCAAUUGCAAAUGAAAUUCUCAACUUCAAUUUCUUUUGUACCUCGCUAUCAGUCUUUCUUAUCAAGCAAAUGGAAUUCUCAAUUUCAAUUUCUUUCGACCACGCUUUCAAUCUUUCUUAUCAAGCAUGAGGAACUAAAUGCCAGAUGUUACAAGACGAUGGGCUUCAAACGAAAAAUCUGAUUGGUAAUAUCUUGAAUGUCGGUUUAUUUAUACAGCAAAAGGGGAAGAAGAAUUGUUUGAAUAAAGUGAUUUAUUUAGUUGAGGCAUGAUGGAUGAAUACUCAAAAUGACUCCCUUCAAAUGGCUUAACUCCCAAGACUCCCUUCAAAUGGCUUAACUCUAAGCCUGAACUGCGUAGUGAAGGAUGUACACCAGAAACUUUUUUCUUUUUUUGGUUCUUGACAAAACAGAAAGCAUAGGAAAGAAGAAAAAAUAUGUGUGACAGGCCUUCACUUAUGUGAUGGAUCAUUUUGAUCCCUUAUUGAUCAAGUAGGGUCAUACUAAGACUGAGACAGUUAAUGCAACAUGAUCUUAACUCCACUGACUAUUUUAAUUCCACUGACUACCUAUUUUGUAAUGAGAAGCAGCUUUCGUGCUUUGUUUAUAUUUUAGAAAAGUAAUUUUUCAGGUAAAUACUCAUGUCUUAGCUGAAAUUUGUCGUAGCAUUUAUACCUGGAUGCAGCAGUGAUAAGAAGCAGUUGAACAAAGAGUUACUUGGUUGACUGGGCAAAGAUUUGUGACACUUACCAAUUACCAUUAGCCAGUGCCAUGGAUCCAAUUACGAUUCCAAAACUGCCAGUUAUAAUUCUUUUGAAAGGUGGAACUGGUACUGAACUUUGUAGGCAUAAUUGUAGUUACAUCUUUGAAACUUUAGACUAUGGUUUUGAUUCCUUCCAAUUAACGUUUGUUCCUUUGCCAUUUACAAUUUCAGCUCAUUUCAGUACAUAGUUAGGGCAGAGGGGGUUUAGGACGUUUAAUCCAAAUACAAUCCAAAUACACUAAUGUUGAGAGAAUAAGAAAUUGAGAGAAUUUAAGAAAUUAUAAAAUUAUAUUGACCAAAUGAGAAAUAUCGAGAGCUAGGGAAGUAGAGGAAAAAUGAAGAAUUAUAGCCUAGAAUUUGUCUUUUCUCUUUUUUUUUUUUCUUUAAAUGGAUAUAAACCACAUCUGGACCAAAAUCCCUAGUUGUGGUUCUGCUUCCAAUUUGGAAGAAUCUAAAAUGGACCUUUCGCCAAGAUUCUGUCCCAAUUUCUGAAGAACUUAAAGUAGAACCUUCAGCCACCGGUCCCAUUUUGAUUUCCCAAAUUCAAUUACAACUCUACUUUGUUGCCAGUUCAACCUACAGCUGUAGUUCAUGCCACUUAUUAUUCUUGUGGAUUUGUUUUUAUUGGAACUAGGCUUAACUUUCCUAAGAGUAGCUCAAAAUCUUCUUGCAAUUAGAGUUGCAAAAGAGUCAAGAUGAAUCGAGUUUUUGCCUUAUCGAACUGAGUUCAAUUCAAUUUUGUCAAGCUCCAACUAAAGUUUGAAAUCGAUAAGCUUUUCAUUCUAAAACUUGAGAUCGAGCUCAAACACCAGUCCGAGUUUAGUCAAACUCAAGUUUGAGCCUACUCAAUCUAAAACAAAAUAAGAAACACAUAUUUUUAUUUUUUAAAAGUGGAUAAAAUAGACAUUUCACUCUAGUAAAUAAUAAAAAUAUAGGGGACAUGCAUAUAAUUUUGUCACUAAAAUUAUAAAAUAUUAAAAAUAUAUGAGCUCAGUGUUAAUUGAGUUCGAAUCAAGUUUUAAUGGCACCGGCUUGUGAGUGCUCAUGAGCUGAUUUGAGUAAGUUGUAGUCCUACUUACAAUAACAAGAACAAUCCCACAAAUAAUGCCUUCAUGUCGCUUUAUUAAGUAGCCAAUUUAUCUAAAAUUACAAAUAAAAGCAAAAGCAUAUUGAGGAGCCAAUUAUUUGCAAGGCAUAGCCACUGGUAUGGUUUUUCUAUUUAUUCCUUUCUAAAUGAGGCAUUGUGCAAGAAAUAAUGGUAGUAUUAUCUACAUCUUCUGACUUUGUCCAAUGAAAGAUAGUUUUUGUAUCCUUCAAUCGCAUAUGACACGUGAGUUUGAUUCCCACAGUUGGCACCAAAUGUUGAUACUAAAAAGCAAGUUAUAUACGAAAAUGAAUCCUUGCUGGAGUAGUCAAUAUAUCUUUAUUAUACUAAAAGCGCGAGUUUGGUUUGCUACAGUAAAAAUGGGCCGGUUAUACCGUGAUUUGUGUGAGCUUGAGGGCGGUUUUUGUCUUUUUGUGGGGUGGUUUGUGCUGAUGCUGUCCGCGUGGCUUUGCAGCUGUCUGCAUGGCUUUGGAACUUCGAUGCUGCGUGCUGCUUGCUGCUGUCGCAUGGCUUUGGAACUUCAAUGCUGUCCGUGUGGGCACAAGAAGUGCAAGCUUUAUUACACAAAAGUUUUUUGAAGACUGAUUGCUUCUGUUUUCCUGCGCUUCAACUGCUUUCGACCCCUGUGGGAAAAAAAAAAAGCAUAUCCGCUGGUAAUGAUCUUCCAGUUCCGGGAGAACUCAUAAUCUGCUUCCUCUUCACUACUUAAGUCACAUCCAUUUUCUACUGGAAAUUUUUUUUUAAAAAAUCAUUCUCAAGGCUUUAAACAUAAUGAAAUUUCUCUACUCAAUAUAAUUAACUGGCAAAUUCUUUGCUAACCUCUUGAUUACUGCUAACUAACUAACUGCUAAUAUGGCACUUCGUUACUAAACAACCCAAAACGACUUCAACUAAAACGUAAAACUAAAAUGGUAUAUAGAUUUGCGUUAAAAUUCAUAUAGAUUUGGCAUCCAUGUACAUGCUUAAAUUGAACCAAAAUUUGACUGUUUGUAAUUUGCUCCUUGCUAGAUUAUCUCUAUUAUUAUAACAAAUACAGUAGGUCACUGGAACAAAUGAUAAUGCCACAGCUUAUAUUUUGUUUCCACGACCAGUUUAUGUACAAUUACAAAACUACCCAAUCUAAGUCCAAAUUUCAUUUGGAAUUGAGAAGGGUAAUUUUGACAUUUUGUAUAAAAUGGCUGUGAAAUUGAAAAAUGGACUAUGGCAUUAACAGCGCCCUUAACUGGGUCUGUAUCUGUUAAUUUGUUGACUUAUAAAGGUUAGAGAAGUAUUGCAUAUGCAAUUCCAAAACAAAAGCUUUCAUUGACAUCUUUGUAAUUGUUGAUUAGUGGUUUAUAUAUUGCACAAAUAUUUGUAAACCAUUGACCUUUGAAAAACACGUCCAAUUGUUGAUCAAUGGCUUGGCUGUAGAUGCAGGGAUACUAUUGCUUUGCAUUUGCGAAAAUAGGGAUAAUACAUUGCAGUGAAUCUGAGUAUGAUAUAUUUCUCCAGGUUGUUCCUAGCUAUUGUUUAGUACUUCCUAAGUAAUUCUCCUACUAAUGCAUUCCCACAAAUGUAUCAGAAAUUGGCAACAAGUCCAAUCAAAUACAUAUUUCGUAGCAAAUUCAAGCGGAAAUCCAGGCAUCCUCACGGGAUUCAAAUGGUAGUUAAGGUCCAAUUAGCUAUUAAGGUUAUAAGGUAAAAUAUACUACAUGUUGCAUGUCUCAAGAUUACUAUAAUUUGUUCUACUUCAAAGAAUGCUUGACAAAAGAAAAGAAGGAAAAGUUCAUCGUCAUUGAUUAAUGGUCUCUGCACAAAAAAAGAGAUGCAAAGAAAAAAAUGAUGACGAUGAUCUACGUACUACCCCAAAAAUUGUUGCAAUGAGUGCAAGAAGUUUGGGAAGACGCGUUUUAUUGGAAAGAUUACUAUAAGAAACUACACCUGUCAAUAUGAUAUUUUUUACUACAAUUAUUAGAAGCAUAUUUGUUUUACUACAUCAUGAAUAAUUCUUAAUUUCUUGACAUUUUUUAUUGCGUAGAAAUGUGAUGAUUGUUCUUUUCAAUUAUUGAUAUCACCAUUGUGUUUAUUCACAAUAAGUUUCAAGAAGGGUUUUACUUGUUUAAACUUAUUUCAUUCUUGACUAGAUACAAAUAGUGUGUGCAUAAUUUUAAAAGUGAUCAGCGUCACCAUAUUUAUGAUAUUUGUAUGUAAUUGUACAUUUCAAAUGAAUGCAUCAUUUUUAUAGUAUCAAGAAUUCGCAAAGAUUUUAAGGUAUUGACUGACUAUCUAAGAGAAAAUUACAAAUCAAAUGAGUAAAUGAGUAACAGCAAUAUUCAAUUUACAUAAAGUCAAACUCUCCACAUUUAUUUAACAAUUAUCAUGUAUUAAUAUAUAAACAUUUUACAUUAAUCUACUUGCCUUUAUUUGAUAUUGAUUAACAUAGACCCAGGGCAUCCUCACGCAUCGCGUGAGGCUGAAAAAACUAUAAUAGCUAAAGUCUUAGGUCUAGCUGGAGACAUAGUAUUCAACUUUUUGAAGAUGCCUAAUUUGGAUGUAUAUAUAUCCAGAAGCGUAUGUCUAAAUAUCUAGUAUAAAUUCAAAUAAGCAGCAGGGCCUUCGUGUCCAGGUGGAGCCUCCGAUGUUCAACUCAAAACUUGGACCUAAAGAGAAUAAUUUAAAUAUAAAUGAAUGAAUUGUAUUAGAAAAUUUAGAAUGGAAUAAUCUAUCUUGCACUUUUUCUUUUUAUCCUUGAGAGCUAAUGGAAUUUUUACUAAGUAGGUAAUAACAGCCUUGAUAGGCUUGGACCUAGGAAAAUUUGAGUUGAUCCACUAAAAGAUAGUAUUUGUAUCCUUCAAUUGCAUUUGAUACGUGACGUUAUUUUUUGUAUCAUUUAAUAAAGAUAAUUAGUCACAUAUUUUUUGUAUCGCUAUUUGCCCCUACUUUCAAGUGUUACUCAUACUUCUUGAGAGUAGAGUGUUUGAGGUAGAUUCUACCUUAACAAGAAAAUUGGCUUGCUCUCACUCAUAGGAACACUCCUACACAUGGCUUUAUAGAUGAGUAAAUUUCCAGCUUCGGUAUACUAUUUUGCUUCAAUGCAACAUAAAAUUGUACUUGGAAAUCCUUAUUCAACUGGAUUCUGAAGAAAACUUUUGUAACUAUUGGAUGCUUGAGUUUGAAAUCUUAUUGUAGGUUGAAGCAUGGUGUACCAUGUAGGGUUACUUCUGCACAAUUGAGUUUGAAUUAAUCAAGUUUACAGAAUAAGAAAUAGAAGCUGUAACAUGUCAUUCAAAUUUAUUUCUAGUGAUAUUAACUUUGAAGUUAGAAGCCUACUAUUCUAAUAGUCAAAUGAACUGUUCAAAUGAUAUAUUAGUACUAAAUAGAACUUCGGAAUUGGAAGUAACCCAUUGUAGCAUGGCAUUUAAAUGUACUGUUCACAUUAUAUAAAUUAUCUAAUGGAAUAUGACUUGAUCUUGCUUGAGUAAUACUAGUCCUUCUAUAAGGUAGGACUCCUAUUUUCAUUGAGUUUGUCUUGUUUCUUUUCACCCAAGAUGAAUUCUUGUGAUUAGUGAUUUAAAAUUUGAAACUCCUGCCUGACAUGAGGAGGCCGCAGCUCAUAGUCUUCAUAGUCAAAACUAUCUACUUCAUUAUCAUAAAGCAAGUAAAAUAACUACUAAAAUUUUAUGUUAGAAAGAACUUGCAUGGAGAAAGGCUUGAAGUCAAAGCCUCAAAAGUAUCAAGUGCUAAAAUAAAUUAAGUAUCAUCACCAUGGUCAAUGGUAGUUUCCUUCUCAUCAACACCUUUUGCAGCACUAUCAAGAGUGGAAUCUCUCUCUAAUCCAAGCAAAUGCAUACCAUCCUCUACUCCAUCAAUUGGCUUAUUCUGAAAAAAGAAUAUCUUUAUUGUCAUCUCUAAUCUCAAUCAUGUUAAAGUCUAACUGUGGGUAGAAACAUUUGGCCUUAGCAAUAGUUUUAUCAAAUCCAAUACUGUAAUACUAGAUCUCAAUUUGGUGCACCAUGUUUUUGAACUCCUUUGUUUCCUUGAAGUUCUUCAUAGCUUUCUCCAUUAAAUCUUUGGAUUUCUUGGGGCUUUCAAACUCUUUCAUAGCCUUCUUGGAAGCUUUUGCCUCCAAAUGUUUUAGCUAUUUCUUCUUUCAAGUUUUAGCGUAGUUCCCCAUAAACUUCAAUACCUGCUCAACUGGUUCAACGUUUUCUUUAGUAAGCUUCUUUUUAUGAGAUUUCAAUUUUUCCUUAUUGAUUUGAAACUCCUCAAUUAUGGUAGCGUGAUACCCUUAAGUUUUACACACAUACAAAAGUCAGAACAAGCCAAAUAUCAUGCAAAAUGAAGAAGUUAUCCAAUAAAACUAUAUUGAGAAUGCAAAAGAAAUUCUGUGGGGAAUAGAAAGACACAUAUGAGCAAGAAAUUUGAAUGCCAGGGUACUGUCUUCAAUAUGGUAGAGGUUGGGACUCUUUUCUAGUCUAUCUUCUCCGAUAGUAGGCAUAUUCAUAGAAUCAAUCAACUCACGCUAAAUAGAAUUAAUCCUCGCUGCUAGAAGAAGUAUGAGUGUUGCUCCACUUUGGUACAUUGGGUUGUAUAGAUGAAGAAAGUAUCCCCUCAUUGGCAGUAGAAGAAGACGCAAGACUAAGAGUGGAUUCUUCAAUUGGAAUGUCAAGAGGAGAAACUUUCAUGUUAGGUAGCACAGAGGUGCCUUGUUGCACUUAUCUUGGAGCCUCAAUUGUAGAAACAACACCAUUAUUAGGAUUUAUAGUUGGUGCGUUGUUAGUUCCAGUAGAGUUUAUCCCUUUAUUCUUGGCUACUAUUGCUCUAGCAAGAGUAGUUACUUGAUUCACAUUCACAGUUCAAGUAACCAAGUAACAAUAAAAUGAGUGCAAAGAUGAGAAAGAAAAGAAGAUAAAAAAAAUUUAAGAUGCCAAUUUUGCAAGAGCAAUGAAUGUAUAGAAGUUGGGAAUUUCGGAUUCCUAUAUAAAGGAGAGAAAUGAGAGGGUUCAAGGGGAAGGGAGUUGGUGGCUAGGGUAUUAGGAAAGAAACAGAAGAAAGACGAGAUUAGAAAAAGGGGGGCGGUUGAAGGUGAGGAAAAAUUGAGAGCAUUGCGAGGAAGAAAAAAGGGAAAUCGAGGAAGGAUCUGGGUGGCGGCUAGAGUGAGAGAUAAAAGUGAAGAGAGAGUCGAGAGGGAGCUGGGCGAAAGAACGGGAAUCAGAAGGGCAGCUAGAGGGUUUUGACGGCGGAAAAGAAAAGGGAGAGAAAGAGAGUUCGGGUAAGAGAGAUUGAGAAGGUUUCGGCUGGGCAGUGGAAAGGCUACGAGAAGGAACCGAGGAGGGUUUCGGCAAGAAAGAUAGAGUGAGAUAGAGAGAUAGAGAGAGGGGGAUAAGAAAGAACAGCUACGGGAGAAGGGAAGAGUCGGGGAAGGAAACUUGGAAAAGAAAAAGGAAGAGCUUUGGGGAGAUGGAGUAACCAAAAAGCUGAAAAGGAGAAGAGGUUGAAGGUGAAAACAAGGGGAGAGAGGCGACGGGCUGAGGAACCCAGAAAGCUGGGGAGGUGUUUUCGGCAAAAGAGAAACUGGCAAGUUCCCCGAAAUAACGUCUCUGAGCCCCCCAAAUCGUGGCCCAAAGUAUCGGGUUCAUCACUGCUGAGAUUUUCUGUGCGACGCGCUCAACCUCAUUUCUGGAAUCAGUACGCACUUUCCGAACAUAUCUCACGUUUGCUUUACUUCACGACGUUUGCAGGUAACUCUAGCCUUUCUUACUGUCAUUUUCAUAGCAUUUUGUGAAGAUCUGGAGUUCAUUGCAUGAAUUUCUUCCUUGUGCACGCAUGUUUUGUUUCCUUUCUUUGUGGUUUCAUCUCUGGUUCUUUGUAGAGACCCGUUUGGUAACUCGUUUUGGCUCUAUAUCUCGGAGUUUGGAUCGUGUGUUGUUAUAGCUCAUGAAACCCAAGGUAUAGGAAUCAUUUCUAGCCUCCUUUAGUCGAUGAUUAAUCUUCAAAUUUGCCGAAAGGAGGUUGUAGAAAUUUUUUUUAUUAAGCUCCGGGAGGGAACUUCUAGUGUAGCUGAGUAUGAGACUCAGUUUAUGAGAAAUUUGCUUCUGAAUUGAUAGCUACGGAGCAAAGAAGAGUACAGAGGUUUGUGCAAGGGUUCAAUGUGGAGAUACAAGAGGCCUUGGCGGCGGCCCAAAUUAAUACGUUUACGGAGGUUCUGGAGAAAACCCAAAGGAUAGAGACUGCAAGGGCACAAGUGAGAAAUUUCACGCAAAACGGAGAGGGGCACCUAGUGGAGUUCAAGGGUCAGCACAGAGUGAUCGUAACAUGCCACCUGCUAAAUCCGGUCGUGGAGCUGGAGGUAGACGGUUUUCGAGUGCAUCUAGGAGAGGUGCUUUGAGAGGAGGUGCCCAAAAGGGAGGUCAAAGUGGUAGGGGACAAGGUAGAGGCAUUCCACAGGGAGGCCAGACCUCCACUCCCUGAGUAACGUGCGGAUAUUAUGGGAAACCGAACCAUACAGAGGAUGAAUGCUAGAGAAAGGCUCGGAAGUGCCUGAGGUGUGGAAGUAAGGAGCACCAGAUAGUCAACUGCCCAUUGAUCAGCGAUACUCAGUUGACUGGCAAGUCAAACCCAAAGCCGACCAAUGUCGGGAGUGACCAGGUCGAGGGUACCGGCCAAAGUGUAUUCGCUGGACCAACAAUCGGUGCCUGAACCAACGGAGGUAGUGGAAGGUACGAUCCUUGUUUUUCACUAGUUAGCCAAAAUUUUGAUAGACCCCGGUGCCACCCAUUCUUUUGUUAACCCUACAUUUAUGCUUGGAAUUGACAUGAAAGUUGAAAGGCUACCUUAUAAUUUAUUAGUAAGAACACCUACGGGUAACCAAAUUUUACUUGCGAAUGAGAUGCACAGAAAUUUGAUAUUUGGGUUGGUGAACGGAAAUUGGUAGUCGACCUCAUUAGUCUAGCCAUUAAGGGGUACGAUAUUAUUCUAGGUAUGGAUUGGCUAGCUCAUUACCAUGCUCGGGUAGAUUGUAGGAUGAAGGUAGUAGAGUUUUGCAUACCAGGUGAGGCAACUUUGAAGUUAGGCGUGAGGGGUAUGUUAGCCUCAUUUGCGCUCAUUUCGGGAAUAAAAUCAUCCUUUCUCUUCUCCUAGACGAUAGGUGGAAGGUAUUUCUCGUUAAACUCCCGUACAAAGUUUAGCCAGGUCCAUGUAGUUCCCUCUCUCUUCCAUUUGGCCCUAAUUACAUUCCACCAAGCCCUGGCUGGAUCUUCGAACUGGAAAAUAGCGAAUUGUACUUGCCUAUCCUCUGUAUAGUUCAAAGCGGCAAAGAUGUUGAUCAUGGCCUCUAGCCAUUUCUCGGCUCCCUCCGGGUCUGGUCCUCCCAAGAACUUAGGUGGAGAGAAUUUCUGGAAUCUCUCUAAGGCCCUAUCUUGCCCAUUAUCGGGGUCCCUAGGUUGAUUUACAGGGGUUUGACCCUGUUGUUCUACUAAACGGUCAGAAUAUUAGUCAUUUGUUGGAUUGCAGUUGCCAUUUGAUCUCUCCCUACAGCCUGGGGUCCAGGUUAUGGCUCAAUCGUUGCCUCUCCCUCUUCUCUCGGUUCUCGCACCGGUUCCUAUGUUUGUCUACCCCACGGCCACGACUAGGACUGCGUCCUCAGUUAGUUCCCCUGGCUUGACUUCUUCUACCCUCCAUGUUUUGGAUUUAACCAACUAUAGACAUAUAAACAAGGUAAGGUAUGGCUCAUAUAGCACGUUUCAAAAGGAUAAACAGAGGCAACAAAACGCAUAAUAAACAGGUUCUUUAUAUACAUAGCAAACAAGUCACAUAUACAUGCCAACCUAGGCAAGUCAAAGGCUAUACUAGCCAAGGAACAUAGAACAAAAGAAAUCUUAUUUACAUCCACCGUGACACGUUAAAGUCAUAAACAAAAGAAAACGUGUCGUCCUACUAUGUUCCUAACUAUCCUGCAAAAAUCUCCUCAAUCCUAACAAAUUGUCCGGCUAGACGCCGACCCAACCGACUCCGUGGAUGCACUCAGCUCCUCCUCCGGGUCCUCCUCAGGUCCUCUUCCGGAUCCUCCUCAGGAGCGCAAGGAACAUCAGGGACUACAGGCACUUGUCCCUCUUCGGCCAAGUCCUGAAUCACAUCCUCCACCAGUGCCUCGCACUCAGUUAGGAUAUGGCCGGUCCGGUCUCGAAUUUCCUCAACCACUCACAUAAGGCGUCCCGUAGCCGCCUGAGCCUGCUCGCGGAAGGCAUCAGUCCGCUGCUGUUCCUCCAAAAUCGAGGCCUCCAGCUCUUGGAUCCGGGCUCCCUGAAUUCGGAGAGCAGCCUUGAGACGCUCAAUCUCCAACUGGCACCUACGAUUGGCGCUACCCAAUCAUCUCCGCUCAUCGUCCACUGCGAGCACUAUCCGAUCGGGGUAGGAGUAGGUCUUCCAGCAGUCGUAACGCCAGAUCUUGCGUGCUGGGGACCACCGCUGCACUGGCCCACUGGGGCUCUCCUGGUACAUGAUCACGCGACAGACGGGCCCCUCCAGAUAUGGUUCGUCAGUAGGAGCGUCAGUAGAUAUGUCAGUAGGUACGGGUUGAGACGGCCCAACACCACCAGAAGCGUCAACACCCACCAUCACCUAUGUUUGCAAAUAACGUUGCAAAAGUAAGUACAUGAGACUUAGAAAACAAGGCUAAAGGCUAAGCUCAAGAAUAAAACCCAAGCCUAUCGUAUCAAGCACUCAAUCUAUCCAGUUCAAUUCACUCCUAGGCUCUGAUACCACCUUCGACGACCCCACCUCCCCUAAGGCAUACCAAAGGGUUCGGGGGGCCGUCUGCCCAACUCUCACCUGGAUUCACUCACUCGUAUCACGUGCAUACAUCCAUAGAUAAUAAAUAGCAUCACAAUUCAAACUUACAAUUUAUAUCGAUGCACAAUCAAGAUACAAAGCCUCUAUAACCCAAACUGGUUUAAAGUGUAUACAAUCCAAGUACAAAUCAUUCUAAUCGAGUGAUAGCGCGAGUACAAGUCAAAAGUCAAAAAUAACUAGGCUACGCUAGUCUUUACAUAUCUCACGCUUCGCUCGUACCCCUGUAAGGAAAACAAAACUAACGAAGUGAGCCAAAGUUCAGUGAAGUUUCAAAUAUCAAAUUGGCCAUCAAAUAAAGUAAUAGCAGCGCAUGAUAGUGAAAUAGCAAGCAAACAAGUCAAAUUAGAGAAAUAACACUUCAGAUAGUGAAGAAAUAUUUGGUUCACAUUUAUUUACAUGUAAGGAUACAGUGGCUCAUAUCUCAGCUCCAUCACAGCUUGAUCGAUUGGUAGUUGACACUCCGUCAACUUCCAAGUAAUGAACUAGUCCAGAAAACCUCACUUCACGCCAGUCUCCAUCCACCGAUCAACCCCCUUACCGAGCUCGCACACCACACGAAACACAGGUGGUAAUACUCGAGUAUACCGAUUAACCGAGGAGAUAACACUCCACUCGACAUCACUAAUUACCCAGGGUCUGUUAGCUAAUCGACCUGGCCCUUGCUGGCUCGACUCGAUUAACUAGCCACAGGGUUUCUGGAAUUUCAGGCAAGAUAUAAUUCAUACACAUGUAGACCAAGUCAAUUGAAAUCGAUGAACAAGAACAAAUCUCGUUAGGGCAAGUGCGAUAAAGUACACCCUUGCCCUAUCAAAUCACUUAUAUAUAUUAUGUAAUCACAUUGGUCAAAGAUAAAUCACAAAUAUCAAGUUCAAUCAGAUAUUUGGAAGCACUCACCAAAAGUAGUGCCUCUAGUGAUCGCGUCUGGGUUGUACUCCGGGUUUGGAGUCCAAAUCUGCGAUAAAACUUGACUUAAGAACUUUGAAAAUUGACUAAGGUUCGAAACUUAGAUGUUUCAUUCAAUAAGAAUUAAGAAAUUGAAAUUCACUUGGAGAGUAGUCGUGAAACAUUUGCUCGUUUUUUAAACUAUAAAACUUUGUAACAUUUAUAUUUGGAAAUGCCAUUUGAGUCGAAAGUACAAGGAAAACAUACUCCGAGCAAUCAUUAUUUUAUUUUUCAAGGGUACAAGUUUGGCCAAAUCCUUACUUAUAUACCUCGGUAAAAGAAGACGCAAAUAUCCUAGAUGGCUCAAGUAGCAAUCACUUUAACCCUUACUCAAGUUGCAAGUAUGUCUAGCUAACCCUUGAGCGUAAAUUUGGGCAGCACGCCCUUUGUAUUUUCCUAUUUCCAGCCAUUUAUGACUUCAUUCUUUUCCUCAAUCAAACCCAAAGUUACAUACAAAACAAUCUCAUUUCAAUAGCCGUUCAAUAGGCUCAAGGUAAUACAAGUACAAAAUCAAGCUAGCGACAUGUGCGGAAAUGAGGUUUAGCAAAAGACAGAUUUGACAUGAUUUUGAGUAACGGACACAACCGAAGCUACGCUUGUCAGAUUGGGGUGCAAUUUAUACCGUUCCGAAGCUAAGACAAAGUCCUACAAUUUUGAUGAAGACCACUUAGUCCAAAUUCCAGUGUAACCCAGUCACAUUCCUAAUUCACAGAACCAAAUUCCAACUAAUCGGCUAGUUAACCAUACUACAUUUAAAUGGCCACAUCUCAAGCUACCAAAGUCCGUUUAAGAUGUUCUUGGUGGUGUUGAAAAUCUAAGACAAAGUACUAAAACUUUCAUGUUUUGACUAAAAGCUAGUUCAGUACAUAUCAAGGUGAAAAAAUGCAACCAAAUUAGUGUACUGUCCAGACCAUCCACUGACUUUACUCCUACAGUAGUCAGGAUAUUUUCAUUUUUUCACAAGCUACGUUUCUCCGAUUGAGCUGAAAUUUGGUAGGAAACCAUAAAAUAUCAUUAUCUACAACUUUCAUGUUUUUUGCUAAGCCUGAUUCAGCCUCUAACAUGAUAAAAUGGAAUCGGGCAGAACUGAAGCUACAAUUUUCAGAAUUCUGGAAUUUUACUAUCUUCAAGCUAUAAUUCACAUUUUUAUCCUAAAACUACCACUACUAUCUCCUUUACAAGAUUAUAUACCAUAUAUAUACAUCACAUGACACCUAACCCACAAGAAACCCUAACUCAAAAGUCAUCCAUCUAAUCAUCAAAAUCACUUGGAACAAGCAUCACAAGCACAAUACUAACAUUAAUACCCAACUUAAUCAUGAUUAAAGGGGAAAGAAAGGUUGAUCAGCCAUUGUACCUCAAGACAAAAGCUUGCAAGGAUGAUCCUUCACCUCCUCUUGAAAUUUUUGGUUCCUCAAGCUUCCCAAGCUUCCAAACUAGUGAUUAAUCGGUUUAGUUUUCUUGUUUGCACUCAAAAGGUUGGAUUCAAAGUAGAAGAUUGAAAACUCUCCUCACUCCUUUGCCUCCCCUUGCUCUCGGCCAAAAUAGAAAAAAAUGACGAAGAAUGAGCUGAGAUGAGAGAUAAGAAGGCAAGACAAAAGGGUUGGUCAAAGGCCAUAGAUGGUCGACACUUGUCACCACCAAAACCAUCCUAAAUUUGCUUUCUCUUCCUUGCAUUUUGGGCCACAAUUUUUGGCUAUAUGGCUAAGGAUGGAGGGGGGGGGAUAUUUUGCACAAAUAUCAAGGGUAUGUGGUGGUAGGGAAGUGGUGAUCAAGUGGUGUGUUCAAUCGGUAGUGAUCGAUACCCGUCGGUUUGAGCCGAUUUUUCUUAAAUCGCGUAUACUAGGGUUUUUACCUUCUAAUCACUAACUUAUUAUUAUCACUUCUAAUCAUGUAAUAUUUCCUCAUCCAAAAGUCACUCUUACCUACCAAAUGUGAUCCUCACUCCGUACCGAAUAGUCACACUACGAAAAAACGUGAAAACCCUAAUUCGCUCUAACUUGAAAGCGGACAACGAAACCCUUACUUCUAUAUUCAUUUACACUUAUUGUGGGGUGAUUGGAUAGUAGGGCCAUAAUAGAUGAAUAAUUUCUAAAUAAAAGGGCAUUUUUAAGAAAAAUAUAAGGAAUUUACAAGUUCUCACAGUAGGAAACAUGUUUCAAAGUGCAAAAAGUUCUUAGAAGACAAUUUUCCAUGAUUCCAAACGGAAGGUAUUCAAAAAUUGGCUCAAAGUUGCUGUUUUGGGGUUGGUUUUUGGUAAAGUUUGGUAAUUUGGCAAAAUUCACACAGUACAAACUAGCCUCUUAAUUUUGUAACUCAAUUUGAUUUGCAAGCUAAGUUUAAGACACAACAAGCGGAUCAAGAUUCAGAGUUUUAAGCACCAAGAUAUAGUAACUCAAAGUUACUAAAAUUUCCUUGUUAAACAAGGGUUUUCCAAACUCAAAUCAUGAACUUUUGAAAUUUAGUUGAGCAGCGAAAUGGACUCGGAAUGGCACCAAUAUUAGCAGUAUAACUCUACCGUAUAAGGGUUAUUCCUCUACCAAAUUUCAUAGAUAAAUAAGCACGGGAAGUCGGUUAACCAAAUCACCAAACUUCCAAAAUUCCAAGGCAAAUCUGCCUUGUGAGUUCCAUUUUCCGUUUUCAAGACGUUUGGCCUACAGAGUACCUCAAACAUGGUCCAUUUGCAUAGAAAAUGUCUAAGAGGUAUCCGAAACACAAUUUGGGGGUGAUUAACACCAAAAUUUCGAGUACAAGUCCCACACAAGAUCAGGGCAUUCACUUAACCGAAAGAAAGUUGUGUUGAAAACUAGGUCAGUUUCAAACUUUGGUCACAACUCACUCAAUUCAACUUGGAAUUGAGCGUGGUUGGUGGCGUUGGAAAACACAUUCAUAAAGCUACAAUUUCUCAAAAGAAAUCAUUUUUAAAAUCGGUCCACAACUAGCCCACAUUUGAGCAUCAAGUUGUAGUUCAUGUUCUGCCCUGUAGUGAACCAAAGAAACAGGAUUGCAAUUUUUAAACGAAUGGUUUGGCUCACUCAAAUGGAACCAGGACGUGCAUUUUAUACCAAUAGAAAUCUGGGAAUGUCUAGUUUCUAGUGCCACAAACGCACUCAAUUUCGACAUCGAAGUAAAAAGUUAUAACCGAAACAAGAUGACUGCCUGGGCAAUCCGGGAAAAUUUUCCAGUUCUGCCAAACUUAGGAAAUCAACACAUUUGACCAACUAAAUCAUGUUAUUUUUCAAUGAAACUUUCUACACCAUCCAUAUAACAUGUAUACAUUAUAAUCAAGCCAUUAGAAUCUCAAAAAUUCACACCAAAGGUCACGAACAUGGCAGGAUAAAAUGGUCACUUUUGCUCAUUGCACCAUCCUUGAGUUUCUAUCAACAACCCAAUAUUAUUCUACUAAUAUAAGCACUAAACCAAUAUUAAUUUCAUCAUCAUUCACUAAAUCAGUCCAUCCAAUCAAAGUGGGAGUUCAUAGAGCCCACACAAUAAUUUUUCAACAUAACCAAGCUACUCAUAUGCAUGCAUGAGUUUAAAUAUGCACUACUACUUCCAUAAAUCAAGUUUCCAAGGUUUGAUCAUCACUUACUUGCUUUGAUGUUCAAGACAGAAAUUUUCGGUCCUCCUUAACCCAAGAGAACCAUGGAAAGCAGCUCCUUUUCUUAGCUAGAUGCAAUCUCCAAGUGUUAAACUAAGUGUGGGUGAAAUUUGAAGUGAAUUGGCGGAAGUUUGAUGAAGAUUUGAUGAAGGAAUUUGAAGAACUCUUGAGCUGUUUUUCAAGCUUGAUGGCUGGCUGUCUUAGUGAGGAGAGAGAGAGUGUUUGAUCAAAAGUGAGGCUUCCUUGAGAAGCUUUAAUGUGUGGCCCAGGUUUACCCAAAAGUUAACUCUCGUUCGCGCGCGCGCGCGUUUUGUGCUCGAUUUCUCUCGAGUUUAUUUCACUAGUGCACUAAACCUCUAAUACACUUAUUUUCAUGUAAAUAUUAUUCACUCUUAAUUGUCCCAAAAUAAGGGUCUAAAGUCCCUCAAUUAAAUCGCGCGUGUAAAAAUGCGUAUUUCCAAUUUAAGCGCGAUAAAGUGAAAUCUCCAAGAAAUUCUUAUAACGAUGGUACUAAUAACUAUCACUUGAAUAUUUUAGCAUAAAAAUACCUAUUUUAAGACCAUUGUGCAAGCCUCUAAUUUUCCAAGCUUAUUGUAUUCUUGAAUCGAUUAUUGACUCCAAUCGCUUAUUCACUAUUUUCACUUAACGAGUUUCCAAAAAUUGAAUUUGGAAACAAAUCAUUUUAAAAAUAUAUGCAAAUCAUAAAUCCAUGUAAUUGGGUCUAAAAAGAUUAAAAUAAAAUAUUCGGAGUGAACGGGCAUUUAAUUAUUUAAAUGGGCUAGUAAUAGGGUUUUAAAAAUAGGAAAAUUUGUUAGUCCUCGCAUGAGUCUAGUAUUACUUCCCCAAAUCUCCAAUAAAUUUGCAUUGGCGAGUCUUUCGAAAGACUAUCGACGCGCGCGAGCGAUAAGCACUUAAUUAGAACUUAUUUACCUUUAAUUUCUCAAUUAACUUUUCUUAAUCUACUAUUGAUCAUUCUUAAUUUUCCUAAGAUAAUUACACUCUCGAAUAAAAUAUCACCUCGAAACACAUGCGCUCAUUAUUUCUCACUUAAACGAACCUCCAAAAAUUAAAUUUGCUAACGGAAGGUUUUAAAAAAAACAUAAGGAACACAUUGCUCCAUAUGAAUGGGCUUAACAUGAUUGAAAUAAAUUAUUUGGAGAAAACGGGUGAAUAAAUAUUUAAAUAAAUCAAUAAUAUUCAAUAAAGAUAAGAAAUUUUUCGGGAUCCUCCCCUCCUAAAAAGGAAUUUCGUCCUCGAAAUUCACACCUAGGACAAUAUCAUUCUCUUAAUAGUUAAACCUACCAGAUCAAUCACUAACUUAUGUUUUUCCAACUCAUGCUUCACAAUUUCUAUUCAUUCAACUAGCAAUCAAACCUUGAUUUUCCUCAUUAGAUAUUUUAAUUUCCAGGUCAUAGGGCAACAUAGGUAACACCUUCACUCUUAAUGCUAUUAUUACCGCCACUAACUCCAAAUCAUGAGUUAGCUACUUUCUCUUGUGAUAUAUUAACUUUUUAGAGGCAUACACAAUCGCCUCAUCAUGUAUCGUUAGUAUACAUUUUAAUCCAUCCUUUAAAGCAUCUGGAUAAAUCACAAAACUGCCUCCCUCUGCUCAGUAGGACUAACACAAGUGCAUCGGUUAAAUAUCUUUUAUUUUUAAAAUCUUCCUCACAUCUAGAAUUCCAAAUAACUUGUCAAGUCUUGCACUCUUAUAAAAAUCCUUGAUAAACCAAAGGUAACAUUCAGCUACCUCUAAGAACUCCAAAUGUCAAUAGGAUUUUCUGGUUGUUUCCUCUUAAACAGCUUCUACUUUAGCUGAGUCAAUAACAAUUCCUUUCUUAGAUAUUGUAUAACCUAGAAAGGCUAUUUCUUCCAAUUGAACUCACGUUUAUUGAAUUUAACGAAAGUUGGCAUUUUUCUCGGAGUUUGUAAAACUAUCAUCAGGUGUUUUUCAUGCUCUUCUCAUACUUUAGAGUAUACCGAUAUACCAUCAAUGAAUACCACCACAGAUUAAUCCAAUUACGAUUUAAAACCCUGAUGCAUUUAGGUCAUAAUUGCUACUAGUGCAUUAGUCAACCCAAAGGGCAUAACUGCAACUUCAAGCAUCCCUAUCUUGAAUCGGAAGCGGUCUUAAGCACAUCAGUUUCUAGAAUUCCCAAUUAGUCGUAACUCUACUUUAAAUUCUUUAUUCACUGCUCCUGGCCAUUGAUCAAAAUCCUCGCCUAUGUGAGACAAUGGAGUAUUUGCUCUUAAUGGUCACAUCGUUCAAGUCUCGAUAAUCUAUAUAUAGCCUCAAGCUUCCAUUCCAAAUAUGAUAUCCGAUCCCUCAAUCAUUAGGCUCAACAAAUCUAUCAAAUAUUCCCUUUCACUAACCCAAGUCUCACAAUCUUAAUAUAUCAAAUUGGAAAUCAAACAUUGGGUCCCAACUCAACACCAAGUUCUCGAUUUGGUCACGAUCCCUGGUCAUCUCCAAGAUCUCAAGUUUGCCUACCCUUUUACGUAUAAUCUCUAUCACGUCUACUACUGUUCAUGUCUUAUUAUCAAUCUAAAGGUGUAGGGCAAAAUGUAUCUAUACAUAUAAACCAUGAAAUCAAUCAAAGCAAGGUACAUCUCCAUAUGUCAUGGAAAAUCGUAAUAGUUGCAUCAAAAGUGAAGGUGUUACCUAUGUUGCCCUAUGACCUGGAAAUUAAAAUAUCUAAUGAGGAAAAUCAAGUUUUAAUUGCUAGUUGAAUGAAUAGAAAUUGUGAAGCAUGGGUUGGAAAAACGUAAGUUAGUGAUUGAUCUGGUAGACUUAACUAUUAAGAGAAUGAUAUUGUCUUAGGUGUGAAUUUCGAGAACGAAAUUCCUUUUUAGGAGGGGAGGAUGUGAGGACCCAAAAAAUUUCUUAUCUUUAUUGAAUAUUAUUGAUUUAUUUAAAUAUUUAUUCACCUAUUUUCUCCAAAUAAUUUAUUUCAAACAUUUUAAGCCAAUUCAUAUGGAACAAUGUCUUCCUUAUGUUUUUUUAAAACGUUCCAUUAGCAAAUUUAAUUUUUGGAAGCUCGUUAAGUGAAAAUAGUGAAUACACGAUUGGAGUCAAUAAUCGAUUCGAGAAUACAAUAAGCUUGGAAAAUUAGAGGCUUGCACAAUGGUCUUAAAAUAGGUAUUUUUAUGCUUAAAUAUUCAAGUGAUAGUUAUUAGUACCAUCGUUAUAAGAAUUUCUUGGAAAUUUCACUUUAUCGCGCUUAAAUUGGAAAUACGUGUUUCACACGCGCGAUUUAAUUGAAGGACUUUAGAUCCUUAUUUUGGGACAAUUAAGAGUGAAUAAUAUUUACAUGAAAAUAAGUGAAUUAGAGGUUUAGUGCACUAGUGAAAUAAACUCGAGAGAAAUCGAGAACAAAACGCGCGCGCGAAGGAGAGUUGACUUUUGGGUAAACUUGGGCCACACAUUAAAGCUUCUCAAGGAAGCCUCACUUUUGAUCAAACACUCUCUCUCUCCUCACUAAGACAGUCAGCCAUCAAGCUUGAAAAAAAGCUCAAGAGUUCUUCAAAUUCCUUCAUCAAAUCUUCAUCAAACUUCCACCAAUUCACUUCAAAUUUCACCCACACUUAGUUUAACACUUAGAGAUUGCAUCUAGCUAAGAAAAGGAGCUGCUUUCCACAGUUUUCUUGGGCUAAGGAAGACCGAAAAUUUCUGUCUUGAACAUCAAAGCAAGUAAGUGAUGAUCAAACCUUGGAAACUUGAUUUAUGGAAGUAGUAGUGCGCAUUUAAACUCAUGCAUGCAUAUGGGUAACUUGGUUAUGUUGAAAAAUUGUUGUGUGGGCUCUACGAACUCUCACUUUGAUUGGAUGGACUGAUUUGGUGAAUGAUGAUGAAAUUAAUGUUGGUUUAGUGCUUAUAUUAGUGGAAUAAUGUUGGGUUGUUGAUAGAAACUCAAGGAUGGUGCAAUAAGCAAAAGUGGCCAUUUUAUCCCUGCCAUGUUCGUGACCUUUGGUGCAAAUUUUUUAGAUUCUAAUGGCUUGAUUAUAAUGUAUACAUGUUAUAUGGAUGGUGUAGAAAGUUUCAUUGAAAAAUAACAUGAUUUGGUUGGCCAAAUGUGUUGAUUUCCAAAGUUUGGCAGAACUGGCAAAUUUUCCCAGAUUGCCCUGGCAGUCAUCUUGUUUCGUUAUAACUUUUUACUCCGAUGUCAAAAUUGAGUGCCGUUUGCGGAACUGGAAACUAGACAUUCCUAGAUUUAUAUUGGUAUAAAAUGUACAUCUUGGUUCCACUUGAGUGAGCCAAACCAUUCAUUUAAAAUUGCUGUCCUGUUUCAUUGGUUCACUACAGGGCAGAACAUGAACUACAACUUGAUGCUCAAAUGUGGGCUAGUUGUGGACGGAUUUUGAAAAUGAUUUCUUCUGAGAAAUUGUAGCUUUAUGAAUCCAUUUUCGAACGCCAUCACCGACGCUCAAUUCCAAGUUGAAUUGAGUGAGCUGUGACCAAAGUUUGAAACUGACCCAGUGUUGAACACAACUUUCUUUCGGUUAAGUGAAUGUCCUGAUCUUGUGUGGGACUUGUACUCGAAAUUUUGGUGUUAAUCACCCCCAAAUUGUGUCUUGGAUACCUCUUAGACAUUUUCUAUGCAAAUGGACCAUGUUUGAGGUACUCUGUAGGCCAAACGUCUUGAAAACGGAAAAUGGAACUCACAAGGCAGAUUUGCCUUGGAAUUUUGGAACUUUGGUGAUUUGGUUAACCAACUUCCUGUGCUUAUUUAUCUAUGAAAUUUGGUACAAGAAUAACCCUUAUAUGGUAGAGUAAUAUUACUAAUUUUGGGCCAUUCUGAGUCCGUUUCGCUCUCAACUAAAUUUCCAAAGUUCAUGAUUUGAGUUUGGAAAACCCUUGUUUAACAAGGAAAUUUUAGUAACUUUGAGCUACUAUAUCUUGGUGUUUAAAACUCUGAAUCUUGAUCCACUUGUUGUGUCUUAAACCUAUCUUGCAAUUCAAAUUGAGUUACAAAUUUCAGAGGCUGGUUUGUACUGUGUGAAUUUUACCGAAUUACCAAACUUUACCGAAAACCAACCCCAAAAUAGCAACUUUGAGCCAAUUUUUGAAUACCUUCCAUUUGGAAUCAUGGAAAAUUGUCUUCUAAGAAUUUUUAGCACUUUGAAAGGUGUUUCCAACAGUACCAAGUUUUCUAAUUUUGGACUUGUAAAAAGUGAGAUACGAUUUUUCAUAGAUCUCAUAUCAAAACUGAAAUUUCCGAAUCUUAAGGAAAUGAAGUUCUUUCGAAUUCUCCUUAGUCCUUCGAUAUUACUUGAAUGUUUUAUACUCGAUUUCAAAGAUGGAAAUCAGAUUUCGCUUGUAUUUUUAAAACCUCACUUUUGAGCCUCGAUUUACGAAUAAUUAAGGCUCAUUUUCGUGAAAUUUUCUGAGAUCGCGCAAGUGUGCAAUCUUUCUUAAUAAUUGGGGUUUAUAAAGUAAUUACUCAGGCUCACACGAGGAACUUCAAGAGAAUCCCACGUUGGACGCUUGAACUUCAAGUGCCUUUUUCUUCUUGUUUACUUGGUAAGUGUCAAGUGCAUGUUUACUUGAACUCCUGUAAACUCGAUACAUGUUUACUUGUUAUUGAUACUUGAGAUUUUGAAAUCUGAGACGAGGGUGUACUUUAUCGCACUCGUUCUCGCUUGAAAUAAAUAACUCGUACUUGAAAUGCUUGAAUAUCUCAAUUGCUUGAAUAUGUCACAUGCUUGUAUGACUUGAAAUAGUAUGCCAUGGCUGCAUACAUCACUGAAGUGAAUCUCCUCGACACCCGAUUAUGCUUGGGGGACGCCCAAAUCUCAUUGGUCAUCCUUGGACUCGAGCCGACAUGGGCUUGGUCAGGCUCCUUGGUAAACCAUGGGAAAAAAUAAAAGCUUGAUCUAGUAAGAGAUCUCGCUUGGCAUACUCGAGUAGUAUCGCCUUAAACAAAUGACAGGCGGGCCCGACACAGGGGUAUGUAAGGUGAAAGGGGACAGGUUAAGUGGAGUUUUACGGACUAAACCUACCAGAUUGAUGGAGUGUCAAUUCAUGGAGGUUCCUGAUCGUGCCAGUAUGAUAUAGCUCCUGAGAGCUCUAGUAUCUUUGAAUUGUUUCUGUUUACUUUUCAGUGAAUCGUUAAUUAUUGAUAUAUUAUUGCUCGACUUGUAAAUUUUGGAUUGUUACUUGAACAAUGUGCUUGCAUGUGUGUUCUUGGCCUCACGAGCAUUUUGCUUACCCUGUAGAUUUGUUUUCGUUAACAGGAUUUGGGCUUGGAAUGAGAUUCGGGGGAAAUUCCCUUUUGUGUACUCUUGUAAUAGGGUUCCAAUUCUUUUGACUAGACAUUUGGCCAUUGUAUAUUUUGGGCUGUAUUAUGAAAACCCGAUCUAAGGAUUGGGUAAUCGUUAAAUAUUGUUAAGCUUGAACGCUUCCGCACUAAUUGUAUUUAUAUUAUCUGGUUGUUGACAUCUAGCACCGCUAUAAGCUUGAACAGAAAUUGCUUGAGUCCUGGCGAGAGUUGGGCAGGCGUUCUGCGGAUACCCUUUGGUUUGCCUUAGGGAGAAGUGGGGGUGUCACACAUAUCAGUUCACAUAGCAGCUAAUAUCCAGCCAAUACAAAACAUGUUUGCUCAUGAGCACACCAGCUCCAAAACAAAUCAAGAAAACAACUCAAAGUAACGACCCUAGCGGAAAUCCCCUACAGAGCCUAUAGAGUCUAUCGCAUCCAUCGGCCCCGCUCCGCCAGCCCUAGGUGGAGUCUCUGCAGCUAUAUCUAAGAGAACCUCACAAUCUAACAUAAUACCCCGGGCUCUCUCUCUCAUCUGCCACUUCAAAACGAAGAUGUGGUGGUGGGUAUCCUCGAGCUGACGACCAAGGGUAUGCGUCCGCUCCUCCUCAACUCGUAACCCCGUCUCGAGGUCACGCAGGCGCAUGGCCUGUACAUGACUCACCGCUCUGCCCUCAUCCAACUGUGCCCUCAAAGUGUCGAUCAUCCUACCUAGGUGACGACGCUCGUCAUCUAUAGCUAUAACCACCUCGUCAGGGUAUCCAUACGUAUGUCGACACUCACACGAUCGACUCAUCUGGCCGAAGGGAGAAUAUAGCCUAUAGGGUUCCCCGACCUUUCUCUGAUACCUGAGUACUCGUCGGCGUACCACCCGGUUCACCGAACCAUCUACACCCUUAGCUCGUACUCCGGCACUGCUAGGUUCCCCGGUAUCGCUAGGUCCACCAGCUCCAUACCUACACAAUAAAAUAUCACUUAAUCAGUUCUCCGGCAUUUCAACUUAAGAGAUACGAUUGAACUUAGAGACAAUCGAAUACUUAUAUUUCUAUAACAUAUUUCCCAACUGCCCAAAUCCUCUAACUUAGGCGCUCUGAUACCACUUGUGACGCCCCACUUCUCCCAAGGUGAACCCUAGGGUAUCGGCGGGACGCCUGCCUAACUCGCACCAGGACUCAAUACUUAAAAUGAGAAAAUAGAUUUCACGCUAAAAGAAAGUUCUAUUUACUCUAUUACAGUUUCAAAAGUUGCAUAAACUAGUAGAUCAAGUCAUACAUACCGAGUACCAGAAAGUAAACCCUAAAAAAGCUGAUAACUACAACCACCACAACAACUAUAUACAUCUUACUAGUCAACUUAUAACAAGUACAAAUUCAACUAUUCUAUAGCUCAAAAGUCUAAACACCUUUCCGAGCGAUCCCCGCGUUGGCCCCCUCCUAAGGAAAACAAAUGGAAUGGGAUAAGCUAUAUGCUUAGUGAAUAAUUGGGGUAAAAAAUGUAAAACCACAUUCAAAUAAACAUAUAAAUCCAAAUAUUUUACAUCAAUACAGAAAUGUAACAUCGCAAUAGUAGGAUACGGGUGGCUCCAAAGCCAGUUCAAUUCCCCGAGCUUGAACGCCUGUUGACACUCCGUCAACUAAAGUACUCAUGGUCCGUAGACUCCACUUAACUUUUCCCAUUCACCUUAUCAACCCCCGCUGGCCAGUCAACAGCACACAGCAGCUCGAACGAAACAAAAUAACUUAGCUUUCAUCAAAGUUUUAACAAAGAACUAAAUCCCAAGGUUAGCAUGGAACUAACUUCGACCAAACCCCCCGCUGGCUCGAAUAGUUCGUCUACCCUUGGAACCGGGUUGAAACCAAACCCUGAGAUAUCUGAUCUCUCAAUAGAUGAUAUCUCUCAACAAAGUACACAACAAAGUACUUACCCCAAACAGCACACAGCAAAAGGGGUUCAAUUCAAGUCAUGUAAUCACCCCCAUCAGCACUCAGCAAAAGGGUGAUACGCAACAUAAGGCAUGUAUUCUCACAUAUAACAUCAAGUAAAGGAUGGGCUUAGAUCGAGUGAGAUAAAGUACACCCUCGCCUAAGUACCCAUUUAACAUAUACAAAGCACUUUAACAAUUUAACAUCAAUAAACAACCCAAUUACUCACUUGAUAAAGCUUGGCACGAAAAAUGAUACAAUUCACUGAGCUUGACCGUCACCGUCAAAAGCCUCACAGUCUGUAUUGACAAAUUAUAUGCACACAUAAGUGAAAUGGCCAAGUUCAAUUCAAUACCUUCUCAUGACGGUACCCGUCGCUCGGGUAGAUAAUUAAAUUCAUAGCAUUUUACGUAUUCUAUUUAUGUUUCUGAGACGACUCAAGAGGCACCUCCCACCCAAAUUGGUAUGGUACUUACUAUCGCUUAGCUUAUGGUCUGAGACAAUUCAAGAGGUUCCUCCCACCAAAUCGGUGUGGUACUUGCUAUCGUUCAGAGGUCGAUGUGUGACGCCCCCACUUCUCCCAAGGGCGAACCCAAGGGUAUCCGCAGGAUGCCUGCUCAACUCUCGCUAGGAAUCGGGACAAUUCCAAUUCAAAUAUAGUCUAAUACUAACAAUGAAAGUCGGAAUAAAGUACGAAGUCAUUUUCAUACAUAAAUAUCCAGUCUUACAUCACAAUCUCAAAUUUACAAUCACUUUCCCCAAAAUAUACAACAUCCAAAAGUGUCUAGUCGAUUAUAAUCAAAACACUAAUACAAAAGUGCCUCAAUUCGGCUUUUCCUUAACUUCUUCCAAUCGGGUUCCUGUUAUGGAAAAACAAACUAAUGGGAUGAGCUGACGCUCAGUGAGGCCAAGAAAACCAUACAAGCAGGUAAUUCAAGUAGCAAUAAAGCUGGUACGAGAUAUAAAGCUGUAACAUUCAAGCAAUUCCCGAAUAUUCACAAAACACAUUCAAGAAGAAUACAGGAACUCUUAGGAGCUCAUUUCCACUUGCUUUGCCAAAAUUCAAUCCAAUAGUCCGUAAAUUUUACUUAUUCCAUUUAUGAUUCUGAGACGAAUGAGAGGUACCUCCCACCCGAAUCGGUGUGUACACGCAUCUGCACUACACUGCAUCUCAAAAAUCAACUGCAUUACAUCAUGGUGCAGAGUUAGAGGCGGUUCAGCAAGUGUCGGACGCACAUUUAGACUCAGGCGAUGAAGAUUGAGAUCGUAGAACCUUCCACCAGGGUAUCCAAAAAAAGGACAGGGACUCGUGGUGGAAUGGCAAAGCAACCUGCAAACAAGAUACAGGUUGCUCCAACUGCAUCCAUCUCUUGUACAAGUGGAAGCACAUCAAACUGAGGAACAAAUUGCUGAGGAACAGCAAACACCUGAACCCUUACCAAAAAAAUCACCUAGGACAAAGUCUGGUGCUCAGACUAUUGGGUCAUCUGCCAAACAAAGUGCAAAAAGGAAACGCACUUCAAAGAGAACCAGAGCUCAACCUGUCAAAGAACUUACACCCCUGCCAAAGUUCAUGAUGACGAAGCCAGAGAUAAAUUUGAGUUAAUCUCUCAAAAAGGAUUCAUCAUUCAGAGGUCUGUCAUCCCAUAUGAAUUUCGUAAGAUUGAUUUAGAAACCUGUGCUUAAGCUUUUUGAGUUCCAAAAAUGGACUCACCUCCUGACUAUCCCACACACCUUCUAUCCUGACAUGCUUUACCAGUUUUGCAAAUCUUAGGAAAGGAACUCACACACCGAGCUUAUCUCUAGAGUCAAUUUAUUAAUAUCACUUUAAUUCCUGAUGUCAUUAACUCUGUUUUGAAAACUAAGAUUGAAGAUGGUUUCAGCAGGAGAAAUUACAAAUUUCUUUCAUAUGAAGAAUUCCCCUCUGCUUACCAUCAUUUUCACAUCUCCAAGUUAAUGACUUACUUUCGCACUCACUUCAACACUUUUGCUGAGCGAGAUUAGAGGAUCUCAGUCCUCAGAACUUGAUUAUCUUCACCAUUGUUUCCAAUCUGUUGGUACCCACUGAUGGUCACAGAACCGAUGCAAACAAAAUGGAAUUGUAUCUGUUUACUGUUUUGUGGAAAAGAUCAAAUCGAUUUUGGUUUUGUGAUGUGCAAAUUCCUGCUUAAGAUUAGUACCGACAGUCGUAGGAACUUUUCUAUGAAAAAUUCCUACUUCCAUCUUUGCUCACCAUGAAAUCCCCUUCACUGGAAAGUCUCCUAGAGAUAGUGCCACAACUUUUCUCAAAAGCCUAUUUUGAACGAAAAACAUUUGAAUUUUUUGAGGGUCACUGGUGUCACAAGGAACCUCUGUCAGAGUUCAGAAGAAAGAGCCUUCACAAAACUCCAGUCACUCCUAGGACCUCUCAGGAUCAAUCCAUGUAUAUCUCUCCUUUCACCAUUCACCCUAGAAAAUCAGCCAACAAGUCCUUUGUAUACAACUCUGAGGUCAUCACGUUGCUUGAAGACCUUAAGCAACCUUGCUGCAUUUCUCAGCUUAGCCAUGAGCUUGCAUUAGUUGUUCCUUUGCUGCACUUUUCAUCUAGCCGUGAGUUGACACAUGUUGUUCCCUGGCUACAAUUCUCCAGUUUAGCCAUGAACUUUCAUCUUGGAUCCUUUGCUGCAUUUUUCAUAAACCCAUGAGCUUGAUGAGCUUUAUGUGUGUGAAGUUCAUGUGAAUGGAGUUGUGACAUAACAACAGAAAUUUUGCCGUGGAUGGUUUUCUUUCUUUUGUUGCAGUUCAUCUCCAUAACUUGCUGUUUUCUUAGCUUCUUGCAACAACACAUAAGUUGGUUUUGCCCAUUUCCUUUUUGCUAGCUAAAUCUAUUGUAGAAAAGGGUAGUGUUUGAUUGGUUUUGAAGGUGUACGUUUGGCUCUAAAUAGUUUGAACAACGUUUAAACAUUGCUGGAAUUUUGAUGAGAUUAGGAACAUUGAAUCUUCUUGGCAUAAAAUUUCCUAGCACUUGCAUGUUUGUUCCUGCUAUGUUUUGGUUUGUUUGGGGGAACCAAGUUGGGUGUUAUGUUGUUUGACUCAAGGUGGGGAUGUUGCUAGAUAAAACUUGUCCAAACUUGGCUUUAGUUUUUUGCCAAAAUCUGUUUGAAAAAAAAAAUGUAAAUGCAGCAAUCUUUGAGUUGGUGUUGUAACAAAAGUGUAGCAGUUUUUUUGGUUUUGUAAACUUGCAAGAAAUUACUUUGAUUAAGUAUUGUUUAAGCAUGCUUUAAUUGAAGUUAGUUUAAUGCUUUGCUAGCUAAAGAUUCAUAGAUGAAUUUGCGGAUGAGCUAGCUUAGCCUACCAAGAUUUUCUUGUUGCUGCCGAAAUUUCCUUGUUGUUUGCCGAAAGUUUCUUGUUUGUUGCAGAAAAUUUUGUUCUUCACGUAUGCAUGCAUGCCAAUAUUUCUGAAUUUAGCACUUUGACCCAUCAAGUUCCCUUUUAUUCCACAAAGGCCCAAAUAUGUGUUGAUUUCUUGCAAUUGAGUCCUAAGGUAUUUGCAAUUUGAACCAUUAUUUGGCUUUUAUUAUUUUUGGGACCUUUGAAGUGCUUAAAUGUUUCAAUUGGAUUUGGAUGUUUGGUAAUAGUUGCAAUUGGGUCCUCGAUAUUUUGCUAUUUUAGAAAUUUGAUCAAUUAUUCACUUUUGCUUGGGAAUUAUGCAUUAUUUGGCCAUUUUAAAGUUGCAAUUGAAGAAAGUUUGAUGUUUUGGUGGGCUCAAAUUAUUUAGUUUAUAUCUUAUCACUAAAUUGGUGCAUUAAUCUUUUGUUUUUGAUGAUUUUAGCCUAAGUUAGUCUUUUCUUGGGUGACUCUAGCCAAGUUGACUUUGUUUACUUCCUUAGUAUCACCAACGGGGAGGUAUAAUCUCUUUUACCCCUUUUGUUUCUCUCAUAUGUGGACUAAUGUGCUAAUUGAAAUUUGCAUGUCUACUUGCUUUCCUAGCCUCUCCUUAUUUCCUUUCAGUUAUUUCAUUUACUUUUGAUUUUUAUUAAUGGGGUAUGUGUACACCUCUUGGCUUGUAAUAGAUAGGGCGUAGUAAGUAAUUUGGUCCAUUUUCCCUUUCCCUUUUGUUUUAGUUAGCAAAUGUAAUGGUUGCAUGCCUAUGUGUUAUAUGUUAAAUGCUUUAUUAGGAUUUUGCAUCUAGUCAAGCAUGCUAAGUGUUAUAUGCUACGUGUUUAUAAGUGAUUCGCAUGUCUACUCGCUUUUUAUAGUGUAGAUGAAUGAAAUGGAUGAAUGUACGUCACCACACUAGUCCAACGCUAGUUGUGGCUUCUUUUAUCGUUUCCACUAGUCCAACGCUAGUCGGAAUUCAUAGGAUGGGCUAGUCCAAUGCUAGACCCAAUAGGUUCUUUUUUCCUUUUUCAUUAAGUGCAUGAUCACCACAUAUCACGCAUUUUUCCUUAGUUUAUCAUUUGGCAUGUUCCUCAAACCCUUUCCCCUUCACUUUAGGACUUGCAUUUCAUGCUAGUUAGGGUUCAUUUGCGUGAAAAUCCCCUUCCGAUAAGGGAAACGAGCGAGUGUGGCUUCAAAUAGCCUUAGCACGCUAGUUUUUCCUUCUAGUCAAAGGGAAAAUUAAAAUCAUAAAACUAGAGGUCAUCCCCGUACCCGACUUGAUGCAUUCCUCUAAAUUCAUACAUUUUCAUUUUCUCAUUAUUCUCCUCAUUAAAUUUUUUUAAUCCAUAUGCCAUAUUCACACACCUAUUCACUUCUUUAUUUUUCACCUCACACAUUGCACCUAUCUUUUUACUUAUAUAUAUUUACUAUUUUUGUUCACUUGCACACGAGCACUUAUAUUUUCAUUCAUUUGCACACAAACACUUUCAAAUUGCACACAUGCCCUUCUCUACACUUUGCACACUUACACUCUUAUUUGAGUCCUCAUUUGCAUCGUUAGCGAUUUUCUAUGAGGUCUUUCUUAUUGGCCUUCACAAUUCAUGUGAAUGGGACCACAAGCCUCAUAAGAGACAUUUCUUAGAUUUAGGAUUGCAUUUCUCAUUCAUUAGUCUUUGUCCAAAUUGCAAAUACAUACUUUGGGUAGAAAAAUUUAGGAAAAUAAGGGUUAAAUCACGCAACUAGCCUUGGCUAGGUCGAAGGGGUGCCUUGGAUUUUUAUCCUUGCCUUCCCCUUCGUCAAAUGUGACUCCCGAACCUUUUUCUUUGUUUGCGUGGACUAGGAGUCGUUCAAAAGGGUUUCUUACUUUUUUCCUUAAAAAAUUCACUUUUUGGGUGACUUGGUACACCCUAACUCUAUACCAAGUGGCGACUCCAUUUUUCAUAUAAAAAAACCCUUUUUGAACUAUUUUUCUUGGGUCAAAUCGUCGCAUUUUCAAAAGUCCCAUUUAGACCCAUUUUUAUUUUUAUCAAAAAAUUCACUUUUUCCAAACCAAUAAAAUCACAAAAACAAUCAUUUUAUUUUUCCAAAAAAAAUGGGGCGCGACAGGGAUCACUCAAGCCACCGACCGAAGGUUUUGGGAUUGAUGACCCUUAACUUUUUAGUCUGAAGGCUUGGGAGCCUGAAACCUUAUCGAGUCUAGAUGCAUUAGUAAGCCAAAUCUCAUGCAUCCAUAUUAGAAAUUACCUAUGAUAGAGUCAACCUAUCCAAUUAGGAACACUAAGCACGAGGGGAGGGAUUUCACCCCUCUUUCUUUGCUUUAUUUACUUUUCAUUCUUGUAUCAUUUAUUGUCACAUGUGUUAUAUGUUACUUGUUGAACUAACCUCUCCUUGUUUUCCCUUUUUCUGCAUACACAAACUUUAGAAAUAAGAGUCCUAACAUGGUACUCGUUUAAGAUAAGACCGCCUCUUAUAUCAAGCAUGUUUAAAUUUUAGUCAAUUGCAUAUGCAUAUGUAUUGCACAUCAUUUUAGGCUUACCCCGGCAUUUAAAGGGGGCACUUUUAGGUCACAUUUCAAUUAUGUCAUUGUAUAUUUAAUAUGUUUUAAUAAAUUGUCAUCAUGCAUUAACCAUAGAGGGAAUGCCGCAUAGGGAAUCCCACGGUAGGAAUAAGUCACCUUUUGUCUCGGAUAUGUAAUCCAAUGAGACUUGCAUGUUUAUGAUUUUGUAUUGCCUAAGGGGUAAAAUCCCGAGGUAAGGUACUAAGAGUGAAAUUCCUCCUCAGAUGGCUCCGUGCAGAAUGCUGAACCAGAUACCUCGGGAACUAACGGACUGGAAAAAUGAUAUGACACAUGAGGUGAAAAGACUGUUCAAAUAUGUGGGAUAUUUACCGAGUCUUCUAAGCAUAACCCCAAAUGUUGCAAUCAUUCAAGCUCUACUUGGGUACUGGGAUCCAGAAGGUUCUGUUUUUCGAUUCGGUGAAUGUGAACUAACACCAACUUUAGAAGAAAUAGAAGGAUUAUUGCAGAUACCUGGAAAAGGUUAUCCUAUGAUAUAUCCAACUAAUGGAACAAGGGAACAGUUUUAUAGGUUUUUGGGAUUAAGGCAGGCUAGUAUGAACCAACAUCCGGAUGCGAGAUCGUGCCCGUUAGAGUUUCUGUAUGAACGAUUUGGAGAAAGAGGGUCCUAUGAACAGUACCGAACCGAUUUUUUUAUAAGUAAGGAGCAAUGGGUAGAGAAGCGAGUGCAAGCGUUUGGAUUAGCUUUGAUCAAUUUGUUGUUGUUCCCGCAAAAGCAUGGAAAGAUCACAUUUUUCACUAUCAACAUGGUUCAGAGCCUAUUUUCAGGGAUUAAUGGAAUGACCCCUACCUUGGUGCCUGUAAUCAUUGCCGACAUCUUCACGGCCGCUACUGAAUGUCAAAAGAAGAGAGGUUUCUUUUAUGGGUCAAAUUUGAUACUCCAAAUGUGGGCAAUGGAGCAUCUAGCGAAGAGAAUGCUCAAUCCUUUGGGAUCUUGUCUCCCCGCAGAGAAUUGGAUCGAAUCACACCGAGAAAGGGUCAAAAAGUAUUAUCGAAUUGCAUCUCCGACUCAGUUUAUUCAAGAGUUCGAUAACCUGGCACCUGAGAAAAUACAAUGGGUUUUGGAUUGGACAAAAGUUAGGGAUCCGGCUUUCACGACUACCCAACACAGUUUUAUCCCCCUAGCAGGCACCAAUGGAUUGGUCGCAUAUGUUCCGCAACGAGUCAUGAGGCAAUUCGGGUAUCCGCAAAGAAUUCCGAUGAUACAAGGGAUUGAAAAUAUCAGACUCAACACAGUUGCUGAAAGUCGGAGCAUGGUAUUGGAAGCUUGGGGAAAUCUUCUUAGUUUAGAGAACUUGCACUUGGAUCAAGUCAACAAAUUGGAACCUAAGAUCAUUUCAGAAUAUAAUGAGUGGAUCAAACUGACAGUCGAACAAGCAAGAGAGAAAGCACAGUCUGCUUCCGCUAGCCCUGAAGAACAGAUAGACAAGCUAAAGAAAGAGCUCGAGGAUUAUCAAUUACAACUUAUAGUGGCCGACCAUGCCCUGGAAGACGCCCGAGCACAAUUAAAGUGGGAGACAAGAAAAACUGAAAAGUUGGAGAGAGCCCUGGAUGCAUUUGACAAAAUUCGAGAAGGAAUUCGGAAGCUUAGUAUAGGAAGUUCUAGGGAGUCUCAACGUACUAGUUUAGCAAGGCAUGAGGAUUUUGUAAAAAUGGUCAGUCGAACCAUCAAUGAAGCUGUACAAAAUGAUUGAACUUGUCAGUGGUUAAUGAGAAUUUCUACUUGAAUUUCUACAUUCACUUACAGGUUUGAAAUUGGAAUUUUACCCCGAAGGUAUUGCAUCAUGUUAGGCCGACCCUUGGCACAAAAAGGGCUCCCCAUAGGACAUGCAUCCGAAUUAUUUAAAUAUCUACUAACUCAUGUUUUUUUUUUCCUUUCUUUUUUUCUUUUUUCUUGAAUAAAUUACAACAAUUUGACAGAAAAUCCAACCCUAAAUGAGUUUCUUUUCCCCCCUAUCAGGUAUUUUUCACAAUUGCUAUCCAAAGAAGCCCCAUCAUCACCAGAUCCCGAAGUAGAGCCUUGAGACAGUCUGUAAACAUGAGUUCAGCGCCUGAAGCUUCGGAAAGAUCUGCUAUGGUUAAAUCACCGGACUUCACAGCAUUAGGAGCUCAGUUAAAUGAGGUACUUGGCAAGUUCAAUGAGUUAAGUGCUGAAAUGGCCGCACAAAGGCGUGUAAUUGAUCAGCUGGUCGCUAGCAACAAUAGUGGUGGGGUCCCAAACGACCAAGAACCUAUCGAUAAUCACCCACCUGCACAAGACUAUCAACCACCCCACACAUCCAAUACCCAAACUCCUUUCUUUCCUCCUUGCGCUAACCCACUUGAAAAUACCUUCACCCGACUAAAUUCAGACUUUUCCUAUAUGCAUCCGAAUUAUGUAUUGGUGAACCCAACCAGUAGUCAAAUCCCUCAAACCCAUCCACAAACCAAUCUGAACAUUCCCCCCAACCCUCAGGGACCCCACCACCAUACUGCAGAGCCUUUUGUACUGGAUACUGGAUCUCAAGGGAAGGCGGCGAUGGAAGAACAACCUACACCCAUUGAUAAAGAUUUGUUAAGAAGGUUGGACCGAUUCGAUGAUUUUAUGAGAAAGAAUCAAGGGUUGAGCAGGCAUGGUGGUUUGGACUAUGAUGAAUUAUGUCUUUUCCCAGAUAUUCAGCUACCGUUGGGAUUCAAAACCCCUAAAUUCAGCAAGUAUGAUGGAACUGGAAAUCCUAAGAUGCACCUCAAUAUGUUUGCCAACAAGUUAGGUAAACCUGUGGAUGAUGAGAGUUUGCCUAUGCGUCUAUUUCCGGAAAGUUUGGAGGGAGAUGCUCUAGAUUGGUAUUCAAAUUUGAAGUCUGAAGAGGUCAAAACCUGGUUGGAUCUAUCAACUGCUUUUGUGAAGCAGUAUGAAUUUAACUGUGAGUUGGCACCAACACGAACCACACUGGAGGGUACGAAAAGAAAGCCGUCGGAAGAUCACAAGACCUACGCAAAACGAUGGAGAAAGUUAGCUGCCAAAGUGGAGCCUCCUAUGACUGAGGAGGAGAUUGUUCGUACUUUCAUCAAGGCUCACGAUCCACCCUAUUUUGAAGAGAUCUUUCGCAUGACUGGAAGUCCAUUUGCUGCUAUCAUUAACAAAUUGGAGGAGUAUGAUGAAUUUGUCAAAGCAGGAAAGAUUGUUAAUGUGUCUGCAUUAAAGUUGCAAUUAGAUGCUCUACAAAAUCAAAGCAACAAUGGGAAAAAACCCCCAUUCAAGAAGAAAGAAGGAGAAACUGCUUUUAUAUGGGAUCAGGGCCCGUCUUUCAGACCCAGAAACCAUCCCACCUAUUCUUUUCCUUACCCGUAUUACACCAAUCCUCAACCAGUCUACCACACCACUACCCAAUUCCAUCAUUCUCGACCAAAUCAUUUGAAUACCUCGCCCUUACCUCCAACUCCACAACCUGUUUUUCAAAAUCACUCUCGUCCCAUUUACCAUUCCAGACCAACCCUGCAAAACAAUAACCCUUCUCAAAAUCCUUUGCAAACCAGUGGAAUUCAAACUCAGAGGCAAUUUCGAACCUUCACCAACUUGGGCCGACCUAUUGAUCAGUUGUAUGAGCAAUUAAAAGCAGCUGGAAAAAUUGGCACUGUUCCUCCCAAAAUCUAUCCUAGAGGUCCUCCUGCCGGUUAUGAUCCGCAUGUAAUCUGUGCUUAUCAUUCUGGAAGUCCAGGUCAUACCACUGGCAAUUGUUGGGCUUUAAAACAUAAAAUUCAGGACAUGAUUGACUCUGGAGACAUCCUUCUCAGAAGAAAGGGAGAGCAGGGACCAAAUGUUAGUAAGAAUCCUCUUCCUGAGCAUGGGAGCACUGUGGGGGUUAUCAUUGCUGAUGAAGAUUUUGUCGACCCCAGUCAGUACAUUGUAGAUGAAACUGAAGUAGUUGGCGUGAUGGAGACUGACCAUGCGGAGAUAAGGAAACUACUGUCUGUUAAAGAGUCAAUAACUAAGGAUAGUGCUGAGGAAAAAUUAAAAUCUUUUGUGUUUGAGAAAGAUGAGCCGUUUAUGGUAGAAGGAGGGCCUUCCGAGGUUGACAAUUCUGAGGUUCCUUUUAUUUUGGAUCUUCCUUCUUUUGAAUGGGAUAUAUCAGAGCCUGCCAUUCUCGAAUUUCCAGAGCAAAUGCCUGUCAAUAACUUGCAAGAGGUACCAUGGAACUACGAGGAGCCCAGUCUGUUAAUUGGGGGUAAAGAUUGGUUGAAGGAAGAUAUAUCUACUAUUACUAGAUCUGGGAAAAUUGUGGGAAACUCCGAUAUUGAUGUUCAAUCCAGGGCCAAAGUUAAAUCUCCAACACCCAAGCCUCGUGUGUCUGAAAAUGAAGCUGUAGAUUUUCUGAAAAUGCUGAAAAGAAGCGAGUACAAAAUAGUGGAGCAGUUGGAUAGGAUGCCUGCUCAGAUUUCUUUUCUGAAUCUUCUCUUGACUUCCGAGCUGCACAGAGAAGCAUUGCUCAAAAUUCUGAACGAAGCUCAAGUCCCUAAAGAUAUUCCGGUGGAUAAAUUUUCUAACAUUGUGGGGAAUGUACUUGCCGCUAAUCAUAUUACCUUCUCCGAUGAUGAUCUGACUGCAGAAGGGAUCGGGCAUAACAGAGCUUUGUAUAUAUCGGUCCGUUGCAAUGGAAAGUUGUUGCCGAGGGUUUUAGUGGAUAAUGGGUCAGCGUUGAAUAUCUGUCCAUGGAACACUCUCACCAAGCUUGGAUUUCUUGAUAUUAAACUCCGUCCAUCUGCAACUGUGGUUCGAGGAUUUGAUGGUUCAAGGAGGGAAUCUAUGGGUGAAGCAGAUCUCGUAUUGGAGAUAGGCCCUGCUCAAUUCCAAGUUACUUGCCAAGUCAUGGAUUUCUCCAGUGUUUACAACAUUUUACUUGGAAGACCUUGGAUACAUGCUUCCAAUUCAGUGCCAUCUUCUCUGCAUCAAAUGUUGAGGUUUAUUACGAAUGAUCAACUCAUUACUAUAUUUGCUGAGGAUGACUGUACCAUGAUCAUUGAUGCAAAAUUCAAAGGUGAAGACAGAAAAGGGACUCCAAUUUCAUCUCAUCAUGUUGCUGACAUAGUCUCUGUAGGAUGGGCAUCUAGGGAUAAGUCGUUCACUCAAUCAGAUUUACCAGAGGCCAGUAUUAUGAUGGCUAGGGAGAUGAUCCGAGGCGGAUACGAAAUAGGAAAAGGUCUUGGGAGGGAAUUGCAAGGAAUUUUGGAGCCAAUAGAGAUCUCGACGCAGAAGGAUACAUUUGGACUGGGAUUUCAUCCAACUGCUAAGGAUAGAAAGGAAAUGCAAGCUCGGAAACAAGCCGAAAAGAAGGGCAAGCAAACUGCCUUAUAUAUCCCUCCGCUAUAUCACAUUUUUCCUCGUCCAUCGGAGGUGAUUAUGCCUGAAACGAAGAAUCCUGUGGAGGAGAUUGAAGUGGACCUGUCUCAGCUAUUUGUCGGGGCUACUUGUGAGGAGGAGCCAUCAGAGAAUGCAGAAUUUUUGCCAAUUGCCGAAGGAGCUAUUCAGAACUGGACUGCUGAUUAUCUUCCCUCUCGAAGGGAAUUUCGGUAAAUUUAAGGGGAUUGUCUUUUGUCUAGAUCACAUCCAGAUAGGACAGUAGUCUGGAUCUUUUGUUAAAAGAAAUUGCUUUCAUCUUUUAAACCUUUAUUCUUGUUUCAGUUAAUAUAACUUGCUUUGUUCAAGAAAAUUGCUGAAACGAAAAUAAAGGUUUGGGUUAAAUAUGUCUUUAAAUAGCAAUCAUGUCUGUAUAUUUAUCUUUUUGUGAAGUCACGAUGCUUUUUGAAUUUAAUGAAAUGAAAGGCUUCUCCAGUAUUUGCUAUUUGUUUAUUACUUAUGUUCUAUUCUAUUUUCGGAUGGCCACAAAUAAAAUCUUUUGACCCUUUGGAUGUCACCAUUUUGGAAUUCGAUGGCUGCAAUCUCGAUAUCUCUCAUGAACUUGAAAUCAUGCAAUCUGAAAUUCAAAGCGAGAGCGAUAUUGAGGAAGAAUUUGAGUCUAUUUCAAGGGAUUUAAAACAGUAUGAAGAGAAACCCAAACCCAACUUAGAAGAAACAGAAAUCAUCAAUAUUGGCACUGAGACGGAGGUUAAAGAAGUUAAAGUCAGCAUUCAUUUGAAUAGGAAACAAAAGGAGGAAAUGAUUGAAUUCUUAAUGCUUUUUCAAGAUGUGUUCGCAUGGUCAUACGAUGAUAUGCCAGGGAUCUCUACAGACAUAGUGGUUCACAGGUUGCCAACCGAUCCAAAUUUUUUACCUGUAAAGCAGAAGCCACGUAAAUUCAAACCAGAAAUGAGUCUCCAAAUAAAGGAACAAAUUGUGAAGCAGCUCAAUGCUAAGAUAAUCAUGGUGUCUCAUUAUCCCAUCUGGUUGUCGAAUCCUGUGCCAGUGCCUAAGAAAUCUGGGGAGGUGCGAGUAUGUGUUGAUUACAGAGAUCUGAAUAAGGUCAGUCCGAAUGACGAUUUUCCUUUGCCAAACAUUCAUAUUCUUUUGGACAAUACUGCUGGACACGAAAUUGAAUCUUUUGGUGAUUGUUGUGCUGGGUAUCAUCAAAUUUUAAUGGCAGAAGAAGACAGAGAGAAAACCUCUUUUAUCACCCCAUGGGGAACUUUUUGUUAUAGAGUGAUGCCUUUCGGGUUGAAGAAUGCUGGAGCCACUUAUCAGAGGACCAUGACUACCCUGUUUCAUGACAUGAUUCACAAAGAGAUGGAGGUCUAUGUGGAUGAUAUCAUAAUUAAAUCCAAGAAGGUUGAGAACCAUUUGGUUGAUUUAAAGAAGCUGUUUGAAAGAUUGAGGAAGUAUAAUUUGAAGUUGAACCCUGCAAAAUGUGCUUUUGGAGCUCCGGCUGGUAAAUUAUUGGGUUUUAUUGUCAGUAAGAAGGGUAUAGAGAUAGAUCCUGCGAAAAUAAAAGCAAUUCGAGAUAUGCCCAUUCCAAAAAGUCAAAAAGAUGUGAAGAGUUUUCUUGGAAAGAUCAAUUUCAUUGGCCGAUUCAUUGCACAGUUAACCUCUACCUGCGAGCCUUUGUUCAAACUGUUGAAAAAGAAUGCGCCGAUGGAUUGGAAUGAAGAUUGUCAGCAAGCUUUUGAUAAGAUUAAGAAUUAUUUGUUAAAUCCUCCGGUCUUAGUGCCACCUCAGCCAGGGAGACCUCUGAUUAUGUAUUUGUCUGUUCUUGAUGAGGCUGUUGGAUGUGUUCUGGGACAGCACGACGAGUCUGGGAGAAAGGAACAAGCCAUCUACUAUCUGAGUAAGAAAUUUACAGCAUAUGAGGCCAACUAUUCUUUCCUUGAAAGAAGUUGUUGUGCUUUAGCAUGGGCAGCUCAGAAGUUGAGACAUUAUUUGCUCGGUUAUACCACUUACCUGAUUUCCCGUUCCGAUCCUCUGAAAUACCUGUUGGAAAAGUCGAUGCCCACGGGACGUAUGGCUAAGUGGCAAAUGAUCCUUUCCGAAUUCGAUAUUGUCUUCACAACACAAAAGGCAGUCAAGGGUCAAGUUAUAGCAGAUCAUUUGGCAGAAAAUUCAAGAGAUGAUGAUUACCAACCAUUGCAUACCUACUUUCCUGAUGAAGAAAUUCUAUUCGUUGGAGCAGUUGAGAACAUGAGUGAGCAGCAUCCUGGUUGGAGGUUAUUUUUCGAUGGUGCAUCAAACUCUUUUGGAGCUGGAAUUGGAGCAGUUUUAGUGUCGCCUGAAGGGAAACAUUAUCCUGCUACUGCCAAAUUACAGUUUCCGUGUACUAACAACAUGGCUGAGUAUGAAGCUUGUAUUUUUGGAUUGAAAAUGGCAUUGGACAUGGAGAUCAAAGAUCUGAUAGCAUUCAGUGAUUCCGAUUUACUUGUGCACCAGACGCUUAAACAGUGGGUAACUCGGGAUUCAAAAAUUAUGUUGUAUCAUUGUAACUUGCUUAGUUUGGCUAGCAAAUUCAGGAAUUUGGAACUCAGACAUAUUCCCCGCACUCGUAAUGCCUUUGCUGAUGCUUUAGCUACUCUGUAUUCGAUGAUCCAACAUCCAGAUGAGCUGGUGAUUGAACCUAUACAUAUCCAACUUCAGAAUAGGCCAGCGCAUUGUCUGGUUACAGAAAGGGUCACUGAUAGUCGCUCCUGGUACAAGGAUAUUAAGGAAUUCAUGAAAACGGGAUCUUACCCUCCUGAUACUGAUUCUGUUGCAAAAAGUUUCUUACGCAGGAUGUCAGCAAGAUUUUUCUUGAAUGGAGAAGUGCUGUAUAAGAAAACAUCUGAUUUGGGCCUUUUGAGAUGCAUCAAUGAAGAGGAAGCCGAUUAUAUGAUGAAAGAAGUGCAUAGUGGGGUUUGUGGGCCACACAUGAAUGGGCAUCUAAUAGCUAAGAAGAUCAUGAGAACAGGAUAUUUUUGGCUUACCAUGGAGCAUGACUGUGUAGAUUUUGUUAGAAAGUGUGUUAAGUGUCAAAUGCAUGGUGAUGUUAUAUGUGCUCCUCCUACAGAAUUGCAUAGUAUGACUGCUCCAUGGCCAUGUUCGAUCUGGGGAAUGGAUGUAAUCGGAACUAUUGAUCCUCCUGCUUCAAAUGGGCAUCGAUUCAUUUUAGUGGCAAUUGAAUAUUUCACCAAGUGGGUUGAGGCCGCGUCCUAUAAGCACGUGAUUAAGAAAGUGGUGUCGGAUUUCUUGAGAAAUAAUAUCAUCUGUCGUUUUGGGGUACCAGAGACGCUGAUCACUGAUAAUGCCAAAAACCUCAACAAUGAUAUGGUGGAUGGAUUAUGUGAACAGUUCAAGAUCAGACAUCGAAAUUCUGCUAUUUAUAGGCCUCAGAUGAAUGGAGCCGUUGAAGCCGCAAAUAAAAAUUUGAAAAAGAUUAUCCGUAAGAUGACUGAAGCACACCGGGAUUGGCAUGAGAAGCUGCCUUAUGCACUAAUGGCAUACAGAACUACCAUCAGAACUUCUACUGGUGCAACUCCUUACUCUCUUAUGUAUGGAAUGGAAGCAGUCCUGCCUGCAGAAGUUGAAAUUCCUUCCUUGCGCAUUCUGAUGGAAGCUCAGAUAAAAGAAGCUGAAUGGGUCAGAGAACGUCAGGAGCAGUUGUCUCUGAUUGAUGAAAAGAGGUUGAAUGCCGUGUGUCAUGGACAAUGUUAUCAGCGACGAAUGGCUCGGGCUUACAACAAAAAAGUCAAGCCCCGCUUAUUUGAAGUUGGAGAUAAGGUUUUGAAACGGAUUCUUCCAAUGCAAGAUGAGGCUAAAGGGAAGUUUGCUCCCAAUUGGCAAGGACCAUUCAUUAUUAAAAAAGUGCUAUCCGGAGGAGCGCUUAUUCUUAUGGAAAUGGACGGUCAAGUUUUUCCCUAACCAAUCAAUGCAGACAUGUGCAAAAAGUUUUUCAUUUGAAGAAAAAAAAAAAACACUGCAAGAGACGGAUUUCAGGCAUACUUCCUCUCAUUUUUCCAUUUCGAUAUUCUACCCCUAAUUUUUCUUCUUUCCUUUUGACUUUUCAUAACCAUUUUCCUUUUCGCUUGGUUGUCCCUUAAGAUCACUAACCCCAUACUGGGGCAAUUCGUUUCUUAAAAAAAGAGAAAAAAAAUAAAAAAAAUAAAAAAAAAGAGAGAGAAAAUAGAGAUUCUGUCAGAAUUAAACUGGGGCAAAUUUUAUCUCUUUCUCACCCUAGAUCGGGGUAAGUUUUGAAAGAAUGCUAUCUCAAAUGAUUGCAAACCCAUCAUAUGAUCCGCUGUCAAGCCUUUCAAGCCUUAACCUUUCCUUUGCUACUCUAUCCGAUCCUAAUCACAAGAACAAAAAUUGCCGAAUUUCGUCUUUUGCAGUACUUUGAAAAAAAAAAAAUUUCAACUAGCAAAUGAUGUAAAUACAAACUUUUCUGAAACAUGUCAGAGAAGAUUGUCUCACUGAUGCUACUCAUUAUCAGAGUAUGACUGCAAUGAUACAGUUGGGAUUAAACUUGUCUUGUCUAUGUCUCUGGGUGAAAACCUGAAAGGGCACCUUCUAAGAAAAAAAAAAAAAUUGAAAAAUGAAAAGGGUGGGGGUAACCUUAGUGAAAACCCGAAAGGGCGCUGAGGUAGGGUUUUGGAGUACAAGAGAAUCAGCGGCAGAGAAGAAGAUGUUGAGGUCUGAAAGCUGGUGACUAUGUUGAUUUGGGUCUCGUUUAUACUGUUGUUCUUUUGCCGACAAUGAAUUCCAAAAUGGAUGACUACGAAAGGGUCAGAUGGAACAUUUUUCCUCAUCAAAGGCCAUCCUCUAAAUACGAAUCCAAAUUUUGAUCCUUGGGUCUGUAUUCAAAAAUUCAACAAUUUUGUUUUACUAUUCUAUUUGCAAUUUAUUUAUUCUGUAUCAUUACUUAUUUUACAUUAGCAUUAUUGCAUAAUAUUUUUUUUUAUUUUUAAUUAAUUGUUUAAUGUUUCUCAUUCUUUGGGUCUUAUUCAAAAGACAAUCCCUUAUAAUUUAUCCCACGGAAGUCAUGAAAUCGAAAGUCCUGUGAUAAUAAAGUACUGUCAGUUGACAUUCAACAGUUGCAAGGAUUUUGAAGGGGAUUACCGACCGAACCUAAGGGAGCGAUUUGGCGAUACUGAAACUCAUGUUUACAUGGUUCUCAAGGCGAAGGGAUCACAUGGUGGCGGCAGUAUUUUCAUUACCACUGUUUCGUUUCUUCCUUUUUUGCAGGAAAUUAUGUGACACAAUACUGGCUUAAUUAAACAUGAUUCACACUGAGGCAAACGGUAAAAGGACUGAGCUCCAAGUGUUGCUAUACAUUUCCGAAAAAGAAAAAAAAUCAUCAUUAUUCCCUUCCUUUUAAAGUUUGAAAAAUCAAAAGAGUUGCAAGUCCGCCAAGUAAGUUUUCUUGGUUUAUUACUACUUGAGCAACAUGCAUUUUAAUCUUUCAGUUUGAUGGUAUUGAACUUGCAUUUUCAUUUCUUUCAGUGUUUAAUUGGGCUCGGGUCAAUCCCACCAAUCUGUUUAAAAAAAAAAAAUCAAAUCAGAAGAUCAUAUUUAAAUUUCUGUUGGUGAGUCUCAGCGUCCACCACGCACCAUUCUAUCUCCCCUUCUUGACAAUUUAAUUUUCUGCUGGAGCGUAAUCGCGUCCCUCCGCGCAUCUUUUUUUUUUAAAAAAAAAUACAAACUUAAAUUUCUGUUGGUGAGUCUCAGCGUCCACCGCGCACCCUUCCAUCCCCCUUCUUGACAAUUUAAUUUUCUGUUGGAGCGUAAUCGCGUCCCUCCGCGCAUCUUUUUCUAAAAGACAAAUUUAAUUUGCUGUUGGUGAGUCUGAGCGUCCACCGCGCACCCUUCUAUCCCCCUUCUUGACAAUUUAAUUUCCUGUUGGAGCGUAAUCGCGUCCCUCCGCGCAUCUUUUUCUAAAAGACAAAUUUAAUUUGCUGUUGGUGAGUCUCAGCGUCCACCGCGCACCCUUCUAUCCCCCUUCUUGACAAUUUAAUUUCCUGUUGGAGCGUAAUCGCGUCCCUCCGCGCAUCUUUUUCAAAAAAUACAAAUUUAAUUUUCCUGUUGGUGAGUCUCAGCGUCCACCGCGCACCCUUCUAUCCCCCUUCUUGGAGCGUAACCGCGUCCCUCAGCGUAUCUUUUUCUAGUUAUGAUAAGUUACCUUUCUUGACUGUUUUAGUUAAUAAUUGUGCUUUCUCAUUCAUUUUGUGUUUCAUGCUUAGAAGUUCUAAGAAGCUCAAACUUUUUCAACUUUGCAAAGAUCGCAGUUGGUCAAUGCACUUGUUUCAUUGUGGUUCACUUGCAUUCGAACUACGUUUGACCUGAUUCCCAUGGUGGGAUACGUAGGCAACUCUACAUGAGUUCGGUCACAUGUUUUGCAAUUUCAUUACAUCUUUUGUUCACUAAUUUCAGCCAAGUGUUGCUUUUCUUUAUUUUAGCUCAGGUGCUGUUAGAAGAAACAGGUAAGUAAUUUGAUGUCUACGUCUUUGUCUUGAGUUUCUUCAAAACUCUAGACAAAGAGGGGCAAGUUGUAGACACCAAAUUUUUAUUAAAUGUUAAUAUUCUCUUGAAUUUUUUCUAUGUAAUAAUUUAUUUAUUUUCUUACAUUUUUAUGUGCAUUUUUCUUAUUUUUGGUUUGUUUAAAAAAAACGAAAAAAAAGAAAAAUGACAAAAACAAAACAAAACAAAAAAAAUUGAAGAAAGAAAAAAAAGAAAAUCUCUCUGCCAUAUCCCCUUUUUUUGGCUCGUUACACACAACAUACAAAAACACGAUCCCUCAUUUCACUCUCUGGGAGGGGGGACUGACAAGACAAAAAAACGGCACUUUGGGGCUCAAAAAUAGAUACAUCUCUCGGCUCUCUGACAGAACAAGAAGGAGGGAAAACACCCCAAUACUUCACUGGGCUCUCCCUCUCACGAUACAAGACACACCAAAACACUCCACUCUUUCUCAAUUCCAAAAAAAAAAAAAAAAAACUCUCGGCUCUCUCUUAGCUCUCAAUUGGGAAAAGAAACAAAAAGGGGGACAGAAGAAGAAAAAAGGCUCUCGGCUCUUUCUCUGGUCUCAACCGAAAAGAACAAAAAAGGAAGCAUUCUUCACUUUCUCCCUCUCUGGGCUUGGAACGCAGAAGAGAAACACGGAAGAAGAAGAAACUUUCGCUUGGCCUUUCCUCUUUUCCAGUGUUUUUCCAACACACCCACAGGCAUCAGAAAAACUUCAGCCAAGGCAAUUUCACUUUCAUUGAGGUAUUUUUCAGUUUUUUUAAGGCAUAUGAGAUACAUUUUGGUUUUAAUUUAUCUUGCUUUUGCUGGUUUUUAUUGUUGUUGUUGUAUUGCUGAAAUUUGGGAAAUGGCAUGAACUAGAUUGAGGAAAAGGAAAUGUUUUUUAUGUAUGCAUGUUAACUGUUUGAAAAAAUGCCAAAAAGAAUUUUAGGGACUGUUUUGAUUUAAUGCAUCCUUUUGUUGUAGUUUACUUGUCAAACUAAGAUUAUAGUUGUAUUGUAGAGGUUAUAAGGAGUAUUGUAAUAUUUUUUUUUUUAUGAUUUUUGGUGAAAGAUUUGGGUGUUUUAAAAAAUAAAAACUGGACUGUAUUUUGACAUUUUGGCCACUUUCAGAUCAUCUUUUGUAAAAACUAACUCCGGAAAUGGAACCUAUGCGAAAAAUCGAGUGAGGGGGUGUAUUUUGGUGAAUUUUUGUGAUCGGAAAAAUGGCCGGCGACCGGCGGUGGCGGCGCCGGCAGCCGCCAUGUCAGCCAUGGUUGGCGGUGGCGAGGAGCUUCAGCCGGCCAGCCAAGGAAAAGAAGAACCGGAAGGAUAGAAGAAGAAGGAAAAAAAAAGAAGAAAGAGAAAAGAAAAGAAAAGAAAAGAAAGAAAAAGGGUUUGGGCUAGUGUUUUAUUUUUUAGGUGGGCCUGUGGUUAUUUUUGUUAGGUUUUAGGGAUGGGCUUUGGUUUAUUUUUUCUUUUGGGUUUCGGAUGGGCUAGGAGGCUGGAGCCCAUGUAUUUCUGGGUCGGGUUUGAGUGAUAAAAUGACGGGCUGGCCUGCUCGUUUCUAUGGAUUUUCGGUUGGGCUUAGGUAGUUUUCGGCCCAAAGAAAUAAAUAAUGGCCCAAUGGCCUUUUUCUCCCCAAUCAGAAAUCGAAUUUUGCACUUUAGCCCCUGAUCUCUGGAGUAGUUCACUUCGGCCCAGAAUAUUUUAAAUUCCUUUCACUUAGGUACUUAAUUUAAUUUCACUUUGGUCAUUGAAUUUUAUCUUUCAUUUAAUUUUGACCCCUAAACUUUGGAAAAAUAUAAUUUCUGUCCCCAAAAGUUUUCAAUCUUUGCAAUUCAGUCCCUGAUGAAUUUUGACUCUCUUUAUUAUGAUUGUUUCUUUUCUUUAAUAGCUAAUUAUGUCACUUUUGAAUAUAUUUAACUUGCAAUUUUUAGAUGUUCUUAAAUUUUCUUUGCGUUUGACAUGUUAAUGUGAAUUUAGUGUUUUAACAUUGUUAUUAUUUUCAAUUAAAGUGGUGUCAUGAUUCUUUUGUUCAUUGUGAGUAUAAAUAGGACAAUUUGACUCCAUUUAGUCACCACUUCAAACGGGAGGUACCCCUAUUUUUAUUAUUUCAAUGUCAAUUACGUGCUCUUAUGUGCUCCUAUGUGUUCUUAUGUGUUUAUAUAUUUUUAUAUGUUUUAUUUAUUGCAUUUAAAUGUUUAUUUAAAUUUUCUUAUAUUAUAUUUGUUUAGUUAAUUUUUAUAAUGAUUCAAGAGGCAUUUAAAUACCUCGAAAAUGUAAUAGAUAGGAUAAUUAGAUUUGUUUUAUUAUAUUUUUCCCUUCUAGAUUGUAGUUAGGCGCUCCCCGAUGUAAUAGAUAGGUUGCGUGUUUAUGUGGCUUAUGUGUUAUGUGUUUUAUCCGCUUUUCUUAGGAUUUUGGCAUCUAGAUAUUAUGUUUACGUGUUAUGUGCUACGUGCUCUUAUGUGUUUAUUUGUUUUAAUUUAUGUUUUAUUUGUUUCACUAUGAAUUGUUAAUGUAUGACGUCACCACACUAGUCCAACGCUAGUUGUGGUUUCUCCCUCCGCUUACUUGCUAGUCCAACGCUAGUAAGGAUUUUUAGAAAUGGGCUAGUCCAACGCUAGACCCUUUAGGUCAUCUUGCGCUAGAUUCAUCUUUGUAUGCUAUUCACCACAUUUUCAUGCAUAUCUUCAUUUUUAGGAUCUUUUCUCAUUUGCAUGAUAUUCCCUAUUAUAUUAUCCCCUACCCGCUAUAGGUGCUAAUCAUGUCAUUUAGAAUUGCAUCUCAUUUAAAUUAGUUCGUUUGCUUGUUCAUGUUAGGAUAAUUAUUUUCAAACAUGGGAAAUGGGUGAUUAUAACUUUUUAGUUUAAAUAUCCCAUUAAUUCUUGUAUAAGAAAAUUUUAUCACGAGUUUUCGUAUCCCGUACUCAUUAUGUUGCAUUCCUAUUCUUUGGUCACUUAUACAUAUAUAUAUAAUUUAACUUUCUUUUUUUUUCAUCAUUUGCAUAUUCGUGAUACUUUCAAGGAAUCAUUUUGGCCUUCGCAACUAAUGCGAUUGGUUCAAUUAAACCCUUGAAUGAACAUUUUGUUCCUUUCGAUAUUUUUUAUAAAUUUAGAUUUGCAUCCAUGUAGAAAACAUCCAAAUGUGAUAAAAUUAAGGGUUAAAUUAGGAAAAUUUUGACUAAACCUCGCAACUAGCUUAGACUAGGUUGAAAGGGUACCUUAGGUUUGAGUUAAUCGAACAUUUGCCUUCCCUUUCUUCAACCGUGACUCCCGAAUCCAUUUUCUCUUGUUUUUAAAGACCUGGAGUUGUCAAAAAGGGUUUUGAUUUAUUUUAUUUUUGUCAAAAAAUAUUUUUUGGGUGAUUUGGUACACCAAAACUCCAUACCAAGUGGCGACUCCUAUAUUUUUCUUAAAAACCCUUUUGACUAAAUUUUGGACCCAAAUCGUCGCAUUUUUCAAAGUCCCAUUCUAGGUCCUUUUUCAUUUAUUAUUAAUAAAUCACAUUUUUUUUAUAAACACUUUCUUUUCCAUCGCGAAAAAAUGGGGCGCGACACUGAGCCUCGACGAGAGUUGGGCAGGCAGUCCGCUGAUACCCUAGGAUUCGCCCUAGGGAGAGGUGGGGCUGUCACAAUAGUUCACCACCUUUUUUUAAUCUCUAUAUGUGGUUUUUCAAUGAAAAUUCAUUUUUGCCCUCAAUCAAAUGCUUGUGUUUGCCACGCUCUUUGACCACUAAUGGCGUUCACGAUUCUGUCAAUGAUUUUCCUCAAUUGGGAAGUAUUUAUAAGUUUAGGGAUUUAAAUGUCCCAUUUUGAAGUUUAGGGACUAAAGUAGGUUAUUGUCCAAAUUUUGGGGGAACAAAGUGGAAUUAAUCCAAUUUGAAAGUACAUUUACUUAUGUUUCAGAUUCUGAAAUAGGGUAAAUAAGUAUACUAAAUUAAAUAAAUGAUGAUAAAUAUAAAACCAAACCCAUUCCUGUAUGUCACAGCCACUCCAAAAAAUGAGCUGACUGUCCAAAUUCCCCGUCACCUAGGGCUGUCAACGGUUCGGGUCUGGACCCGGACCCGGCCCGGACCUGCCAAUAUUUGCCGGGUACGGGCAGGCAUAUAUUUCCGGGACCCGGACCCGGACCCGUUUAACCUAAUAGAUUUGCGGGCCGGAUACGGAAUAUGCCGUUCCGACCGGUAUAGGACCCGAACCCGUUUUUUAAUUAAUUAAUAAUUAAAAAUAUAUACCCAAUUUUGUUCAACCCUAAAUCCCUAAUAGUCUAAUACCCACGUAAGUCGUAACCCACCGCCGCCGCACUCUCUUUUCCUUUGCUCCUUACCCAGCCCCAGGGACCAUUUUUCUCCUCUGCCUCCCAACUCCUGAGUCGCGCACUCGCGCCUCCACCACCACCACUCACCACUGACCAGAUCUGCAAUUUUUCAGGAAAUUGACUGAAGUUUGAGUCUGACCGAAAAGGACUAAACGUCUAAACCGAACGUCAUCUAAUUUCUAAACCUAAUCGUCUAAUCUUCAAUCUACUCUUCACAGUUCACUCCACUACUCCAGUCUUCGGCUCUUCGCCUCCUUGCCAUCUUCAGUCUUCCUGGAGUUCCUGCUCGGCUGCCGCCGCUGCUUUUGCCGACUGC
rnacentral:lncRNA from 1 species